rnacentral:lncRNA from 1 species
UUUUUUUUUUUUUAGUAUUGCGGCAAUACUUAACUUGACAAGCUUCCAAGAAGUAAUUGUUCUCUACAAAAUAAAGUGAAAGUGAAUUUCUUACAAUGUGUAAAUGAUGGAAUCUGUUUUCGAGAGGUUUAUGUGAAAAAAAAAAUCACUAAAAGCUUCCUAAGAUGCUUUGAGAUGGUAUUUAAUUUAAAACCUCAAUGAGUUUGAAACUUUUGGAGUAGAUUUCUUAAGUGUAAAAAGGUAUGUAAACAGGUUGAUUUAUAAGUUACUAUCCUUUUCUUUUUCAUACUUAAGUAUCUCUAUUGGUGCUAAUAUAAGGAGAAAGGGAUAUGGGAGGGGAGAGUGAAUAAAUUUUCAAAGAAAUUAUAACAAUGUGGAGACAAAAAAUUUAUAUUUUUAACUUCCAUUGUUCUCUCUCUUUAAAAUGUAGCAAUGUGCUAUAAAAAAGUGAGAAGGCUACAAAGCAACUUCUUAUGGGUAGGUGAGGAGGGGAGUACAAAAAUUGGAUGGAUGAAAUGGGAAAAGAAAUGGUUUCACAAAGGAGGGAGGUGGAUUAGGUGUUAAAGAUAUUGAAAUGUUUAAUGAGGUAUUGGUAACUAAGUGGGGGGUGGCAACCCCUAGAUCAUGGAGGAAGUUUGUGUGGUGCAAUUGAGGAUUCAAAGUAAGUAUGGUGGUUGGAGAGAGUUAGCAAGGGUGGAGAGAGAUGGGAGGAUCUCAAUAUGGUUGAGAGAUUUAAAGAUGUGUGGUGGGGGAAACCAAUACCAAUGGUUUGAAAGCAUGUUGGAAAGAAGAGUUGGUGAAGGUGAAAGGUAAAAAUAUUGGGAGGAUGAAUGGAAGAAUGGUGAAAGACUAGCUCAUAUAUAUGCUAGACUCUAUGUCCAUUUCAAGCAAGAAUACAUGAAAUAAAAAGUAUGGGUAAUUGGGAGGAAGAAGAUAGGUGGGUGGGUGAAUUGAAGUAGCAUCAUGAUUAUUUUAAGUGGAAAAGAAUAUUAGUAUAACAUGAUUGUUAGUAGGGGCUUGCCAACAAAACUUAGAUUAUAGAAAGGAGGAAUUCAAAUCUAGGAGCAUAUGGAUCAUUUGUGUAAGAGGAUAGAGGAAACAAAAUCAUAUCUAUUCUUUUUGUGUGAAAAAGAGGGACCAAUUUAGAAUCACACAUGCAUUUUUUAACACACUCUUGUGGAGAUUAAAAAAAUGAAUUUCAAUGCUGGAGAAAUAUUUGGAUAACUAUUACAUUGUCUAUAUUAAAGGCAAGAAAUGAUUUUAUCUUUUACUUUUAUUACAGUCUUAUGAUACUAUUUAAUAAAUUUGUGGCAAUAUAAUAUUUUAAAAGAGUUGUGAAUUUUAUGUGAUUAUUUUGUUUCACUUUAAAAUUAAAAUAAUUAAAAAAUACAUAAUUAAAAUUAAAAUAUAUGUUUUAAAAUGGUUAUUAGAUAUAUUUUUUAUCUGUGUACUUUUUGUUAAUUUUUUAUUCUUACUCUUUAAAAUUUGAUUAGUGAAUCUCAACUUUUAAAACAUGUGAAUUUAGUUCUUUUAACACUUUUAGCGACGGUAAAAAAUUGUUUCUAAAUGUUAAAAUUAAAUAUAAAGAAGGACUACAAUCUUUUUCCAAAAAGAAGUUGGAAAACCGAAUUCAUAAAAACAAAAGACAAGAUUUAAAAAGGUUAAAAGAUUAAGAGCAUAUUGUUUUCUUUUAAAAUUAAAGUUGCAUCAGUAAAAUUAAUUUUAAAUUUAAAUGUAAUAAUUUGACAUAUAAAUUUCAGACAUGUUGAAUACGGAUAAGAAAAACGCACACGAAAGUAACACACAUAAUCACGAAUCAACUGCAAAAAACAUAAAAUUUAACAUGGUUCGGUCGCCAAAUGUAACUUGCAUCCACACGAGCAACCAUUAGGUUUUCAUUCUGUCCUGUUACACACCAAUUACAAGUACAAUGAUCUCUUUAAAUAUAAAUUAUAAAUGAGACACAAUGAUUAAGCUCACUCACUAAACAUGAUGUCUAGUCAGCUCAACUCAAUAGAUUCUCACUUCAUACCCAUCAAAUACAAACUUUUAUUUUCAUAAUUAAUAAGUUGUGGUGUCUAAUAUAUAGAGUAAUAUACCAUAUAUUACGGUGUGAAAAUAGUUUCUAUUAAACAUGAAACUUUUUUUAACAGAAUAGACUUUAUGAUAUGAAAUAUUUUGAAAGAAAAAUAAAGAAAAAAGUUAGAACACUUAAAAGUAAAGAAGUUGUUGUUAAAUAUAUAAAUGUACAUUAAUGUGAUAUUAAAGACAUGUGAUAUCCCUAUAUUGAGGUGGGUAUUGCUUUGAUUGUAAGCAAGCAUUAAAGAAAAGAGGUUUGGGUAUGGGAGUUAAAGAUUGCUGGUUAUAACCAGAAAAUUAGUUGUGUUUGAUUGGGUGACACAAAAUAAGUGUACAUGUGAUUGUGUAGCUUAGCUUGGGUUGUCACAUUGUCCUUUUACUUGUACUUACUCUACGUGUUCUCUUCCACACCUUGUAAUAUUCUUUUUUUCGUCAUUUUAUAAGUCACAUUUACGUACAUAUACUUUUGUACGAAACGUCGUUUUAAUUGUAAGGUAGAGUGUCUUGUUUGGUUAAUUAAGGGCAACACCCUAAAAGGGGAAAACCAAAAAUUUAGUUACUUCAUAAAUUUUGUUUCUUUUUCGGAAAACUACAACAAACGCCGCAACAAAGCCCUAAAUGCAGUUCAAACUUUUCCAACUCUACAGUAUGAUCAUUUGAAGAUGGCGUUGCUUUUAUUAUUUUUUUAAAGAAAAAUGUGAUAUCAGUAAAGAGUUUAUCAUUUCGUUGUGUGCGUACUCUGUGUAAGAAAAAAAAUAGAUGCAAAGAAUAUUAUUAUUCAAAUUGUUUUGCGAAUUAAUAUGUAAAUAAAAAUUCUUUUUUCUAAAUUAUUUGUAUGUUGGAAUGGUUUGUGUUUUUCUAAAAACUAAAAUGAAGUGAUGUUUUUUCUAUUCUUUAUUUAUAGUUUCAUAUGUUUUUAUCAUUCUCUCCUAUAUAUAAAUAAAAUAUAAAUGUAAUAAAAAAAUUUCAUCGACAAAGAAUGAAUAAAAUAAAAGUAGAGCAUUUCAAUAAUGCUCAAACCCUUAUACAAGAGAUAAAUCUGUAAAAAAAAAGUUAGAAUUUCAACUAUUUAUAAUAUUUUAAUCAAUUUUUAUAUCUACGGACCUAGAUUAUGUGUCCAUAAUCAUCUUAUUACUUGUCUAAUGCAAAUUAUUACGUUAAGUUUAUAUGCUAUAAACAUUAUGGUCGGUGUCGUCCUAGACAACGGACAAUAUAUUAACCCUUAGAUUUGAGGGUAAGAGUUUUUGAAAGAAAAUUUUCAUAUCUUUAAUCAAUAUCACCUCAAAGUAUCAUUUGUACAUUGACCCUCACGUAUGAGGAGUUCAUUAUGACGAGGAGGCUAUGAAAGAGAUAUUCAUAUCUUUGGUCAAGAUCACCUUAGGGUAUCAUUUAUACAUUGCCCUUCAUGCAUAAGGAUAAUGAGUUGGUAGAGAGCCUUUAAGAUAAAAAGCAAAGCUUUUUGACAAAUUUGUAUAAUGAUUUUGGCAAUGAUUAAGAACUCAAAAAAUAGAAUAAGAAUAUAAGUGUUAAGAACUUAAGAAAGGGAAACAACUGCAAAAUUCAUUCUCAAUUGAGAAGAUUGAUGGGGAAAAAAAAAGUCUGAAAAAUACUACACUUUCUACUUCUAAGGUUUAGUUCACUCAUACAAUUAAUAUUGACGUUGAUUGCUCCUUAAUCCCAAAAGAUUUACCUGUUAUAUUCUCUCAACAAAAGGGUCACGUGCCUAAAAAAGGGAGAAGUUAGACAUAAAAUUAUUGAAAUCUUUUCAAAAAAUUGAAGUAAAGAUACCUCCCUUUAAAGCCAUUAAAUAAGUCCCUAAGUAUACUAAAUUUCUCAAAGAUUUAUGGAGAGGAAGAGAAAUAUAAUGAUGUGCCUCUAUUUAUUUUAAGAAUAUUAUUUAAGAUAGUUAGGACAAAGAUUGAUGUGCAUAUUAGAACAUUGACCAUGGAAAGAAUAAAGUAAAAUAUAAUAUUCUAGGAGCAUUAAAAUAUCCUGAAGAGGAUCAUUUAAUCUUUAGAAUGUACAUGAUAUUAGUGCUAAUACAUGAUAUUAUAGUGCUAAUACUUGUCAUUGAUUUUAAUUUUGGAUGUAGUUUAUAUUGAUAUAAAAUGAACAUUUAAUUGCGUUUAUGUCCGUUUUAUUAUACUAAGAUAUAAUAUUUUUUUCAAAUAGUUUUUUUCGGAAAUUUUUAUUUUUAACUCUGAAGCCUUUUGUUACUUCUCAUUUACAUAAAAUUUUCAGAUUCUUUUUUUUUAUAUUCAAGUAAUUAUAUAUAUAUAUAUGAUUAAUUUUAAAAAAAAUCAAUAAUUAAUGCUAACUAUGAAUAUCUUACAAUAUCAUAAUAUAUCUCCUUAAUUUUCUUAUUAAAACUUAGUACUAUUAUUACUUUUUACUUACAACUCCCUUUAUUUUUUUUAAGGGUAGUAUUUUAAGAGGAUUUAUUUUUAUUUACUUUAAAACUUUAAAACUUUAAAAUAACAUUAAUUACUCAUUUUCUCAUUCAUAUUCUGAUUCUUACCUUCCUUCGUUAAACAAUGCAUCAUAUCUUACCUUCCUUCAUUAAACAGUGCAUCAUAUCGAAUAUUAUAUAUAUAGAGUAUUGACCUAUGAGUUUGAACAUAUUAGUUAAAAUAUAUAUUAACAUUAGUUAAAUAGUACAAAAAUCAAAUAAUACAAAUGCUAAUUGCGACACAUUUUAAUUUAGAUCAAAUCGUAACAACUCAAAUAAAAAUAUGUUAUUAUUAUAACAUUAUUAUAUUUGAAUAUCAAAUCCUCACUUAAACAUCAUUUUUUUUUUAUAAAUACAAUUCCAAUCAAAAGUUGAAACUCCAAAAGAUUUAGAGGGACAGAAAAAGAAAAACACAAUCAAAUAGAAAAAAUAAAUUGUUCAGCAAGUAACAAUUAUUGUCUCAGUCACUCAUAAAAGAAAAUAUAUUUAGUCUAUCUAUAUAAAUAAUUAGAUUAAAGUAUAAUUACUUCACCGUUUACUUUCGUGGUCUUUAGUGGGUGUUUAGUUUUGUGUUCAUGUGGAAUCAAAAUCAAAAUCACAUCACCAAAUACAAUCUUACUCUUCUUAAUGGGUUUAGUUUUGUGUGGAUGUGGAUCACAUAAAAAAUAUAAAGUUUAAUUUCAUGUCGUGAAGAAUCGUUAAAGACUCAAUCUUUUUAAGAACAGUGUAGAGAUUAGUGGGCCUUUGAGGAAAAGCACAUGGCCCACAUCACUGCUUCACCUUCCCUUCUUCCACAGGGUACUCCCUUUUGUCCUUCAUGUCCUUCAAAACCUCCUCCUCACAAAAAUGCUACAAAAAUUACCUUGGAGCAUAUUAGAUUUGUACAACUUUUCUAUUGUUCUAUCUUUUAAAGGAAAGGAAUCAAGUUUCUUUUGACUUUGAUUUGUCCAGGGAAAAAAAUAAAACAAAAGUGAUAUUAUUUAAAAAUUGUAUGGUAUGAUUGAAAAAAAAUGAUAAAAGUUAUAUUUUCUUUUAUGUAAUUAUGUGAAAAAUAGAGAAUAUAUACAUAGAGAGGGGGCAUUGUGAAAAGCAAGAGUACAAGAAAUUAUUAUUUUAUGUGAUUAAAUAAAUAUCAAAUAAAUUAAAAGUGAUAAUUAAAUUUAAUUUAUGUUUAAUAUUUUGAUAAACUUUGUAUGUAAGAUGUGUAAAAGUUUUGUGGAUUAAUUUUUGGUUUUAUAAGCUGUUUAAAAAAUAUAAUGACGAGAAUAGGCAUUUCAGAGUUUAAUAUAAAUGAAUUAGACUUUUGGAUAAUGUGCUGCGAAGGGUUAGAUUAACAAUGUAAUAAAUGUCCAAAGUAAGCUGAAAGUUUUUUUUUUUCUUCAUGAAUUUCUCUUCUCCAAUUUUAUUUUUUUUACACUCUCCAUCCCAUACAAACUUACAAUUUCCUCUUUUCUUUAUCAAAUUCUACUUUCAAUCUCAUGCCUCAAAGCUCAUUAGCAAGACAUCCUAUUCGUAUGGCUAAAUUUUUUUUAUCUAGAAGAUGUUUGUUUGUGAGAUCUAGAAGAUUUUUUUGUUAUUAUUUUUAUGUUAGCUUUUAGCCUAACUGUCCACCAAUAAAAAGAGUCUUUAUAAGACUUUUGAAAAAGGAAUUGUAGAAAAAACGGUUAUCUUUUUAGCAAAGUAGUUUAUUCUAGGAACGUUAAAUCUCUUUCUUAUUCUUGUGUUGUGUGUGUUUUCCUUCUUUCCUUUGUGAUCUCUUAUUACAUUGUUGUAUUCAUUGAGCCUUCCCCAUGCCUUCCAAACCUAAUAAUGACCUUGAUAAAAUCCUUAAGUCCAUUCUAGAUAAAUUGGCUAACCUCCAAACUCAACUUCAAAACACCCAUGAAUACCAUGAAAAUCGAUACAAUAACCUUCACCAAACAUUAGAAAACCGUCAAAUAGCGCUAGAAAUAAAGCAAUAAUCUUUCACCAAUACCAUAAACACUCUCUUAAUCGCCAUCCCUACAACACUUUUCCAACCCAACGAAAAGCCUCCAAAUCCUUCUAUACCUUUAUCUUUAGAAACAAUCCCACAUAUCCCACCCCUACUCUCUAACGUCGCAUCAUCUGUUUUUGCUACUACUACAACCAUCCUUCCCCCACCAUUUUCUCCCUCUCCUCUUGUCCCAACCAUGCCUAGACCACCCAAAAUACAACUCUCAUUUUUUAAUGACUCAGAUCUCCUAGAUUGGCUAUUUCAAGAUGAUCAGUUUUUCCAAUUUUACAAUAUUGCUUGGGACUCUCGCCGAUACAUGGCCGCUUUUUAUAUGCAUGGUGACGCUCUAAGUUGGUUCAAUUGGAUGUAUCAAAAUCACCAACUCAGCGUUUGAUUUCUUUUAAUCGUGUUCUAGAACUUUGUUUUGGGUCCUUUACAUAUGCUAAUCAUCAAGUGGGACUCUUAAAACUACGUCAACAUAGCACCGUCACCGAAUACCAAAAUGAAAAGUUAUGCAACCGUGUUUUAGGCCUCACUCUUGAAUGAUCCUUAACUUUUUCAUCUCAAACCUUAUUUCAGAAAUUAGAUGUGAGUUAGUGAUGACUUUAUUAUGGCAAGUGUAUCGUGUCAAAAGUAAUAAUUUGUCCCUAAGAACGAAUAUCGAACACACAAAGAACAAUUAAAUUAUCAAAUAUAAGAUUCACUAAAUAGAAAACAAAAUAAUAAAGUUUGUUGUGUAUGAUUGCAAAAAUUGUAAAGAAGGCAAAAUAAAGAGUUUGUUGGUUCAAUUGAGAAAAUUGGGAUUGUGACUCAUCAUUAUUCUUUUGUAUUUUGAAAAGUAUAAUAAUAAUAUAUGAUUUGAUUGAUAUUGAUGCCCAUAUAAAAUUCAUUUAUAUCGAUUUCUCGCAUAUAAAAAUAUUAAGAGAGUUUCCUAAAUAUCGAUUCCUCAUAUAUUUCUAAAAACUCUUUAUCAUUACGAUUAGAUGUUGAUAGCAAUUAACUUUUCAAAUCUAUUCCUAGCAUUAAAAUAUGUUAAGCAUUAUCAUUUAGGUUAAAAACUUAGAAGUACUUUUCAGUCAAAUCUAAGGAUCAAAAUCAUGGUAAACAAGCCUUAUGAAUAAAAUGACAAUAUCAAUCAUCAAUCAAGAACAUAAUAUUAUAUCAAAAUAUCACCUCAAUAUAUAAGAGUUUGAACAUAUUACUCCCAAUCCCAAAGGGUAGAAUUAGCAACUGAUGUUAGCCAUUAUAAGCAUAGAAAGAAAGAAAAGAGGAUCCAAGAUGUUUUUCCUUGACGACUGCCUUCUUUAAGAUUUUCUAUCACCUUUAUUCUCCUCAUGAAUGUCUAGGGUUGUGACUCACGCCUCAUAUUUAACCUAGUUGGACUUAGGCUAAGUGACUUCUCAUCUGGGCGUGAUUGGGCUCGCCUAGGCGAGUUUGACGAGAAAAAGCCAACUUCUUUGGAAUGAUCUCCAGGUAGGCUUCUGGCUUAGGCAAGUUUAAGCGAGUGUUGGAGCAUUUCAGCUUUUCCUUUUUAUCUUGUAUAUUUUGCUUUUACCCUUUCAUCUCCUUUUUUUUUCCUAAAACCAUGAAAUUAACGCAAAAUUGAGAAUAAAUCAUUCUUAUUCAUGUUAUAAUCACAAAAGAUGUAAAAAGGUUUAAAUUCAUAAAUUAGAGGUUAAAUUAUAGUUAUUUUAUCAAUUAAUAUUCAUAAAUACUUAUAUUUUAAGAUAAAAUAUUAUUGAAAUAUGACAUUUAUCAGUUAGUUGUUCUCCAACCUACUUCAAUCACCCAAGUCAUGGGCUUCACCAAACUCUUGGAAUCCAAGAUUAAUGAUACAAGCAUUUUACAAACUCCAAUUUAUUUUUAGCUUCUCAGAUUUAGAAUUUUACUACCAUUAUUAAUUUUCAUACAUUUUUUAAUCAAAAUAACACAAUUAAAUCUUUCUUAAAUUAUUCUAUUAUUAAAAAAAAAAUAAGUUUUCUUCAAAAAAAUACUGAACUAAAAUUCUACAUAUUAAAUACAACUUCAGUAAAUCUGAUAUAACUAAAGUUCUACAGUACGAGUUUAUUUAUACUGAAAAUCUUAUAUCAAGGACAGAGAAUCUUCAUUUCUAUUUUUAUUUUCUUUUUAAUAAAUUAAAAUUUCAAAAAUGUAACCAAAUAUAUAUUUAAUAGUAUUUUUUAAAAUUAUAAUAUUUUCGAAAAUGUUAUUUACCAUAUCACAACAUCACUUUCACGUCCUCCAAAAAAAACCAUCCUAAAAUGUACAUUGCCGCACUUUGUAUCUUCUAUCCUUUUUUUUAUACAAUAAAAUAUAAGAAUCUAUUGAAACCUACAUCCAUUAUUAGUUUAUACUAUAAUUUUAUAGUAUAAAGACUUAUUCAAUUUAAUAUAUUCAAAUUUUGAAGAAAAAAAAAAGUCAUGGUUGCGUUGAACCUAAUUCAUGAGGGUUAAAUUUGACUUAUGGUUGUGCUCUCAGAAAUUUUUUAGUUAAUUAAAAAUAGUUUAAUUAAUUAUUUAGCUGAUUAAUUUUAAAAAGAAAAAUUGUUUUAAUUUGAUCUCAAACCAAUUUAAUUUUUAUGUUUUAACUAUUAUUAUAUGGGUGUUUAUUUGAAUAUGUGAUUAACACUUUUUAUUUUAUACUUUUUAUAUUUAUGGACUUUUAUACAAUUGAUUUUACCUGUAAUAUUUUUAAUAGGAAUAAUUAUUAUAUGUUAGUUGGUAUUUUCAGUGAGAAAACAAAAAUCAACCCAAAUAAAGAAUUUUGAUAGUUGAAUGUUCGGCACACUUAGAAGUAUCAUUACCAAGUCAAACACUUGGAUGGUAUCGAGCCCAAUGCUUGGUCCACUCGAGAAAAACCAUCACCAAGUCAAACACUUGGAUAGUGUCGAGCCCAAUGCUCGGUCCAUUUAAGAAAAACCAUCAUCAAGCCAAACACUUGGAUGGUGUCGAGCCCAAUGCUUAGUACAUUUGAGAAAAACCAUCACCAAGUCAAGCACUUGGAUGGUGUCGAGCCGAAUGCUCGAUGCACUUGAGAAAAAUCAUCACCAAGUCAAACACUUGGAAGGUGUUGAACCCAAUGUUCAAUCCUCUUGAAAAGAAAGCAUCACCAGGUCAAAUAAUUAGAUGGUGUCGAGCCCAAUGCUCAGUCCACUUGAAAAAAUCAUCACCAAGACAAAAAUUUGUAUGGUGUUGAACUCAAUGCUCUAUCCGCUAGCGAAAAACCAUCACCAAGUCGUACAUUUGGAUGGUCACCUUUUUCUAAGGUAUGUUUUCUAGAUUAUUUUGGUUGGAGCAAAAGUAAUAUAUUAUAAAGAUAAGGAGUUUUAAAGAUAAAAUAAAAUGCACUAAGUAUAAAAGUCCAACUCAAAACAUAAAAGACAUAAAGUUAAGUACAGAAAAUAAAAGGCUAAAUGCUGACUUGAUUAAAAUAAUUCUUCACUCAAACUUGGGAGGGUUUGUGUAGUGUUAUGAUUCAAGCUCAAACUCUUUAAGUCCAAUUUAAUGUUUUUGUAGGUCGUUUGACCUACCUUUAAGAAUAAGAUAUGACAAUUAAAUCUAUUUAAUAAAUGAAUCUUCAUAUUAUUGAGGCAUUUUAACCAUUUUAAUACAAAUCAUAAUUUUAAAGAGACUUAAUUAACAAUAAAUCUAGUGAAUUGGAGACUAAAAACAAACUUCAUAUGAAUCACAAUAAAGAGAAGAAUAAAUACUAUAGAAAAUAGUGUCUAAAAGAAAAAAUGAGACAAAUUGAUAUAGGGUCUCCAUUUUUUUCCUUGAACAACACAUUGUGAACUGAAAGUAAAAUAUCUUUUAAGACUUUAGUGAAUGAAUAUGAUAUCUUUCUAAAUAAAUAAAUAAUAAAAAUAUGGUGUAUAUAGAAAUGUGGUGUCUUAGUUCAUAUCUGAAUAGUUAGUCUCUAAAAUUUGGGCCUGAGACUGAGGGAUUAUGUGAUGUCAUGGGUCGAAUCUGAUUAGUUAAAAACCUAAGCAGANNNNNNNNNNNNNNNNNNNNNNNNNNNNNNNNNNNNNNNNNNNNNNNNNNNNNNNNNNNNNNNNNNNNNNNNNNNNNNNNNNNNNNNNNNNNNNNNNNNNNNNNNNNNNNNNNNNNNNNNNNNNNNNNNNNNNNNNNNNNNNNNNNNNNNNNNNNNNNNNNNNNNNNNNNNNNNNNNNNNNNNNNNNNNNNNNNNNNNNNNNNNNNNNNNNNNNNNNNNNNNNNNNNNNNNNNNNNNNNNNNNNNNNNNNNNNNNNNNNNNNNNNNNNNNNNNNNNNNNNNNNNNNNNNNNNNNNNNNNNNNNNNNNNNNNNNNNNNNNNNNNNNNNNNNNNNNNNNNNNNNNNNNNNNNNNNNNNNNNNNNNNNNNNNNNNNNNNNNNNNNNNNNNNNNNNNNNNNNNNNNNNNNNNNNNNNNNNNNNNNNNNNNNNNNNNNNNNNNNNNNNNNNNNNNNNNNNNNNNNNNNNNNNNNNNNNNNNNNNNNNNNNNNNNNNNNNNNNNNNNNNNNNNNNNNNNNNNNNNNNNNNNNNNNNNNNNNNNNNNNNNNNNNNNNNNNNNNNNNNNNNNNNNNNNNNNNNNNNNNNNNNNNNNNNNNNNNNNNNNNNNNNNNNNNNNNNNNNNNNNNNNNNNNNNNNNNNNNNNNNNNNNNNNNNNNNNNNNNNNNNNNNNNNNNNNNNNNNNNNNNNNNNNNNNNNNNNNNNNNNNNNNNNNNNNNNNNNNNNNNNNNNNNNNNNNNNNNNNNNNNNNNNNNNNNNNNNNNNNNNNNNNNNNNNNNNNNNNNNNNNNNNNNNNNNNNNNNNNNNNNNNNNNNNNNNNNNNNNNNNNNNNNNNNNNNNNNNNNNNNNNNNNNNNNNNNNNNNNNNNNNNNNNNNNNNNNNNNNNNNNNNNNNNNNNNNNNNNNNNNNNNNNNNNNNNNNNNNNNNNNNNNNNNNNNNNNNNNNNNNNNNNNNNNNNNNNNNNNNNNNNNNNNNNNNNNNNNNNNNNNNNNNNNNNNNNNNNNNNNNNNNNNNNNNNNNNNNNNNNNNNNNNNNNNNNNNNNNNNNNNNNNNNNNNNNNNNNNNNNNNNNNNNNNNNNNNNNNNNNNNNNNNNNNNNNNNNNNNNNNNNNNNNNNNNNNNNNNNNNNNNNNNNNNNNNNNNNNNNNNNNNNNNNNNNNNNNNNNNNNNNNNNNNNNNNNNNNNNNNNNNNNNNNNNNNNNNNNNNNNNNNNNNNNNNNNNNNNNNNNNNNNNNNNNNNNNNNNNNNNNNNNNNNNNNNNNNNNNNNNNNNNNNNNNNNNNNNNNNNNNNNNNNNNNNNNNNNNNNNNNNNNNNNNNNNNNNNNNNNNNNNNNNNNNNNNNNNNNNNNNNNNNNNNNNNNNNNNNNNNNNNNNNNNNNNNNNNNNNNNNNNNNNNNNNNNNNNNNNNNNNNNNNNNNNNNNNNNNNNNNNNNNNNNNNNNNNNNNNNNNNNNNNNNNNNNNNNNNNNNNNNNNNNNNNNNNNNNNNNNNNNNNNNNNNNNNNNNNNNNNNNNNNNNNNNNNNNNNNNNNNNNNNNNNNNNNNNNNNNNNNNNNNNNNNNNNNNNNNNNNNNNNNNNNNNNNNNNNNNNNNNNNNNNNNNNNNNNNNNNNNNNNNNNNNNNNNNNNNNNNNNNNNNNNNNNNNNNNNNNNNNNNNNNNNNNNNNNNNNNNNNNNNNNNNNNNNNNNNNNNNNNNNNNNNNNNNNNNNNNNNNNNNNNNNNNNNNNNNNNNNNNNNNNNNNNNNNNNNNNNNNNNNNNNNNNNNNNNNNNNNNNNNNNNNNNNNNNNNNNNNNNNNNNNNNNNNNNNNNNNNNNNNNNNNNNNNNNNNNNNNNNNNNNNNNNNNNNNNNNNNNNNNNNNNNNNNNNNNNNNNNNNNNNNNNNNNNNNNNNNNNNNNNNNNNNNNNNNNNNNNNNNNNNNNNNNNNNNNNNNNNNNNNNNNNNNNNNNNNNNNNNNNNNNNNNNNNNNNNNNNNNNNNNNNNNNNNNNNNNNNNNNNNNNNNNNNNNNNNNNNNNNNNNNNNNNNNNNNNNNNNNNNNNNNNNNNNNNNNNNNNNNNNNNNNNNNNNNNNNNNNNNNNNNNNNNNNNNNNNNNNNNNNNNNNNNNNNNNNNNNNNNNNNNNNNNNNNNNNNNNNNNNNNNNNNNNNNNNNNNNNNNNNNNNNNNNNNNNNNNNNNNNNNNNNNNNNNNNNNNNNNNNNNNNNNNNNNNNNNNNNNNNNNNNNNNNNNNNNNNNNNNNNNNNNNNNNNNNNNNNNNNNNNNNNNNNNNNNNNNNNNNNNNNNNNNNNNNNNNNNNNNNNNNNNNNNNNNNNNNNNNNNNNNNNNNNNNNNNNNNNNNNNNNNNNNNNNNNNNNNNNNNNNNNNNNNNNNNNNNNNNNNNNNNNNNNNNNNNNNNNNNNNNNNNNNNNNNNNNNNNNNNNNNNNNNNNNNNNNNNNNNNNNNNNNNNNNNNNNNNNNNNNNNNNNNNNNACGUGCCACUGCUCCGUCUCGAAAACCCCAACGACCAAUUCAAAAAACCUUUUCCCUUUUACCAACGAGUAAAAAAUGAAUGAAAAGAGAAAAAAAGGGAACGGAAUUACGAAAUUAGCCCUACGAAAGGUAGAGUAGAGGGUCUAAUCGUGUGGACCGUUGACCAUGAGUCGUACGGUGCUCCAAGUUCGCAUAACGGUACUGUUAAAAACAACUUCUCUUACCUAACUAAUCAUCAUGGAAAGGGGUUAGUGGAUGACAGUUAGAAACCAGUGGUCGUUAGACUAUGGGUUUCUGUACUGUAUCCACAUGCUCACUAUUAUUCAUUCGCAUCUUCUCAAGAAGGGACCCAAAAUUGUUAUUCUUUCUAAAACACAACUAUUUUAAUAAAUAAAUUAAAUACUUUACUUUGUAUGUUUAUUUUUAAUUUUAUGUUUAAAAAAAUAUAAUUAUUACUAAAAGGGCUUUUCUUUUUAAAAUAUGUUAAUAGUUUUGAUUUGUUAAUGUGAAUUAUUAUUUAUAUUGGUUUCAAGGUGAAUAACUAUUUUUUAAAACUUUUUAAAAUUUCAUCCUAUUACUUUUAGGCAUUCACUUUGCUUUUACAAUUAUUAAAAUUAGUUAGUACAAAUUGUUUUGUUAAAUUUAUAGUGAUAACAUUAUUCUAAUGAUAUAAAUUUUUAUUCACGCCAUCUGUUAUAUGGGCUAAUUGUUCCUAUAGUGACAUUAUUAUUAAUUUUGACAAAAAAUAUUAAAUUAAAAAUAAUAAGAUUAAAUUGAAAAAAAAAAUAUUGUAAUAGUAGAAUAAAAAGAACUAUUAAACUUAUUUUUUUAGUAAUAUAUGAAUUUAUCUUUAUUUUUAUUAUUAUUAUUAAUAUAUUCCAAUAGUUAAGGUAAGCUUUUUCCAAACAAAAAAAAAAAGUUUUGCAAUACAAAAUAAAGUAACAAAGUUUCACUCUCAAAUAAGCCUAUUUCACUUAUUAUUUAUUAAACUAAAAGUAUAAAUCAUAAUUAAGAAUAUUUUAUAAAAUUAAUUGAUAAUGAAACAUUUUAAAUUGGUUUAGCAAGUGAAACUUCUAAUUUUAAUAUCAUAAUAAAAAUAACCUAAUAAUAGAGUUGUUUGUAUUUUUUUAGCAUAAGUGUGAAUUAUACAAUAAUAUUAUUUAUAAUUAAUCUUUAGUUAAAAACAUGAAAAUAUGCAAAUAUGCAAAUAUGAAAAUAUAUGAUACUCCAAUAUUAUCUAAACAACUUAUGUUUUAUUAAUAUAAUAAUUAUGUUUGGAGUAAAUUAUUAUUGAACAAUUAUUCCUAUAUUAUGAGACAAAAAUAGAAAAAUGAGGUUGAAUUAUGUUAAAAGUAUUUUAAAAUAUUUUCACACAAGGAAUGAAAUUGUUGUUAAUAAUUUAGUCUAAAUGUUUCAUAUGAACGCAUCAUCGAUAUAUAGGAGGGUUUGUAUCCAAGGUUGGUAUUAGAUUAUUGGUUGUGGUGUUUUGUGUAGUUGUAGAGGCUCUAAGACUCUAUAGUCUUUGGAUCAUCUUUGUUGGAUGGGAUAGUCUAUUUGGUUUGCAGGAGAGUUUGGCAAUGUAGUUAUGUAAUUUAAGGCAUAUAUUCAGCAUAUUGUAAAUGUUUGUCAUUAUGUAAGUUUCACAUAUGGAUGUAACUUGAUUUUUUGUGGGUUGUACUUCAUAGUUGGUGCCUUGUAUCUGCAUAUUGGUGUUACUUUUACCUUUAUACAUUCUUGGAGUUUUUUUUAUAUGGGUUGAAGUAAUCCUCGUACUCUCAUUUAUUUCAUUUGUUAUUGUUGAUAAAAAAUGAUAAAAAAAUGAGACUUCAAGUUUAAUUGUAAGUAAAUAAUUAAACAACGCAACAUACAAUAUCGGUUUCAACUUAUUUUCACAAAAAACAACACAAAACUUUAUGGUCGGUUUAAAUAAAUACAACAAAUAUAGGUAAGAAAAAGAACACCAAGUUUUAUAUUGAUCCAUUUUAAUCAUAAUUAUGUCUAUUUUUUUACCAACAAGUCAAAUUUCACUAUAAACUAAAAUACGAGUAAUUUUUAUAGUUACUCCUAACUUAUGGGUAUUAUUUAAUUAGUUUCUCUAAACGUAUCAUAUGAAGUACUUUUUUUAAUGAACUUAUCAAAGUUUUCAUACAUAAUUAUUUUUUUAAAGACAAGUCAUUUUUGUCUUACAUACAAAAGGUCUUUUACAAAGAAAUAUACGAAGGUUUGUUCAAUCUAACUUAUGGUUUACAUAAGCAAAUACAAAGUUUUGCUAAGUAAGUCUUAUACUCUUAGGAUAAAGAAAUGAGUUGAUAGUUAUUUACAAAGAAGAAAAUUAAAAAUUCUUUACUUAAAAGAGAAAGGCACAACUUGUGAUUUGCAUUCUUUACUUUAUUCUUUUUUUUUCUCGUUUUUUAUACUACAAGGAUCCAAUCAAAUUGUCAUCUUUUGUAGUAUAUCUUUCUUCUUUGUUGCUUGGAACAUUUAAUGAAAUUUAUGUCGAAGCACUUCGGUACAUGAGUCGAGAGGUGCAUUAAAUGAGUUUUCCAACUUUCUUGCUUUUCUAUAAUAGUUCACUAAGUUUAUGUUCCUUAAGUUGAAUAUUUCCCUACUUUUAUACAAUAGUCAUUUCACUAUCAAAUAGAAGGUAAAUAACUAAAAGUACUAUCACAAUAGUUUACNNNNNNNNNNNNNNNNNNNNNNNNNNNNNNNNNNNNNNNNNNNNNNNNNNNNNNNNNNNNNNNNNNNNNNNNNNNNNNNNNNNNNNNNNNNNNNNNNNNNNNNNNNNNNNNNNNNNNNNNNNNNNNNNNNNNNNNNNNNNNNNNNNNNNNNNNNNNNNNNNNNNNNNNNNNNNNNNNNNNNNNNNNNNNNNNNNNNNNNNNNNNNNNNNNNNNNNNNNNNNNNNNNNNNNNNNNNNNNNNNNNNNNNNNNNNNNNNNNNNNNNNNNNNNNNNNNNNNNNNNNNNNNNNNNNNNNNNNNNNNNNNNNNNNNNNNNNNNNNNNNNNNNNNNNNNNNNNNNNNNNNNNNNNNNNNNNNNNNNNNNNNNNNNNNNNNNNNNNNNNNNNNNNNNNNNNNNNNNNNNNNNNNNNNNNNNNNNNNNNNNNNNNNNNNNNNNNNNNNNNNNNNNNNNNNNNNNNNNNNNNNNNNNNNNNNNNNNNNNNNNNNNNNNNNNNNNNNNNNNNNNNNNNNNNNNNNNNNNNNNNNNNNNNNNNNNNNNNNNNNNNNNNNNNNNNNNNNNNNNNNNNNNNNNNNNNNNNNNNNNNNNNNNNNNNNNNNNNNNNNNNNNNNNNNNNNNNNNNNNNNNNNNNNNNNNNNNNNNNNNNNNNNNNNNNNNNNNNNNNNNNNNNNNNNNNNNNNNNNNNNNNNNNNNNNNNNNNNNNNNNNNNNNNNNNNNNNNNNNNNNNNNNNNNNNNNNNNNNNNNNNNNNNNNNNNNNNNNNNNNNNNNNNNNNNNNNNNNNNNNNNNNNNNNNNNNNNNNNNNNNNNNNNNNNNNNNNNNNNNNNNNNNNNNNNNNNNNNNNNNNNNNNNNNNNNNNNNNNNNNNNNNNNNNNNNNNNNNNNNNNNNNNNNNNNNNNNNNNNNNNNNNNNNNNNNNNNNNNNNNNNNNNNNNNNNNNNNNNNNNNNNNNNNNNNNNNNNNNNNNNNNNNNNNNNNNCUAAUAUAUAUAUAUAUAUAUAUAUAUAUAUAUAUCAAUUACAUCACCCUUUCACACUAGAACACACAACAAAUUACAAGUGAAUCAUUUUUAUUCAAAAAUACAUUAAUCAUCAACUACAUAUCAAUGAAACAUUGAAAUUUGUCACACUUGACGCUUAUGCAGAUUCAUAUUAAGCAUAUCCUACUAGAUAAUAACACCUGAUCCAUUAGAAAGAUAUUAAAAAAAAUCAUCUUCAACUUCCUAUGUCAGGAUAGUUCGUACACCUACUUUGUACCAAUCUAAUGUACAAACAUCUUUUACUUUCUCACCACCUAAACUUUUAAUCUAUGUGAUGAAAUCAUCAGUGAAGCACAAUUUUUCUCAUUUCCUAAAUGAGUGAUUUGCUUACUCUUAGGUCACGAUAUCAUCCCAAGUAUCAUUGACCAUACACACACAUUAUAUCAUCAUUAGAGACACCUCAGUUAAGCAAUCAUGAUUCCUUACAUAAAGGAAGACUUUCUCACUUGAGUGAUCUCACAUUGCUUAAGCGUUACCAAUUACAAAGGAGAGAGAAUUGAUAUGGACUGUCUCACUGAGGUGGUCUCACAUCCUUUAAGUGACUAUCUCUAUCAGAGAGAAAGUUGGCUCAACCUUUCCCUCUCUCAAAUGCUCACUAAUCACUUGAGUAUUUAUCGCUUGAGCUAUGAUACUUAUUUGUAUAAUCUAACAAGUUUCAGAAUCACCAUUCACAUUGUUUUCUCAAUGCUUGAGUGACCACAUUGUUGCUUGAGUAAUAACACAUAAUUGCAUGGUCUUACAUAUUAAAAAACCUCAUGCAUCACCACUACAUCUUGUUGCUUGAACAUUACUUAUUCUAAAGGAGAGAGAUUUGUCUUGAAUUAUCUCUUUUCUCAAAUCCUUAAGCCUUAGCUUGAGUGAUAGCUUGAGCAUCCAUGCUAGCUCAUGAGCAACAUGAAUAGUGUAUACAAUGAUGACUCAAAGUUUGAGUGUCACUUUUAAUCCAUUUCUUAAACAAUAUUAUUCCAAAUAUAUAUAUAUUUUCCAACAAAAAAUACAAAAUGUCCAUUUCCACAUUUCAAACCUUAAAUUAUCAUAUCCGCUUAUUGUUAUCUCAACAUUCCUAAUUUCAAAAACCGUAUUUUGAACAUCCUACAAUUAGAUAUAUUUGUGUAAUCACAUAAAAAAAACUCACACUCCUUUUUUAAUCACAACAAAAUAUCCAUAUUUAAACAAUAUCCUAUUAAAUUCAUUUGAUUAUAAUUAACUCCUCAUACUCGGAAGUAAUAUAUCUACUAACAAACUUUCACCACAGGAUCCUAAAACUUCCAAACUAAGUUAUUGGUAAACUAAAUAUAUAAAUGACUACACCAACAUUUUCCUUUAAUUAAAAUCACAAAGAGAAAAAAAGAGAAAAAUUAAAUACAUAGUAAAAAACAAACAAAAAUUAUCAUAAUCAAGAUCAAGAAUUUCAUCAAUUUAUUUUCAUCUUUAUAUUGUUACCUCCUAAAAGUUGUAUUGUGUUUAUAAAACAAAUAACACUUAAAAAAAUGAAUUUACCUAUGAAAAAAAAUUGUAAGGAACAACACAAAUUCGUAGGUAAAUCAGUAUUACCAAAAAAAAAUCGGUAGGUAACGAACGUGAGCGUAAGUAAUUUACCUCCACUUCAUAAUUCUAAAAAGAGUUCAAUAAAAAUCUAGUUUUGAAAACUUAAAAAAGUAAAAAAAAAAGUAUUUAUAAAUAUAUUUUUAAAAUUUUAUUUCUUUAUUAAUUUAAAACUUAUCUAUAUCAUUUAAAUUAAUUAAUCUAUUUUGUUUAUAUUAAACAAGUGUAUUUAUUAAAAGAAAAACUAUUUUAAGUAAAAUUUGUCUUCCAAAACUAACGUUUAUUUUUUAAAAAAUAUAUGAACAAACUUUAGACAAAAUUAUCAACAUUUUAUUUAAAUAUUUUAAUGACUUUCUAAUUCUUUAAAUUUUUGUUUUUAAAUAAAAUUAUGUGAGGUUUAUAAAAAUUAUAGUCAUUUUAUUUUUAUUUUUCUUGUAUUAUGUGAUUUUAGUUAUCAACUUUAGGAUUUAAGUAGUUAGUAGUUAAAUUUUUAACAAUUAAUUAAUAUCAAUUUAAAAAUUAUUUAUUAAUAAUAGAAAUUAUUUUAGAUACUAAAAAUUUGUUAAUCUAUAAAAUAAUAUCUAAUUUAAUUAAUAUAGUGAUUAAAUUUUUUUCUCUAUAAUUGGUUUUAUUUAGUGAUUUUCUAGUAAUGAAAAAUUAUUUUUAUGUAUUAUUAAUAUUUUCAUUUAAAUAUUUUAAUACUUUCUAAUUCUUUAAAAUUGUUUUAAAUACAAAUAUGUGAGAUUUAUAUAAAACUGUAGUCACUUUUGUUUAUUUUUCUUGCAUUAAUAUUUUUCAAUAAAAAUUCAUAAUUAUUCUAAUAAAAAAUUAUAAAAAUAUGUUAACAUUACAAUUUAAUAAGUAAUAAAUUUAAAAAUAUAAUAUGUAGACAAUAUGUUUCCCGUAUAUCAAAUAUAAAAUUUUUCCGUUAAAUAUAAGAAGUACAGAAAUAAACUUUUAAAAAUAAUGAUAGUACAUAUUUUCUUGUACUAAAAUAUAGAUAAUAUAAAAUAAAAUAAACAAUAGUUAAUUGCAUGUCAAAAAGUAUAUUUGAAAUGCUUCUUUUUCAUGGGUAGAAACAAUUAAUGAUUGCAAUAAUUAUUGUUUGCUUUUUAUUGUUCUGUUAUUUGAUUUUAAUACUUAAUAUAAUGGAUAAUUUUUUUUAGAAUAAUAACAUAUGGAUGGGGAAAUCCCUAGCAAAUGUCAAAUGUCAAUGAUAAGGUAAGGGUGUAUCUAAGAUUCCAAGAAUCCCAACUCACUUUUGUUAAUAAUAGAAAAAGUAGACUUUAUUGUAAUAAACUAGAAUUUAUUAUUUGCUAAUGUGUGCUCAAUUAUUUUAAUUGCUAGUCCUUUGGAAUGCAUUACAAUAUAAAUCUUAUGAUUUUUUUAACAUGUGUAAGUUAAUAUAAUUUUGUUUAGAUUAGUUUUUUCACGACUCUAGAGGUUUCUAGAUAAAAAAAAAUUAUACUUAGUUUAAUGUUUUAAUUUUAAAUUUUAUGAUAUUUUUAAUUAAUUAUUUUUUAAUCAAUUUUAACUUUGGAGAUAAAGAAUGUAAGUGUUAUUUAUCUCUUAAUUAUUUAUAAUACUUUAUUUUAUUUUAUAACUUUUAUUGUGAAAAUAAUAGUUUUCUUUUUCUUUUUAAGAUAAGUAUUUUAAUUUUUAUAGUUUUCAUCUGAAGAUAAUUCUUUUUCUUGCACUAUCAAAUAUAAAGCUUAACGUAAAAAGGAGUAAUAUUUUUGUUAAAAGGUUAUGAAGGAAGGAUACUAGUGUUUAUUUUUUUAAUUUAAUUUUUGUUAUGAUAUGAAAAGAUAAAACAGUAAAAUAAGUUUGUGCAAAUAUAAAAUGAAGUAAUUUCCAAAUCAAAGUUGAUCGUAUAUUUUCAUUAGUUCCAAACAUUACAAUGGACUUCUAAAUCAAAUCAAAUUUGAUUAAUUUAAAUUACAUGUACCGUUAAUUUUCAAAAGUUAGGGGAGACAAACAUGAUAUUUUUUUUAAUAAGAACCAUUAAUCAUAAUUUGGUCCUCUAUUUUACUCCAUCUUCAUUUUAUUUUUUAAAUUUCCCAAUUUAAUUUCUAAUUUUGUGUAUGUUGUGUUUAUUUUAGUUUAAUUGAACACGAGACCUAAUAUAUUAUUUUAAAUUACUACCAUAAAAUCAUGUAAUUAAUUAAAAUUUAAGAUAAAAAAAAAUAUAUCUAUAAAAAUUACAAACUUUAAAAAAAAUAAGAUACUAAAUAGUAUUUUUUUUAAAUGUUUAUGUUGGACAUCACUAUGAAAAUUGACAUUUCACUCAAACUGAUAUUCUGUAUUUCAAUUAUCAUCUGUCAUCACAUAAAGGAAGUAUUCUUAAAAAGAAAAAAAAUAAAGAAAAUACAAACUAGUAUGAGACUAGGCCAAAACUCAUACUUAAGAAGAAAAAAUCAAAUUACAUCAAGAAAAAAAUAGAAAAUUUACACUAUUAUGAAAAAAUUCAAUAAAAACAAGGUAUUAUGCCACACCCAUUCUUACUAAUGAAUAAAGCAUAAAAUAGCUAGUUUAUCAUCACAUUGAUUGUGCUUACUUAUAUGAAGAUAUGAGAAAUUUUAAAAUUUAUUUGCUGAGAAAACUAAAUACACUUUUUCGUCUAUUUCUUAGAUACCAAAGUACUAGUUUACCAUCUUUAAAAACAUUACAAACCAAAAUAGAGUUAAUCUUAAACUAUAAAUUUCAAUAUUUUCUUUUACUAUUUUUUUUAAAGCAAGAAUGAUAUUUCCGACACAGAAUAGUGUUUAACUCUAGCAUAAAAUGGUGACAUUUCUUCUCAAAAGAUAUUUCCUAACAUAUUUAUACCUAUAUACUCAUUUAUUGGUUGAAAUUUACUCAAAUUGUAAACAUUCGUAGAUCUCUCAUCUUAUUUAAUAAUAUUUAACCUGUUUUUUGAAUUUUGAUAAAUUUUAAUAUAGCUAAAAAGGGUGUGCCUACAACAAUUAAUGUAUUGAAAUAUGUGAUGUAAUAUCAUUUUUCAUACUAUUUAAGAAUGUCAAAUAAUCUACCAAACAAGUCAUUUGUCUAUUUAAUUGGAUCUUAUCUUUUAAAUAAUAUUUUGACUUUGAUUUGGUAGAUAAAAGAAGUGGUGAUAAAUGAUUAGUCUAUUUAAUUGGAUUUGAUCUCUUAAUCCUCUUUUUUAAAUUUAGAAUAGUAAAAAAAUUUAAAAAUCCCUUUAAAGAACAAAGCAUGAUAAGCAUGCCAUUUUAUGUAUAUGAAGUAGAUUUUGGAAGAAAAAAAAAUGAGGUUGAGGGUAGCUAGGUAGCAAAACCCUAGUUAAAUGAUAGGUACAAAAUCUGAAAAGUUUAAUUUAAUUAACAGUGAUAUUCUUAAUGAAUCUUCGUGAAGAUAGGUACAGAACCACCAAACAUAUGUUGUUCUUUCUUCCUCUGUCUUCAGAAAUAAAUACACAAAAGCAAAUAUUAGAUUCGUUGUCCCUCUUAAUUAAUUUUUUUUUUCUUGCGUAUCGUACAUGCAACUCAUUCAUUCGUAAGCUUGUCGACACAAACUCUAUAUGUAAUAAAUUUAUAUUUUUCAAAAUUUUAAAUGAUAAAGAUGGAUUAUGCUUAACUUAGAAAUAGUUUUUAUAUGAGCUUUCAAAGUCGACAUAAAGAUUUUUUAUAUUUUAAAUAAUAUAAUUUAGAAUAAAAUAAACCCUUGUUGAUCACAUGUUGAGUAUUUUUUUAAUUGUAUAAAUUAUUGUAAAUCAACCAUUUUUUGAAAGAAAAAAAGGUUUAGUGGUCAGAUGAUGAAAUAUUGUACAAGACAAGCUAAGAGCUUCCAAAAAUAAAUAUUUUAGAAAUUUAUAAAUGUAUAAUUUAAUAUUAAAUAUUUAUUUAUGUUUUAAAUAAUAUAUUUCACAUUUUAGACCAGUGCAAUGUUAAUUAUUUUCAAUUUUAUAGUUUUGAAAGUUAACCUAUUUUAUAUACGGAAAAAAAGAUAAUCCACUGAUAAAUUUUGGUAUUUAUUUUCGAUGUAUAUAUAAGCGAUGAAGACUCGUGAAAAUUUUAAGACUUUUAAUUAAGUUUGUGACUCAUAAACUUAAAAGGUAUUUCGUAGGUAUUUCAGUUAUUAUACGUUUCUAUAUUGAGUACCUCAUAAACUUAAAAGGAAUUUCGUAGGUAUUUUUAUAUUCUUUAGAAUUGGAAUUUUUGUGUGUAUUUUUUGUGUAGAUUUAUAUGGUUUUCGUAAACUUUUGUUGGUAUUAUUGGGUAUCUAAUUUUCGGUUGGAUGAUUUAUUUCAACUAGUUGAUAAAGAUCGAUUUGAGAAGAAGAAAAAGGUUGUAGAUUGAUUUUUGUGUGGGGAUUUCUUGUUUUUGUGAAGGUGUUUAGAUCAUUUUAAUAAUUUUUUAUGAGAUUCUAAUUGUUAGAUUUGUAGAGUAUGUUAACUCCAGUUAGAUAGUUAGAUAGAUGUUGUGUAGUUUGGUUUUAAUAUUGAAAGUGUUCACAUUCACCAUUCUCAUUUAAGAUUUAUAAAAUUUAGAAAUGAUCUUGUCCAAUAUAUCUUUUUAUGAUUUUAUCAAGACGUCUUCACGGAACCACUAAAAAAAAUCAACAAAAAUGAACACUUUUAUUUACCAUUUUUUCUUUUUUCUUUUAUUUAUCAGUGACCAUUGUUUUAGUAAAGAUGCUAUACAAGUAAAAUAUUUAGUAUCUUCUUCGUUAAGAACUAAUCUUAAAAGAAAAACUAUUUAAGUUUUGGUUGGCCAUGAUCAAAGCUAGUUUAGUCAAAUAAAAUUUCUUGGAAUGAUAGGAGUUAGCUUGAUUGGAAUCUCUAGUGUAUGAAUGAAGUAAUUUUUGUCUUGACGUGAAGCAGGGGAUGAACUCCAUUGAAGUCAAAUUGGUGCAUGCAGAUGCAACAAACAGCAAUUCACAUUGCAUGUGAUGUGGACCAGAAUUUCAACCAUUACAAGCACACAUAAACCUACUAUCCUUAUCCUACCCUUUUCUUUCUUACUUUUCUCAGUAUAAUUUUCAGUCACCAUCGGGUUCCCCAAAUCUCAAUUAAUUAAUAAUAGUUAAUAACUGCCAUAACAUAAGUUUCUUUUAUUAAAAAACACAAGACGAAAUGUCAUGGGACAUGCCUUGGUUACCUCGUCCAACCAAGUUUUGCACUGCCACUUCCAUGUGUUUUUCACAUGUCUGGUUUCAGAGAAAAGUACGUAGCUCAGUAACUUGUCUACUCUACACAUCUAAGUCCAUUGUCAAGUGUCAUGUCUAUUAAAUUUUAUAUCCUGUCACCAGCGACCAAGAUGAGAAAUUUUUGUCCCUAUUUUUUUUUAUCAAUAUAUAGAAAGAUAAAAAAUGUGCAUGGUGGAAAAAUAUGUCAACCAUUCAUGUCGAUAUACAUAGUAGCACUUCCCUUGUCCAUGUCACACGUUAAAAUUUAUUAUAAAUUAUACAUUUUUUAAUAGGUUUCACUUUUGAUUUAAGCAAUAAUUAAAUGUGUUUAGGGUUUAGGGAGCCACAAAGAGGAAAGUGAAGUGGGUGUGGGAUAUUGGUAGCUAAGAAAAUGGGAGAAAGUUGAAGAGGAACAUGUUAUGUUAUGUGUAGUGAAGUAUGAAAAUGGAUAACAUAGAAAUGUCGAAAGAGUUGUGUUUUGUUAUGUGAAAGGCACCAUGGUAGCAUUGAAAUUGUGCCUUAGAAAAGGAGGUGAUUAGGAUAGCACUUGGGUGGGUCUCAUGGGUGGCUGGCCCUGUAUAUAGGAACCAAUGCACCUUCUUUCUCACUCACUCACUCACUCACUGUGAUGGUCAAAUAACAGGAGACAAAAUUGCCAUGACUUUGGUAAGGUACCUCAUCAACUUACCCUUAAUGGGGGUGCUGCCUAGUCCUAGUGACACCACAUGGAUGAUCCUCACUCCCUCCAAUGCCCCCCCUCUAGGCCUGCCCUCCCUUUUCAGUGGCAAAUGGUCAAAGUGGAAGGCACUUGGAUGAAACACCACCAUAUGCUUGCAUUAACUACCCUGAAUCUGCUCUGCACUCACCACCAACAUAGUUAGAUAUGGGAUAACACAAUCCUAUUCUCUAUGCCCUACUACACCACUCAAUGUAUAUAUCAUGCUUUUUUGUGUGUGACUAUCAUUGCCCUUUAGCUUACCAAACCAUACCCUAAUCACCACCAUUUUGACCACAAUAAUAAAUAAACAAAGUAUUAAAUAAACUCAAUUUGAAAAAAUAUAUAUUUUAGAGUGAGUUAUUUUGUACAAAUAACACAAGUAGACACUUGUCUUCUCUAAUGGUAUGUCAAGUUGUAAAGUUAUAUAUUAUAGGGAGAGUAUGUGGGGUUAAGACUGAUGUAAUUAGAAGGUUAAUUUAAUAUAGAACUCUCUUAGGCUAUGUUUUACUAUUGCAUUGUUGUUCAGUUUUACAAUCUAGUUUGGCAGAGUUUUAUUUGCUUUCGGAAUAUAAACAUGCCUCUAAGCAUAGUUUUUUUUAAUAUAAUUGAUUAACAUCUUUUAAAUACUUUAAUUAAUUAAUUAAUUUAUUAUCUAUAAAAAAAUAAUAAUACUUAUCUUCAUACCUUUUAAGUAAGUCCUGAAAAUGUAAAUAUAAACUUACAUUUUGUUAGUUUUCUCUUAAUUUUUAUAUUUGCAUGUUAGUACUACAUAGUAUGAUUGUUCAACAAUCCUAUAAUAAAUGUAAAGUGUAUACUUUUUUGUGAAUACUUCUAAUUUUGUUAUAUUGUAUAAAGAUAAUCAAAAUUUUAAGUAUGUUACUAAGAUAACUUAUUUUUAUUAAUUUUUUAUAUUUUUGUUUUAGUAUAGUUAUUUUAAUAAUUUGCUCUAUCAACUUGAAGCAAUAUGUUGGAACGACUUCUCAAAGUAUCACUUUGUUGAUAAGCUUUGUCUUUGCAUAUGUUUUGAGAAACAUAAAAUUGUUGUCAAUGAAUGAACGAACUCUCUCAUAAAACAUGAUGAAUAAAUUUAUUAUUCAUAAUUUAAUAUUACAAACAAUAAAUCCAAAAUAAAAAAAACCAUUAAAAUCACAAAAGCAUUUAUAAUUAAAAAUACAUUAAGGAAAUUUAGGUACAAUUAUAAUUAAACAAAAUUAAUAUGCUUGUAAUUAAACAAAAAAAUAUUAACAAACAAAUUGUAGAUUAAAUAAUCACAAAAAAACAACAUGCAAAAGGUGAAUUAAUUUAAUUCAAACAUUCAACACAUGAUAUACUGCAUAUAGGCAUGUGUAUGUGUGCGCACACACAUGAGCAAAACUACACAUAUAAUAUAAGAUAUCCAUAACAUACAUUAUGAAUUAUAUUGUCAAUAUAAGAUGAAAAUAUUUUUCAAUAACAUUUUCAAUGAACAUUAUGAUGUGAACUUUAGAAGGUUGGAAGAGUCUUGAUCAACUAAGAAGGUGUUGAAGAAGAAGAACUUCAUGGAUGAACAUUGAAAGAUUGUGAAAGCAUGAACUCCAUGAGUUUUAAUUUUGCAAUACAAGAAAACAACAUGUAAAGCUAUAAGAAAAUGAAAUGAUAAAAAAUGGUAAGAAGAAGAAGAGAUGUUUCUUAUCCUCUUAUGUGUGUAUGUUACAUCACUUCAUGUAUAGGAAAUAUAUAGAGAGUUUCUCUCCCAAAAUUACAAUCUAAUUAGGUAGGAUACUAAUCAUGAGAUUCUAUCAUUAUUAAAUUAAUUGCAUAUAAUUGGAUACAAUAUCGUACAAUAUUGCAUAUAAUUUGAUAAUUAUUAUUUAUUUAAUACUCUCCUCAAGUUGGUAGGUGAAGAUCAUGAACCCCAACUUGUGUCGUAGCGUCAAAAAUCGUUCCUUGCCCACUGCCUUCGUAAAAAUAUCUGCGAGCUGAUACUGUGUCGGUACAUAUGAAAGACUGAUUAUCCCAGCUUGUAAUUUUUCUCGCACAAUGUGACAGUCUAUCUCAAUGUGUUUUGUGCGUUCAUGAAAUAUUGAGUUUGCUGCUAUAUGUAAUGCCGCUUGAUUGUCACAGAAAAGUUGAGCUGGCAAGUUACAUGACACCUUUAAAUCCUGCAACAGAUAUCGCAACUAAACUAUCUCCAAACAAGUAUUGGUCAUCGUGUGGUAUUCUGCUUCCGUUGAUGAUCGUUUGUCUGUUUUUUUUUACUUCCAUGAGAUAAUAGAAGAACCAAGAAAAAUGCAAUACCCAGAUACUGAUCUCCGAAUUGUCUGACAACCUCCCCAGUCUGAGUCGCAAUAAACUGUCAAUGUCAGAUUGUUUUCGGAUGGCAAUAACAAUCCUUGUCCUGGUGAUCCUUUGAUGUACUUUAUGACUCGAAUUGCGGCAUCCUAAUGAGGUUUCUGUGGAUCCUGUAUAUAUUGACUUAGGGUUCGAACCAAAAAUCCUAUGUCAGGCCGAGUAACAGUGAGGCAUAUCAGCCGUCCCACAAGUCGCCUGUAUUUGACUGGAUCCUUUAAUAACUCUCCAUCGUCUAGUGUGAGUUUUAGGUAUUAUUCCAUUGGAAAUUUGUCUGGACGAGCACCUGUGAGUCCCGUAUCCUGCAAAAUAUCAAGCGCAUAUUUUCUUUGGGACAUGUAAAUACCAGCUUUGGAACGAGAAAAUUCAAUCCUUAGAAAAUAUUUAGGUCUCCAAGAUCAUUAAUGCGAAAUUGUUGUAAUAGACAAUCUUUAACACGCUGAAUUUCUGUCAAAUCAUUUCUUGUCAAAAGAAUAUCAUCCACAUAAAUCAAAAGGGUAGUAAAUGAUGAGUUAUUCUGUCUUGUGAAUAGAGAGUAAUCUAUCUUGCACUGUUGAAAUCCUACAGAUUUAAUCACAUGAGAAAAUGUUGAAAACCAUGUCUGAGAUGCUUGUUUGAGACCAUAAAGGGAUUUGUUGAGUCGACAUACAAUGUUCUCCCCCUGUCAUUGAUGCUUGGGUGGCAAGUCCAUGUAAAUAAUUUCAUGCAAUGUGCCAUGUAAGAAGGCAUUUUGCACAUCUAGCUGGUGAGUAAACUAAUUUCUGGCUGUUGCAAUGGUGAGGAGACACCUCAAAGUUGUUAAUUUUGCUGUUGGUGAAAAAGUUUCAGAAUAGUCGACACCUUCAAUCUGAGUGUACCCCUUUGCGACAAGGCGCGCCUUAUAUCUGUCGACGCUACCAUCUGAAUUGUACUUUAUUUUAUAGACCCAUUUGCAUCCGAUGAGUUUCUACCCAGCGGUAACGGUGUCAAAGUCCACGUUUGAUUUAGCUACAAGGCGAAAAGCUCUUCGUCCAUUACUUUUUGCCAAUUUGGAUCAAGGAUAGCUUGAGCAUAAGUGUGAGGUUCUUUAGUGGCUGUGAUGUUAGUAAGAUAUGCACUAUGUGUAGAAGAAAAUCGUGAAUUAUAAAGAAAAUGAUGCAUAGGAUAUCUGGUUCCAUUCGACCGAUCUUUGGCAGUGGUCGAAUGAUUGGCUUGGGAUCCCGUUACGUAGUCUUGAAGCCAGGAAGGUGGGGUUGAUGUGCGACUGGAUUGUCGAACAAGAAGGUCGGUUGGAGAAGGUUCGGUAAUGGGUGCUAGACUUCUUGGCAUGAGAGAAAAAUGUUAGUCUACUGGAGGUUCAGGUGUAUUAUGACGAGUAGGAGACAAAUGUUGGUUUGAUGGAGGUUCAAGUGCAUUGUGACGAGUAGGAGAAAAUAAUUGAUUUGAUGGAGGUUCAAGUGUAUUGUGACGAGUAGGAGAAGAAUGUUGGUUUGAUGGAGGUUCAAAUGCAUUGUGAUGAGUAAGAGAAGAAGGUUGAUCGAGUGAAUGUUGGACAGGAGUGGGUAAGUCAAUGUCAAUAGUGGACAAAAUACCUUGUAAUGGAGGUGAGGAUUGUGUCUGUGACGGUUGGCAGAAUGGGAAAACACUUUCAUGGAAGAUGACAUCCCGACUUGUAAAAAAAGUGUCUGCAUCUAUAUCAAAUAAUUUGUAUGCUUUUUUACUGUGAGGAUAACCAAUGAAGAUGCAUUUUCGGGCGUGCGGAUCAAAUUUUUGUUUAGGUGAAACAACAGUGGUGUAAUAGAGGCAACCAAAAGUUUUUAGGUGAGAAAGUGAAGGUGGUUGAUUAUAUAAUAGCUCAAAAGGUGAUUUAUUUUUUAGUAAAGGUGAUGACAAACAAUUAAUGAUAUAUGUGGCGGUUAAAACGCAUUCUCCCCAAAAUUCUAAUGGUAAAUUGGACUGAAAUAGGAGGGCUCGUGCUGUGUUUAAAACAUGUCUAUGUUUGCGUUCUACUACUCCAUUUUGUUGAGGAGUGUAGAUGCAAGUGCGUUGACAUUCAAUACAUUUUUUGAGAAAAAAAUCAUACAUUGAAAUAAAUUUCAGUCCGUUGUCAACGCGAAUGGUUUGAAUCGAUGCCUGAAAUUGAUUUUGUGCAAAUGUAAUGAAUGACUCUAAGAGAUGUUGGGUUUCAUAUUUGUGAUUCAUAAGAAAUAGCCAAGUACAUCUAGUAUAGUCAUCGACUAUAGUGAGAAAAAAAACGUUUUCCAAAAUGAGUUGGGGUUUUAUGAGGACCCCAAAUGUCACAAUGCAAUAGAUUAAAUGGAGAAUGAGAUUUUAUUGUGCUUAAAGGAAAGGGCAGCCAUGUUUUUUUAGCUUUGAGACAAAUACUACAAUUAUUAUGAAUGAGAAUGAGAUUUUUACUGAUAGGGAUAGGUAGUAAGGGAGAUACAAGUUAUAAACACGUCGGAGAAGGAUGUCCGAAGCGCUUGUCAGAGCCAAUCGAUAUUUGAGAUGUGUGGGCUUGGUUUGGAAGGGGGGACAUGUAGUAUAAGCCUGCGUGUUGUUUACCUGAGUCAAUCAUCCUCCCCGUAGCCAACUCCUGCAAAACGCAACCAUGUGGAAUAAAAACGACACAACAAUUAAGUGAACUGGUUAUCUUACUAACGGACAUGAAAUUUAAAUUAAAAGAAGGAACACAAAGAACAUCUUUGAGAGUGAUUUUGUCAUUGAAUUUAAUUGUGUCCGUAGAUGAGAUGGGCGCAGUUGAGCUUGUGGGUAGAUUAACAUUUGAAAUAAAUGAUGAUGAAUUGUGUGUGAAAAAUUGUAAAUCCGAUGCAAUGUGAUCGGUUGCUCCGCUAUCCAAAAUCCAUGGUUUCAUAAAAGCAGAAUUAAAAGAGGAGUUAUGGGCAAGCAAACCUGCAGAGCUAACAAACGUGUCACUUUUACCGUUAUUGUUGAGCGAGUAAAUAGCCUUUGCCAAUUGCUGAAUUUACUCGGCACUGAAGCCUUGUACGAGGUUUCUAUCAGACUCGUUACUGAUGCCUUCUUUGCCAGACAUGAUUUUUUAUUUAGGGGAUAAAAAUGGAGAGGCUGUUAGGGCACCAAGAUCGGUGCUCUGAUACCAUAUAAGAAAAUGAUAAAAAAUGGUAAGAAGAAGAGAUGUUUCUUAUUCUCUUAUGUGUGUAUGUUACAUCACUUCAUGUAUAAGAAAUAUAUAGGGAGUUUCUCUCCCCAAAUUACAAUCUAAUUAGGUAGGAUACUAAUCAUGAGAUUCUAUCAUUAUUAAAUUAAUUGCAUAUAAUUGGGUACAAUAUCGUACAAUAUUGCAUACAAUAAUUGCAUAUAAUUUGAUAAUUAUUAUUUCUUUAAUAAAAACAAUAACAAUUUGCAAAAACAAAUAAAUAAUGUAUCAAUAUUUGAAAUGGAGUAAGAACAUGCCUUUCAAGACGGUUCUUAAAAGAUAAGUGCAAGAAAAUUCAUCACUUGAAUUUUUUUUUUCAAGACUCACAAGGAUAAGUCUCACAAAAUGAUUUACAUGUUCUUACCACUUGAAAAAAAAAAUCAAGAUAAGAACUAAAACAAAAAAAGAACUUUCUUAAGAAUUGAAAAGAUAUAUCUCAAAAUGACUUCAUAUUAUUCUUCAAUAGUGUUUUACAAAAAGAGGCUAGACACCUUAUUUAUAUUGUUAUGUGCCAUGACCAAGAGAAUGAAAAGUCACUAAAAUAUCAUAAGGCAUGUGAUUAAGGAAGAGAAAUUCUAAGUGUAAACAUAAGACUAAUUAAGUUAAUGAUUUAACUUCAUUAAUCUUGUUUAACACUUAUCUAACUCCUAAUUUCCAUGGGUUGUUCUUAAAUUUAAUAGAGGCACCAUGGUAACAUUGUUACACAAAAACAUGGGAAGCUCCUUAAUUUAAAGAGGAGACAUGUGAAGUAGUUACAAGUUUCACAUGCACUUGAAAGUAACGUGUGGAAGUUAGAAACUUUUCAUGUGUCUCUUGAAUCAACUAAUUUUCGUCCAAAACACCUGGAGGGACAUGUGAAGUAGUUACAAACAUCACAUACACUUGAAAGUGACAUCUGGAGGUAGUUACAACCAUCAUAUAUGCUUGAAAGUGUUUUUCAUGUGCCUUUUCAUUUUUCUAGUAAUCUAAUCUUGUAGUUCUACAGUAUAAAAAAUUCAUUGAUCCUCUUGGAUAUUAUUUAAUAUCUAAAAUUUAUAAGCUAUCUUGUUUCUUCUUCAACUUCUAUAAUCAUCCUCUUGUGAAUCUUUCUUGGAAGUUUCUUCUUUAUUCUUUUCUUUGUCAUGUUCUUUUUAUUUAUUCUUAAAGUUUCCUUUCUCUUUUUCAUCGAAUUCUUCUCUAUUGCUAUUUAUAUCAACUGAAACAUUGUUAACAAGAUGUUGUAAUUCUUAAUCACAUCCCUUAUACAUAGUGUAACCACCACAUAAUGCCUUUUGUAAGACUCAUGUAUAUUAAACAUGUCCCACCAGAAACUAACAUUUGACACAUACAAAACACCAUCGGUAAACCCCACUAUCAAUUUCAUAUGUCAGAGUAGUACAAGCAUUUGCUAUCAAGGCAGAUGAUCACUUCUAACAAGCCAAAAGUAUAACCUCUUUUAGCUUAUCAUAAACUAAUAUCUUAAUUUGCAUGAUGAGAUCAUCAAUGAAGCUAUAAUAUCUCUUUUACUUAAUGAGCUAACAUACUUAAUAUCUUGCCAUAUAAGUCAAUAUCAUAUAAAGUAUCCACACACAUACCCAAAAAGAGUCACAUAUCAUAUAAAUAUGAUAUGUGUGUGUAUACAUAUGAACAAUUAUCUAACCUUUAUCAUGCUCAUCAUACACAUACAUUACAGGAAAAUAUGCAUUACCUACAAUAAAAAUUCGUAGGAAAAACCUAAAAUUUGUUGGUAAAAAUCACUUAUCAUCAUACAUAUCAUACAUUAAUCAUAUAUCUCAAUAUAUAUAACCAUUCAAUUCAUAGAUUAUCAUCAUAUUCAUUAUCGCUUGAGAAAACAAUUCUUUCUUAAGUGAUCGCAUUUUCCUUAGAAUAGGCCUUCUCGCUUAAAUAAUAUUACACCGUUUGAGUGAGAUACCUCUAGAGCACAUAAUUGAAUUUUCCUCUUCUUCACUUAAGUAUCGAUCUCUACACUUGAGUGUUCAUCAUUUAAGCAUUCUCACAACAUUUGAGCAACAUGUUUGUUGGAUCAUUUCCAACAAGUUCCAAAAAUAUAAAACAUACUAUUUCACCAACACUUGAGUAACCAAAUUACUUGAUCUCCCUUAAGUAGUUGCAUGAUUCACAAAGAUUCCAAAACUCAUGCAACACUACCAUAAACCCUAAACUUGAGUGACCAACGCGUCAUUUAAAAAUAAUUUUUCUAGAGGAGAGAGAGUUGUCUCCACAUCUCUCACUUAAACUACAAGUUAUCAUCUAAACAAAGCACUCCAUUGCUUAAGUCAUCUUACCGCUCACACAUUGGUGAGCGGUAAAGAUAAUCAUUAGACACCACUUUGACAUUGUUUAAGUACUGGUGCAAUAUUAAAUUCGACCCAACAUCAUUUUUUGUUUUCUAAAGAAAACAGCCAUGACAAUACCACUUAAAUCCUACUUCUAUCUAUUACAUAUAUUACAAGCUCCCAAUUAAUCCUCAAUAACACAUACAUUUUGAAAUAUAUCAAAAAUCAAAGUCAAAGUUAUACAUACAUCUGAUCCUAUAUAUAUAACAAUCCAAACUAUCAUAUCUUACACAUCUAAACAAUCAAAACACUGAUUACAUACAAACAUUAUGCCUCUUACUUGGAUGUAGUGUGCCUACUUGCUUAUGUUUUCCGAUUACUUUCAUAACACUCUCACCCAAAAAAUUGAAAUAAAAUAGUAAAAUAUCAAUAAAUUAUAAAAAAAUUAUUUCUCCUUAAACACUUUAUCCUCCUUAGAUGUUAUAAAAUAAGUCAAAAUAUAUUAAUAACUUUCAAACUUAUAUAAUCUCUUUUUGAGUAUGUGAAUAUGUGUAACUUAUGGAUUGACACGUUUUUUUGUUAUGCAUCUAAAUACACUAGAACAAUAGUUUGUGCAACUAAAUAGAAAGCAUAAUAAAGCAUGGAGAUGCAUGUGAAUGACAAUUGUUUGUGCAAUUUGGUAGCACAAAAAUAAGAUUAUUUUGUUUAAUGGCAAAAGGGAUGUGCUGAAAAUUUUUGCAAUAGCACAAUUAAAAAUUUGGGGAUGGAUUAUCAACAAGUAUACUAAAGUACAAUGUAGUUACUCUGACUGAUGUAUAAAUCCUUUGGAAUGCCUUUGGCUACUUUGGUACAAUCUUGUUUUAAUACCAUUUUUUGGGCUAAAACACUUUAUUAUUACAUGCUCUAAUUGAGAUUUGUAUAGUUUUUGUGAGGAUAGCUACAUAUAUUUUUUCUGCAAUUUUCAAAGUUGAUUGGCUAGGGGUACAUGUCACAUUACUGAGGUAGGCCGGAUUCAAAUCUAGUGAAACACGAGCAACAAACUUGAGCUUAGAACAAGGCACAAGACCAAAACACAUGCAAAUUGAUUCUAAACUGGGUUACCACCAUUAGAUGAGAACAAUCAAUACUCCAAGUAUACCUGUGGAAAGUAAUAGAGGUAAAAUUGAUGUGCAUAACUGUCCACACUGAAACAGGGCAAGGCUUGAAACUAGCUAAUAUGUUUUCAUGAGGCAUACUUUUCUGGCAUAAAAAAGUAUCUAAAGUGUUUUGUAUGUUAUCCCUUUAGUAUGGUACCUCUUUAGUUUAUGUCAACACUAAGUCUAUCAGAUUCUUUCGGGAGGAGAUUUGUUGAUGGUAUUUUGAUAAGAGUAGGUUUCACAACAAUGUUAUACUUCUAGUUUUAUCUUGUUAAGAUUAUUUUCGGGAUGUUGGUAUAGUUUGGAGGUCAACAUAACUUGUCUAUCUAUUUUUGUAUAAGCGUUUAAUUUUUUUAUAGGGAUUGGAGCACUCCUCAAGUGUUUCACGUUAAUUUUAUUAAUUCUUUGUUCAUAAAAAGAUAUUUUUUUUUUCAAACAUAUUAAAAUAAGCCUUUAAACUUAUAUCAUCGAAUUACAACAACUUACGAAGUAAAAUAAGAAACUAAAGAUACUCUUAUAUUGUAAACAUUCUCAAAUCAACUAUUAAGAGAAAGAAUUCACCGAUCAACAAUGGAGAAAAACUAAUUAACACUGUAAGACUCAUUUAUAGAUUUUAAACCAACUCAUGAUGUAUUUGAAUUUUCAACAAAAUAUUGUUCUUUCUUUGAAUUUCACCCUUUUAAGAAAUAUUGGAUCAAUUUCAAUAACAAUUUGCUUAUUAUCCAAACCAUCAUGGAAAUAAGUUUCCCUACAUGCUUAAAAAAAAGUAAUCAAUCCCUUUAUUUUCUCAAUGGCAACAUAAAAGAAGUAAUCAAUUACUUUAUUUUUGUAAAUGACAACAUCAAUAAGCAUAUCUUUUGAUUAUCUACGUUUCUUGGCAUUUAACUGCUUUGGUUGUUAAGUUUUAUGCAGUUAUAUAUGCUAUGGAGGAAGCUCAAAGAUGAGGCUUACUAGUGUAUGACUUGAAUGUGAUAAUGCCUUGGUUUGUGCUGCAUUUACUGUUACGAAUAAUGUAUCGUGGAUGCUUUGUAAUCAAUGAAAUACUUGUCUUAAUUAUUGUGGCAAAAUCAAGUUUAGGUUUACUCAUAUUUUUCGUGAAGGAAAUGUGUAUGUUGAUAAAUUGACUAACUUAGGAUUUAUUCAUAGAGGAUAAUUUCAUUGGUACAAUAAAUUUCCUUCUAGUUUGUGUUUAUAAUUCUUUAUGAAUAGGUAUAGUCUACCUAUGUACCAUUUUUGUUAACAUAUGAAUUUUGGUCUAGUCCCCCAAUUUUUUUGUAUUUUCUUUAUUUUAUUUUAUUUUAAUAAUAUUUUUUUUUGUGAUGACAGAUUAUUGUUGUUAUUUAAGGUGUCAGUAUAAGUGGGAUGUCAAGUUAUAUAGUGAUGUCAAACAUAAAAAAAAUUAUAUAUAAAAAAGCAUAUCUUUUUAUUAUAAAAGCUUGCUAACUAAAUUUGUAGAAGAUAUUAUUUCAAGCCAAAUAACUAUGAAAUUAAAAAGGCAAGUAUCAAACUCAUUAUUUUCUAAGGAUUUAAAUUCACUUUUUAUUUUAUAAUAGUAUAUCGUUAUAUGCAACUUGAAGUUAGAUUGCUCAUAUUUCUAAUAUUUGAAAUCUUAUUGCUUUAUCAGUAAAAACACGAGUUUCUCGGUAAGUGGAUGGUCAUAAUUUUCUGCAUAAGAAAUUUCCAUGGCUAUUUUGAUACAAUUUCCCAUUAGUACCCCAAAUUGUCAAAUUUUGCUUGACGAGAAAUUUCACAAUUGAAGUAACAGAAAAUAAACCUUUUUCCAAUGGUAUUUUUUCUUUCUCAAUUAGUCUUAAAUCACUUUAUCGAAAGUUUAAUUCUUUUGGAACCUUAGACGCAAUUCAUAUACCAAGUAGUCAUAUUCUUAAAAUGUUUAGUGUUUCUCUCAUACCAAGUCUGCCCAUAUAAAAAACCUUCAUUUGUUACUUGACCACUACCAAUUUCUCUUCUUAAAAACUCACUACAAGAAAAUUAAAUUAAAAUUAAACCAAUUUUAAAGAUAAAAAAUAAUUAAUUUUUAUAUUAAAUAGAUUACUUAUUAUGUUAAACACUAAAAAGUUAUUGAUAUUUGAAUUAAUUUAUAUUAUUAAUAAAUAAUUUUUAAUUGAUAUCUAAUUAGCUACCAAAAUUUUAUCAAUUAGUUUAGAUUCUAAAGUUGAUAGUUAAAAUCUUGAUAGCUAAUUUGAUACUAAUUUAAAAACUAUUUAUCAAGAAAAACUAAUCGAGAUAUUAAUAAUUUUUUCAAUCUCUAAAAUAAUGUUUAAUUUAAUUAUUAUAGUUACUAAUUAUUUUUUUAAAAAAAUUAUUUUUAUUUAAUAAUUUUCUUAUAAUAACGAUACAACACAUAAUCACGUAUCAACUUAUGAAUCUCUUCUAUAAAUUUGAAUUACAUUUAAAGUUUCAUUUUAAAAAAAAAAACUAUUUCACAUAUAGAAAUUAUCAGUUAAUCCACUAGAAAAUUAUCUUUAGAACCUUUAUUAAUGGAAUGAUCUCUUCUAGGAUCUUUUUUAACUAAUAAAUCAAAUCAUUUUAGAAUCUAGGAAUCCCAUUUUCUAGGAUCAAAUAUGUGAUAUAAAUGAAAAGUGUGAGAUGGAUUUACUUGCUCAAUAUUGUGAUUGUCAAGUGAAUUAUUAAAAAUUGUCAUUUUCUACAUGAUAAUCAAGAUCAUGAAACACAACAUAAAAUUUAGAUUCUCCUUGCAUGAGUUGUUUUAGGAGGUUGAAGUCUAACGAUUGGUGUAAAACCAACCAACAAGGGUGAAAGACAUUAGCAAAGUGGUGAAUUUGUUGGGCACAUGCAGCAGCAAUAUAAAGAAAUGAAGAUGUUCCAUGAAAAGGGUGUGAUAAAGAAACGAAGUUGUUACAUGAAAAGGGUAUUUAUGAGGGAGCAACUGAAAAAGUGGAAGCAAGAACAGAAAAGGAAGAAGGAGAGAAGAGAGAAGAGAGGUGGAGGCACGUGGGGAGGGACAUUAGGGCGGCACGCGAGCGCAAGACACGCGUGUGUGCUAGCGCAUCAUCAUAAUUCCGUUUUCACACCAAACACCUCAUCCACACUGCACGCCAUUUUCCUUGCUUAAACCAUGUGCUUCUGCUCACACCUUUCUCUCUAAUUAUAUACACACAACACAUUCCUAUCAGAUCCAUCACAAUUUACUUUUUAAUUUAUCUAAAUUUCUAUUUUUUUUAAAAAUUACUAUGUUUGCAAGAACACUUUUUUUUUCAUUAAAUAUGAUUUUUCUUUUUUGAAAUCAAAUUGUCCUCACUAGUUCCAGUAUUAUUAAAUGCAGAUAUUAGGCAUUGUUUUAAUUAAAUUAAUAACAAAACGUGAUUGAGAAAAAAAAUAAACACUUUUCCAGAAUUAAUAUAUCUUUUUUUUAAAUGAAACUUUAAUAGUUAAUAAAAUCAAACACUUUUCCAAAUGCUUCCUUAGCAAGAUUUUCAAUACAAUAUAAACUAAACUAAAUAUAUAUUUUACUCUUCUGAAAUAAAACUACGCUUUAAAGAUAUCAUAAUUUUCUACUAAAAAUAAGUAAUACAUAUAUAUAUUUAGUAUCAUGAUAUGAUUCUUCUAUGAUAAGUUAGAAUUUUUGAACAAUUUAUUGGUAAUGUAUUAUGUUAGAUAAGAUUGAAUUUCUUAAGUUGGUUUGUAUUAAUGAUUUUUUUUUAAAGGUUGGAAUGUGUAUUUUGUAUUUCACUUGUUGAAAUGGUGUGUUUUACAAAUAUAUUUAUCAACAAGACGUAAAUUGUUGAUCAAGAAGCUUGAAUUUUUUUUGUUAAAUGUUUUAAAUCAAUAUGAAACAUAAAUUUUCCAUUAUAUAAAUUAUUUUUCAAUAUAAAUUCUCCAUUAUAUCAAAAUCAUGUACAUGGGAGAGUGAUUGUGGUCAAAGAGGAUAAGCCUAUGGCUCAUCUGGAUGUUUUCAAGAAGUUGCAUCUUGCUUGGAAAUCCUUAGGUUCUUGGAAGGAUAUAACUCUAGGUAAAAGUUUUUAUGAGUUUUAUUUUUUCCUUUCUUCAGAUAUGAGAUGUGUUUUUAAAUUUGGUUCUUGAAACAUGUUUUUUGGGGUUCUUUGAGUUUUUGCUUAGACCAAUGACUUUGUUCUAGUCACUAUGAAACUUACCAAAACUCAAUGUUGAAUGUGUAUGUAUACAUGGUCUACCUUUGGAGUAUUGACACCCAAGGGCUAUUUUCUCCACUACAAGAGGAGUUGAUACCUCUCUUUUGCUUGAUGAUUGCAAUAUGAACAAGAAGUGUGUUCUUUUCUUGUGAUCUUAUUGAUAUUGAUAUGCUUUCAGAAUUGUCUAACCAAAUAUUGAUGAAGAUCUCUAGUUUUGCUUUUGUUGUUGAUAUUGAAUAUGAAAACUUACCUCCUUUCUACUUUUCUUGCAAGAUGAUUGGGCACAAUAGCAAUAAUUGCAAAAGAUACAAGGUUGAAGAUAACAAUUUGUUAGUCUAGAGAAAGAAGUGAAUAUUGUUAAAUAGAUGUAUAUUCCUAAGAUAAAGAAGGACAAUGUUUCAGAUUUUCUUGAUACUAAUUUUGGUGCUUUUGUGAAGGUUACUGUUAUAAUUGUGGGCUCCAUUGUUGUUGCUGACAGAUCUUUUAAUUAAUUGGUUGAUAUGCCAACUUUAGAACCUAUUCUUAGUUUGGCAAAGGAAGAUUUGAUCAUUCUAGUUUUUAAUAUGAGUAAAAUUAAUUUUAAAUCAAAUUUAAAUAAGUCUAGAGGGGAAGGCUCAUGAUGAUAAAGAUUAGGUUUUUGCAAAACUAAGACAAAUGGUGAAUUAACCUAUUUUAGCUUUGAAUAAUAGUUUUAAUAACUUAUCUAAUGGUGAUUCAAACAUGCCUACUUAUCCUAAAGAUAAUUCCAAGUUUGAUGUUGUUGUCAAGGGUUCUACAGUGACCAAAACUUCCACAAGCUUGUGAAAGAGGCUAAAUUGGUUUCCAAAUUCUAGGAUGACAGGGUGCUAAAGGAGGAUGAAUCUUUAAGUGAAUUGGAUGAGAUUGAAAGUGAUGUUUAUUUCUCAACCUAUCAACUAUUUUACUAGUACUCAUGCUACUUUAUUUCAAAAUGUCAAAUUCUACACUACUAAUGAUAGAAAUAAUUUUGGGCCUAGCUUGUGGUGUUUGGCCAGGUAUGAUGUGUUUAUCAAUAUUAUUUAGUCUUCUUUGUAAUAUGUUUUUAUCAUAGUUUCUUUUCACAAACAAACCUUGAAUAUUGUUGGCAUCAAUGACUCUACUUUAUAUAUGGUUAGAAGGUUCUACUAGACUGAUAUAUCCAAUUUGCAGCAAGCACCUUUGUAUCUUUUUGGGGUCUUAAUGUUUUGUUUUCUAUUGAAGAAACCAAGAAAGGGGGUGUACGCCUAAUAACUUGUCCUGUUCUGAAUUUCAUGAAUGGAUCAAUUCCAAUGAACUUAUUGAUAUUCCUUUAUUGGUUCAUUUUUUACUCAAAGCAAUUGUAUACAUGGUAGUCAAUGAAUUGAGAGAAAGCUUGAUAGAGCUCUUUGUAAUUUUCCUUAUCUUGAUCAAUUGUUUAACCGCAUAUGCAAAGUCAUGUCUAGGAACUAUUAUGAUCACCAUUGUUGAUUUCCCUCUCUCAUAAUGAGGUCUCUCAUAGACCUUCUUUUUUUAGGUUCUUUAAAAUAUGUUGAAUGUAAGACUGUGAUGCAAAAGUCCUAGAAGAGGAGGUUUUUGGUUGCCCUAUGUUGGUUCUUCAAAAAAAAAAAGCUUUAGCGUUUUGAAAUAUGUUCUUAAAAAUUGGAAUAUAAAUGUGUUUGGGAAUGAGUAUACUACUAUGGUUGAAAAACAACACAUUUUGGAUUCCGUAUAGUAGUAGAUAACGGUUUCUUCUUUGGAGAAAAUUGACUCUCUUCUCAAAAAAGAAAAGGAAAAGGAAACUAUUGAUAAUCUCAAAAUGACUUUUGAUAUCCAAGCUCUAUUUUGGAAGGAGAAAAGUAGAAUGAACUAAUUUGUGAACAGUGAUAAAAAUACAUAGUUCUUCUAUGUUAUAGUUAAAAAAAAACAUAUUAUUGAUAAUUUUGUUCACAGACUGGUUGAAAAGGAUUUGGUUUUGUAAGGAUUUUUACAUUGCUGAUAAUGAUCCUGACUCCUUUGCUAAUAUGAAUUAUCUUAUUACUUUUUGCAUUUCUCAUUUCACUACUCGUGAUAAUUGUCCUUCUAAUGAUGAAAUUAGGAAAGUUGUUUUUGACCUAAACGCUAAUAGUGCUCCGGGGCCGGAUGAUUUUGGUGUUUCUUCUACCAUGUUUAUUGGGAUAUCAUUGGUUCUGAUGUUUGUAAUGAUGUCAAACAAUACUUUUUACAAACCUUUUUUUCUCAUGUUUUAUGUAGGUGAUGCUUUUGUCUUUUGCAGUGCCAAUAGAAGCACAACUCAAGUCAUUUCCCAACGAAUCCAAUAGUAAAUUUAUUCAAUCAAUGUUUUAAACAUAUAUGCAAGUAAAAGGCUAAAAAUAAAAAUAAAGAUAAAAUGGGGUAGAGAUUGCUAGUAGAAAAUUAAGAGAGACGAUUAUAAAACAGUAAAGAAAGCAUGCUGACUCUCAAGUUCAUUCAACAGUCAAUUCUUCACUGAUUAUCUUAAGAUUGUCACUCUUUCAAUUCUAACUCUGAUGUCAAACUUAAUCAAACAAUUGUCAAUCAAAUUCAACAGAAUCUUACACAAAACAAGCAUAUACUAACGUAUUCAAUAUCUCACUCAUCUUCAAGCAUUUAGUCAUGAUAUGUUUAUCUUUUACCCCUUUAACUAAGCGAAUAAGAGAUUGAUUAGAACUAAGAAAACUAACCAAGGACUCUAAUUAAUGAAAAUAAUCAAAUUCUCAACAAGCGUUCAGAAAUAAUUUCUUAACAAAAACCAAAAUUCAAAAAGAUAAGAUCUUUUGAUACAGACUGCUACAGAGAUUUUAAGAAUAAAACUUUAUUGAACAGAAACCUCAUAAUUCAUUAGGUAACAAGAAAACCAAUCCAAAGGAGUUUAGCAUUCCAUGUGGAGACAAAACGAAAGAAUUACAAAGAAGAAAAUAAGAAAACUAUAAUGUUUUAUUUUUCAAACAUGUUCCAUUAUGAAGCAUGAUGAUUUCUUCUUGAAGCUUGUAUCUUUUUGUAAGUUUUUCUGCUCCAAGAAUUUCAGAAAUAUAUUUUGUCUCAGAUAUUGUUCACUGUUUCCCAUAUCACAGUUUCUCAUAUAUUCCAGAAUUCUCAAAAUUUAUUUUAAGUUUAAUCGUGAUUUUGUUUCUUCGUAUCUUUGCAGAUGAUUUGCUUCCAAUUCUGUUUCUUAGAUAUUGCAGAUUUUAUUCGUUAAUCAUAAAUCUUCGCUUGAUUAGGCUCACCCAUAACAUUAGACACUUACUUAAAACUGUCCAUCAAACAUUUUUAUUAAACUAUUUACACUAUGAAAUAUUUAAUCGUUUACUGCAACUAAAAACACAUAAUUAGCAGAAAUAACAAUUAAGAUUAAAAUAAACAUACUUAGAUGAAUAGGAUUAAAGCUGUUGUAAAACGAAGUAGAUAUUGCAAAAUAUCUUAAAAACAAUUGUGAACCCACGUGCCUAGAGUUGCGGAAGAUUUUGGAGGAAGUUGAUUGAAGAUGUCAAAUGCUGUUAUGAGUGCAACAAGAAAAUAAAUUAGGUGCAACAGCAAAUUGAAAUCAGCUAUGGAGAUGGAAAAUAUCUUUGCUUCCUAUCCCUAUAUAAAGAGGGGUUCCAUCCUCUCCAAAUGCACAUCUUUCUCAUUCACUCUCUUCAUCUUCUUCACCCACCGUGAAGCUUCUUUUCUUCUCUCUUUUUCCACUUUCUCUCUCCUCACUUACUUUAUUAUAUUUUUAAGUUUUAUAUUGGGUUCCAUUGGGUAUUACUCUUUUAAAGAGUAACUUGCUAGUUCUGAUCCUCGGAAAUAUCCGGGAAGUUCCUGUUGUAUCCUGGGGGACUUACGCAAUACACCGCGGAUAAGUCCUUACGGACAGUGAUUACUCACGCCUCGGGAAAUCUUUUAUUUUGUGUUCGUUUUAAAGCCAAAUACUUCAAAAAUUGUAAGGACUUAUGGCUNNNNNNNNNNNNNNNNNNNNNNNNNNNNNNNNNNNNNNNNNNNNNNNNNNNNNNNNNNNNNNNNNNNNNNNNNNNNNNNNNNNNNNNNNNNNNNNNNNNNCCGGAAACAUCAAAUGUUGUUUCCGCAACGCAAACCAUUUUUGCGAAACCUUUUCCGGACGUCUCCAAAAUUGAAGUCUUCACCGGUCAGAACUUCCGACGUUGGCAAGAACGCGUGUCCACCCUAUUGGACAUGUACGGAGUUGCUCAUGCACUUACAACUGCCAAACCCGACUCAACCACGGCUGCGAAACAAGUUGACGACUGGAUCCAUGCGAAUAAGGUAUGCCGUCACACUUUACUCAGUGUGUUAUCUAACGAUCUGUUCGAUGUUUAUGCUUCUUAUAAGAAUGCGAAAGAUAUUUGGGAUUCUCUUAUCCUCAAAUAUACUGCCGAAGACAUCGUCAGACAAAGGUUCGUAAUUGCAAAAUACUACCGUUGGGAGAUGAUCGAAGGCAAAGACAUCAAAAUCCAAAUAAACGAAUAUCACAAGCUGAUUGAAGAUAUCAAAACUAAAAGCAUAAAAUUGCCAGAUGAAUUCGUGUCCGAACUCUUGAUCGAAAAGCUUCCGCAGUCUUGGACGNNNNNNNNNNNNNNNNNNNNNNNNNNNNNNNNNNNNNNNNNNNNNNNNNNNNNNNNNNNNNNNNNNNNNNNNNNNNNNNNNNNNNNNNNNNNNNNNNNNNAACUGAAGCACAGACAGAAACAGAUGUCUCUAUCAGAUUUGAUCACCCACAUCAUCAUUGAAGACACAAACAGGAAGGAGUGCGCUGCUGCAAAGGCCAAAGCUUUGUCUGCCAAAGCAAACGUGAUAGAAGACAAACCAGCUCCAAAAAGGUACGAGAAAAAAUUUGAUCACAAAAAGAAACCUAAUAACAAAUUCUCUCGUCCUAGUGGAACUAACUCCACUUUCAAGAAAAAAGGUAAUUGCUUUGUCUGUGGAAAGCCAGGCCAUCAUGCACCUCAGUGCAGACAUAGGGCUAAAAACGACUAUCCUCCUAAGGCAAAUCUAGCCGAAGGGGAAGAUACUAUUGUGGCAGUCGUUUCACAAGUAAACCUUGUGACAAAUGUGAGCAAAUGGGUGGUAGACUCUGGGGCUACCAGACACAUCUGUGCAAACAGAAAUGUGUUCACCUCCUACACAAGUGUGGGGGAUGGAGAAGNNNNNNNNNNNNNNNNNNNNNNNNNNNNNNNNNNNNNNNNNNNNNNNNNNNNNNNNNNNNNNNNNNNNNNNNNNNNNNNNNNNNNNNNNNNNNNNNNNNNNNNNNNNNNNNNNNNNNNNNNNNNNNNNNNNNNNNNNNNNNNNNNNNNNNNNNNNNNNNNNNNNNNNNNNNNNNNNNNNNNNNNNNNNNNNNNNNNNNNNNNNNNNNNNNNNNNNNNNNNNNNNNNNNNNNNNNNNNNNNNNNNNNNNNNNNNNNNNNNNNNNNAAAUUAUGAAUGAAUCUAAAUCUUCUGCUUAUAUAGUUGACUCGUAUGAUAUAUGGCAUGCUAGAUUAGGACAUGUGAAUUCUUCGUAUGUUAUAAAAUUGCAACGACUAGGAUUAAUCAACAUGCAUGACAAACAAAGUAGUAAAUGUGAUGUAUGCGUAGAAUCUAAAAUAACGAAGAAAACAUGUCACUCUGGAGAACGUCAAACUGAAAUUCUUGGUUUAAUUCAUACCGACCUUGCUGAUUUAAAACAAACCAUGUCUAGAGGUGGUAAAAAUUAUUUUGUAACCUUUAUAGAUGAUUUUUCUAGAUACACCAAAGUGUAUUUAAUUAAACAUAAGGAUGAAGCCUUUGAUAUGUUUUUAACUUAUNNNNNNNNNNNNNNNNNNNNNNNNNNNNNNNNNNNNNNNNNNNNNNNNNNNNNNNNNNNNNNNNNNNNNNNNNNNNNNNNNNNNNNNNNNNNNNNNNNNNNNNNNNNNNNNNNNNNNNNNNNNNNNNNNNNNNNNNNNNNNNNNNNNNNNNNNNNNNNNNNNNNNNNNNNNNNNNNNNNNNNNNNNNNNNNNNNNNNNNNNNNNNNNNNNNNNNNNNNNNNNNGAAUCUAUGCUUACUGCGUGUUUUUUACAAAAUAGGAUACCACAUAGGAAAACUGGUAAAACACCCUAUGAGUUGUGGAAAGGUUAUCAACCUAAUUUGAAAUACCUAAGAGUGUGGGGGAGUUUGGCUAAAGUGAUGUUACCUGAUCCUAAGAAAAGGAAAAUAGGCUCUAAAACAUCUGAUUGUAUGUUCUUAGGAUAUGCAGAACAUAGUGCUGCCUAUAGGUUUCUAGUUCUUAAUAGUGACAUAAUUGAACGCAACACUAUAGUAGAGACAAAAAACGCUGAGUUCUUUGAACACAUCUUUCCGCUAAAGAGUAGUGGUACAUCUAAACAACCUAUAGAUAGUGUUAGUGAUACCUUGAGUGAGGAUGUUAGAAGAAGUAAAAGACAGAGAAAGGAAACAUCUUUUGGAAAUGACUUUUAUACUUAUCUAGUUGAGAAUGAUCCAAUAAGUUUUGUAGAAGCUACUAGUGCUCCUGAUGCUAAACAUUGGGAUAAGGCCAUUAAAACAGANNNNNNNNNNNNNNNNNNNNNNNNNNNNNNNNNNNNNNNNNNNNNNNNNNNNNNNNNNNNNNNNNNNNNNNNNNNNNNNNNNNNNNNNNNNNNNNNNNNNNNNNNNNNNNNNNNNNNNNNNNNNNNNNNNNNNNNNNNNNNNNNNNNNNNNNNNNNNNNNNNNNNNNNNNNNNNNNNNNNNNNNNNNNNNNNNNNNNNNNNNNNNNNNNNNNNNNNNNNNNNNNNNNNNNNNNNNNNNNNNNNNNNNNNNNNNNNNNNNNNNNNNNNNNNNNNNNNNNNNNNNNNNNNNNNNNNNNNNNNNNNNNNNNNNNNNNNNNNNNNNNNNNNNNNNNNNNNNNNNNNNNNNNNNNNNNNNNNNNNNNNNNNNNNNNNNNNNNNNNNNNNNNNNNNNNNNNNNNNNNNNNNNNNNNNNNNNNNNNNNNNNNNNNNNNNNNNNNNNNNNNNNNNNNNNNNNNNNNNNNNNNNNNNNNNNNNNNNNNNNNNNNNNNNNNNNNNNNNNNNNNNNNNNNNNNNNNNNNNNNNNNNNNNNNNNNNNNNNNNNNNNNNNNNNNNNNNNNNNNNNNNNNNNNNNNNNNNNNNNNNNNNNNNNNNNNNNNNNNNNNNNNNNNNNNNNNNNNNNNNNNNNNNNNNNNNNNNNNNNNNNNNNNNNNNNNNNNNNNNNNNNNNNNNNNNNNNNNNNNNNNNNNNNNNNNNNNNNNNNNNNNNNNNNNNNNNNNNNNNNNNNNNNNNNNNNNNNNNNNNNNNNNNNNNNNNNNNNNNNNNNNNNNNNNNNNNNNNNNNNNNNNNNNNNNNNNNNNNNNNNNNNNNNNNNNNNNNNNNNNNNNNNNNNNNNNNNNNNNNNNNNNNNNNNNNNNNNNNNNNNNNNNNNNNNNNNNNNNNNNNNNNNNNNNNNNNNNNNNNNNNNNNNNNNNNNNNNNNNNNNNNNNNNNNNNNNNNNNNNNNNNNNNNNNNNNNNNNNNNNNNNNNNNNNNNNNNNNNNNNNNNNNNNNNNNNNNNNNNNNNNNNNNNNNNNNNNNNNNNNNNNNNNNNNNNNNNNNNNNNNNNNNNNNNNNNNNNNNNNNNNNNNNNNNNNNNNNNNNNNNNNNNNNNNNNNNNNNNNNNNNNNNNNNNNNNNNNNNNNNNNNNNNNNNNNNNNNNNNNNNNNNNNNNNNNNNNNNNNNNNNNNNNNNNNNNNNNNNNNNNNNNNNNNNNNNNNNNNNNNNNNNNNNNNNNNNNNNNNNNNNNNNNNNNNNNNNNNNNNNNNNNNNNNNNNNNNNNNNNNNNNNNNNNNNNNNNNNNNNNNNNNNNNNNNNNNNNNNNNNNNNNNNNNNNNNNNNNNNNNNNNNNNNNNNNNNNNNNNNNNNNNNNNNNNNNNNNNNNNNNNNNNNNNNNNNNNNNNNNNNNNNNNNNNNNNNNNNNNNNNNNNNNNNNNNNNNNNNNNNNNNNNNNNNNNNNNNNNNNNNNNNNNNNNNNNNNNNNNNNNNNNNNNNNNNNNNNNNUUGGAGAUCCCAUGAAUAAGGUUCGUAUGGGUAAAAACAAGUCACUUAUUAGUUCUGCUAGCACUAAUAUUGAUUUUAAAUCAAUUUUGUCCAUUCCUAUGGUGUGUGUGAAAGUGCUAGAUACUGCAUUAUCGAGAGGAUAAACUUUGUGGUUAAAAUUCAGAGGUAAAAGAGUUUUAACGAUUUACAAAGUUUUAAUGAUUUUCAUAUCCCUUAUGGGUGGUGUAUAAUUUGCAGUAUACACUUGAUGAAAUCACCUAUAUGAGUGUCAAGUGGGGCCGCUUGCAUGAGAUCUUGGCAAGAUCUCUAUAGCACUCAUGAAUACCGGGCACGCGCAUGGCCUAGUAGCGCAACACAGCGAUAACAGCAAGUAAUGUGGGGGUGUAUUGUGAUUUAUAAACCUCUAACACAUACUAAGUGUCUUGGUUCAUAUAGCUUGCUAUACCAACUACACUAUGUGUUACGUUCAUCAAUCUAAGACUGGUUCAUAUAGCUUGCUAUACCAGAUCUGAUGCAUUACAUCUUAGAUGAACCCAAAAUUUAUUUAUUUAUUUUUUUUCUCUUUAUCUUUAUCCUUUGCAAUAUGUGGGGGAUUGUUGUAAAACGAAGUAGAUAUUGCAAAAUAUCUUAAAAACAAUUGUGAACCCACGUGCCUAGAGUUGCGGAAGAUUUUGGAGGAAGUUGAUUGAAGAUGUCAAAUGCUGUUAUGAGUGCAACAAGAAAAUAAAUUAGGUGCAACAGCAAAUUGAAAUCAGCUAUGGAGAUGGAAAAUAUCUUUGCUUCCUAUCCCUAUAUAAAGAGGGGUUCCAUCCUCUCCAAAUGCACAUCUCUCUCAUUCACUCUCUUCAUCUUCUUCACCCACCGUGAAACUUCUUUUCUUCUCUCUUUUUCCACUUUCUCUCUCCUCACUUACUUUAUUAUAUUUUUAAGUUUUAUAUUGGGUUCCAUUGGGUAUUACUCUUUUAAAGAGUAACUUGCUAGUUCUGAUCCUCGGAAAUAUCCGAGAAGUUCCUGUUGUAUCCUAGGGGACUUACGCAGUACACCGCGGAUAAAUCCUUACGGAUAGUGAUUACUCACGCCUCGAGAAACCUUUUAUUUUGUGUUCGUUUUAAAGCCAAAUACUUCAACAAAAACUGUAUAGUACAAUCAAAACUAUGUUCUAUCAUCAACCUAAUUACCUAAUUGAGAUGUUAAGAUUAACCCUCAUAUCUAAGAUAAAUUUUUUUAAUAAAAAAAAAUAUCUUUACCGAAUAUGAGGAACCGUGAAUAUUGAAUUCACGUGUUGCUAGUCCCAUCGCCCGGUUUCCAUUAUUCUGGGACAGAUCAUUUCCACUCGAAGAAGGAAUGUCCUUCCAAACAUUUCCAUGUUAUCUACUUUUUCUCUUUUUCUCUCUUCAUUCUUCUCCUUUAUCUCAUUAUCUCUUCACAAAAAUAUUGCUUUAACUAUUCUCUCAAUUUAUUAAUUCCAACAACUUGUGUUCUUUUAGUUUUCUUUUUCGUAUAUAUUUGACUUCGUCAGCACUAAUAUACUAAAGAAAAUAGAAAAAAACAGAGGUUGAUGAUGCAUCAAAUGAUGUUACAAUGCAUAUAGUGAUUUCAUGCUAAAAUAUUAUCAUGCAUAAAUGAUUUUAUGCUAAAAUAUUAUCAUUCAUGUCCUUUAAUAUUUUUUUUUAACACGCACAAAGAUAGAUUUUAUAGACUUAUUCUAACUUCAAUUAUUUAUGUAUAAAUAAAUUUAUAAUUGUAUAUUGGAAAUGAUAAAUUAAUUAGUAGAAAAUUGAGGUUUUUCUUUGUAGGUUCAAAAUAGUGAUGCACAUGAAAAAUAGUAUUAUUAGAUACAAAAAUAACCAGAUAUCAGUGUUUGAUGAAUUACAUUUGCCCCCUGCUACAUAUAUGCUUAUUUGGAUUGAUUUCACAACAAAGAAUUUUUUUUUUUAUAUAGUUUUGCUGUUAUUUAUCAAUAAAUUACUGUGCAUUUUAGCUGUAUUGGGUUAUAUAAUAAUUACACCAAAAAACAUAUUAACAAUAAGUUAUGAUUAAAUUGUGAUAUUAAACUAUUUAAUACCUAAUUAUUAAUAUUUUCAAAAUAUAUCAUACAAAAGCAACCAUUAUUACCAUCACAAAAAAUUAAAAAAAUCAUGGUGCUCGAAAUUUCAUUAGCCAAUUGUAUUCGUCAAUAUCAUGACCAAAGUCGCAUAACAAGAAUCAUGUUCGUUUGAUUUCAAAGUAAGGAGGGCUUAGCGUAAUUUAUAAGGGAUUAUAAGAUCGAAACUUUUUCAAAAUUACGUCAAAAUACUAAAUUUUAAAAACCAAAGAAAUUUACUUUAACAAAUUAUUUUAUUAUAAGGAAAUAGUUUAAAAUCAUGUAUAUGAAAUUAGAGAUAGCAAAUAAAGUUAUCUAUAAGUAUUGUGUGAAUUUGUGAUCAUUUUGAUUGAGGAAAAUUCUCACAUUCACUUGGUAGGAGUAUUAGUAAUAGGGGUGGGCAUGUCCAAUCUAAAUCCAAAUCCAAAUAAAUGGAUUAAAAUUCAUAUCCACUUUAACUAAACCAAAUAUAUUUGGAUUUAUUUUAAAUCCAUUUAAAGUGGAUUGAAUCUAGAUUAAAUCCACUUUGUUAAAUUCAUUUUGUCAAUUACAUUAAAUCUAUUUUGAUAUGGACAUACACUAACUUGGCUCGAACUGGGCCUAAGCCGACUCAACCUGGACGCACACCAAAAUCGACUCGGGCCUGGACGACUCGACAUCAGCCUGGGCCCGGACGACUCGAUAUCGGCCUAGGCCCGGACGACUCGACAUCGAACGGGCCCUCUCGGCUCGACAUCGGCCCGAGCCCAGACGACAAGACAUCAAGCCCGGGACCGAACAACUCGACAUCAGUCUGGGCCCGUACGAUUCAACAUCGUACGGGCUCGUACGACUUAACAUCGGCCCGGGCCCGUACGACUCGACAUCGGCCCGGGCCCAUUCGACUCAACAUCGGCUCGAACCCGUACAACUCGACAUGGCCUGGGCUGGUACAACUCGACAUUGGCACGGGCGGUAUGACUCGACAUCGACCCGGGCCGGUACGACUCGACAUCGGCCCGGACCCUUACGACUCGACAUCGACGCGGGCUCAUACGACUCGACAUCGACCCGGGCCCGUACGACUCGACAUCGACCCGGGCCCAUACGACUCGACAUCGACUCGGGCCCAUACGACUCGACAUCGGCUCGAACCCGUACAACUAGACAUGGCCUGGGCUGGUACAACUCGACAUCGGCACGGGCAGGUACGACUCGACAUCGACCCGGGCCGGAACGACUCGACAUCGGCCCGGGCCGGUACGACUCNNNNNNNNNNNNNNNNNNNNNNNNNNNNNNNNNNNNNNNNNNNNNNNNNNNNNNNNNNNNNNNNNNNNNNNNNNNNNNNNNNNNNNNNNNNNNNNNNNNNAUUAAAUUAAAUAAAUUGUAGGGUACAUAUUUGAAUAUUUUUACUUCUUUUCUAAUAUUUUUAUUUCUUAUUUAUUUUUUUAAAUGAGAAUAUCUUACUCUCAAUUGCUUGAAUGAUUGAAUACAUAAACCCAUUUUGUUUUCUACAAUAACAAGAUAUCAAAAUAUGGUGUAAUUGACAAAUUAUUUUCGUCUAAGCAAUGAUUACACUUUGUUUUGAUAAAUGAAGUUCUAGAUUUUUUUUCUUCUUUUUGGCCAUCAACUCUAAAAAUUCAUUUACAUCAUCAUUAACAUCAUUUCACAACCAAGUUGAACUAAUUAUGUCCUAUCUCAAAUUGAGUUGUGUUAGAGUCAGAUCGAGCUAAAAUCCAACUCAGCCUUAAAUCAAGUCAAGUCAACCUAGAUCUAAGUCAAUUUGAGUUUAGUCAAAGUCAGCCCAGGCUCAAGUCCAACCCAAACCCUUGUUGAGUAGAGUCAACCUGGUUCCAAGUCUUGAGAAACAUGGUCAAGUAUGGCUAAUUUGAGUUGGGAUCCUAUUAGCCUGCGAUAUCGAGCCUACAUCGGGUUGGACCAUGUUCAAUCAAGUUAGGUAAGGCCGAGUCUAGUUGGGCUAAGUGUAGGUCAAACCAAGUUAGGUCAGGUCAAGUCGAAUCGAGUUGAGCCUAUUUUUGGUCCAAACAUCGGGCAUAUAUCGGGUUGGGGCCAUGUCGUGUCAAGUUGAGUCAAUCCGUGUCAGGUCAAGCUAAGUUGACCAAUUCCCAGGUCGAGCUGAGUCUGUCUGGUCCCACAUUCAAUUGAGUUGUGUUAGACCAUAUCAGGUUGAAUUCAAUAAAGAUUAGGUUAGGUCGGGCCAAUAUCGAGCUGAUCCCAACUAUGUCUAGGGUCAAAUAGGGCUCAAGUGAGAUCAAGACGAACUAAGUCAGGUCAGGCCAAGUCAAGUUGGGUUCGUGUCUGAUAGAUACACACAUCAAAUUGAUUAGGUUAAUCGAACAUCAAAUUUAAUCUAAUUGACAAAGUAGAUUUAACCUAGAUUUAAUCCAAUUUAAAUUGAAUUGAAAAAAUUCAAAUCAAUUUGAUCCAGUUAAAAUGCAUAUGGAUUAUCCAAUCUAAUUUAUUGGAUUUGGAUUGAAUCUGGACUAAAUUUUGAAAAGUCCAAUCCAAAACACCUGUACUAUAAUUUAUGGGCAAAUUCUCCCUCCACCUCCAUAUAAAUUGUGAAAAGUCGAUUUCAAAUUUUUUUAAAUACCCUAAAUGAAGCAUAAUAUGUACUUUUUAAAUAACUGCAAUCACACACACCACUCCCGUACCUCCCUUCCAGCCACAACACUUUCAUUCUUCUCCAACUACAACAUUUGAGAGAGCAGUCAUAUCAUUUGAGCAUGUGUAAGAGGAUUGGUGACAAAAUUUGUUGUACUUGACAUUCUCUAGUGUCCAGAUAGUUUUUUUUUUUUGGUUUUGUAAUACAUUUUUGGACCUCGCUGUUUUUUUUUUCUAGGUUUUGAGGCUUCCAAAAAAAAUGAAAAAAAACAAAAAAAUAGAAACCACCAGUAAAAACAUCACAAAACUUAUCUCAACCACCAACGUUCACUACCAGCCACUACAAGCAAGCACCACUACUUACAAAUGAAGAAAAAUGCACCACACUCUCCAUCAUACUCAGAAGAAUAUUGUUAAAUUUUUUUAUAAAAUAGAUAUGAAAGUGCAUGAAAAAUUUGCCUAAUUGAUGAGUUUGUCCCAAAAAAAAAAUCGAUCGAAAAACCUAGUCAUAGCAUUGUGUAUGAAACCACAGUGUUCCACUUCUUAGAAAUCAUUUAUCUUUUUAUAAGAUGAUUUAUAACUUUUUAUACUAAUUUAAUUAUUUUUACUUAUCCAUAUUAACAAUAUAUAAGUAUUUUCAUUUUAUAAUAAUAAAUAGUAAAACUAAGAUUUCAAAAUCCACUAAUAAUGAAGGCUAAUUUAAUAUACAUAUAUACGUAACAUUUAAAAAUAAAAUAAAUUAUUUGUUUUUAAUGAUAUGUCUCAUUGUGCUAUAAAUGUUUUAUAUUAAGAACUUGGAAAAUAUCAUUUAUUAAAUUAUUAGAUAAUGAAAUAAUGACAUUAUUAUUCUUUAUUAAUGAUUCUUUCCUUGAACUUUAACUGUACAAUUUAUUAAAUUGGGAUUUUUUGAAAAAAAUAAUAUAAUUUAUUUUUAAAUAAGUUAAAUAAUUUAAAAAAAAUUAAAAAGAAAAAUUGUAGAAUAUUUAAAUUGUUCAUUGAUAGAUGAGGGUUAUGGUUAUCAAGGUUGUCAUAUAGACGAGUUUUUGAAAAUUCCAUUUACUAGCAUAAUUUUCUUUAUAUCAAAUAUAAAGAAAAUCACACACACAUAUAUAUAUAUAUAAAUCAAAUACCUAUAAAGACUUAUAUAGAAAAAAGUUUAAUCUUAAAAUAUUUAUUUACAUGAAAAUUUUGAUUAAGGAUCUACAUGUCAAUACAGUCGUAUUUCAAGGACUAAUUUAAGUAUUUAUUCAUAAAAUAUAUUUGAAAAGAUGAAUAUAUUUUAUAAAAUACAACUUCAUUACUAAUAAAAUUGAAGUCGACUAUAAAAAUUAUUAAAUAAAAAAUAAUUUAAAAAAUAAUAAAUAAUUAAUUGUUAUAUUAACUAAAAGUUAUUAAUUCAAAAUUAAUUUUAAAAAUAAUAAAUAAUUAAUUAUUAUAUUGACUAGAUUAAAAUUUUUGUUAGAGACUAACAAAAUUAUUGAUUUUUAAAUUAAUUUCUAUUAUUGAUGAAUAGUUUCUAAAUUGAUAUCUAAUUAGCUGAUUGAUAACUAAAAUUUUGGUACUUAACUAAAUAUCAAUUUACAAAUUAUUUUUAAUAAUAGAAAUUAAUUUAGGUAUUAAUCAUCACACUUAGAGAAAUCAGUCAUCUCACGAGGAGAAAUAUCAUAAUGGGAUUCUUUAUGAUUUCUUGGAGUAGAUUUUUGAUGACCUUUUCCGACAAGUUCACCGCGUUGUUAGAAGUAAUAAUUUGUCCUUAAAGACGAAUAUUGAUCCCACAAGGAAUAGUUGAAUAUUCAAGUAAAAAAUUCGCUAAAUAUAAAAACAGAAUAAUAAAAGUUGGUUUGAGGAUUGUUAUAAUGGCUAAAAUUAACAAGAAAAAAUUAAAAGAGUUGUUGCUUCAAUUGGAAAAAUAGGGAUUAUGUUUCAUGUUUCUCACUCUCAUGUAUUUUAAUUAGCAUGUUAACAUUAAGUUAUUUGAUUGAAAUUGAUUCCCGUGUAAAAUUGAUUUAUACCGAAUUCUCGCUCAGACAUUAAUAGCAAUUAACAUUUAAAGUCUAUUUCUAGCACUCAAAUAUGUUAAGUAUUGGUGUUUAGUUCAGGACCUAAAAAUACAUACAUUUUAGUCAGAUUUAAGAUUCUAGAUCAAGAGUUAGAAACAAAACAAUAAUACCAAUAAUCAAUCAAGAACAAAAUAUUAUAUCAUAUUUAAAUAUCAUCUCAAUACAUAAGAGUUUGAAUAGAUUACUCCCAAAUCCACUGGGUAGAAUUAGCUACACAUCUUCUAACAUCUUUUAUUCUCCCAAUUGAUUACAAGUCACUCAAUGAUGUUUUCCUCUCAAUCUUGCACACUAGGGUUUAUCCUCUAGCUCCCUAUUUAACCUAAUUUACUAAGGUUAGGUGACUUCCUGCGUCGCGCUGAUGGGCUUAUUGAUAAAAACAUAAAAUUAGCCCAAUUAAUUUGACUUAUUAUCGCUCAAGCGAGGUGUAGCUCGCUCAAGUGAGAAAGGCGUUGAUUUUUGAAAAAUUCAUUGGAGCAUUCUCACUCAAGCUAGAAUGAGCUUGUUUGAGCGAGAAACUCCGCUGUUGAGUUUCACUUUUUUGCUCUUUUUAUGCGUUCCGCGCCUUUCAACUUUCUUAUUUUAAGUUAUCUUAUUCUCUUUAGCCCAAUCAUCUUCAUUCUUCCCUAAAAACUUGAAAUUAACACCAAAUUUGGAAAUAAAAUGCUCUUAUUCAAAUAAAGAUCAUAAAAUAUGUAAAAAUGUAUAAAUUCAUAAAUUAAGGAUUAUUUUAUAUAUAAAUUAGCAAUUAAUACUCAUAAGUGCCUAUAUUUUAAUAUGAAAUAUUACUAAAAUUAGGCACUUAUCAAUUUAGGCUAGGUUGUAGUUGAAAUUGGAGAAACUUUUUAUUAUGAAUAACAUUUGUAGUACAUUUUUAUUGAAGAAACAAUGUUUGGUAUUCAUAUGAAGGAUGGUAUGUUGCUGAAGGAUUAUGUUGAUAAGAUGAAGCUAACAUAUAUGGAUGUGUAGGUGCAAGAUGAAGAUCUUGCGAUCAUUUUGUUAGUAAGUUUUAUCUCAUAAUUCCAUAAUUUUGUAAAUAAUUUAGUUUUCAACAAGAAUUUAUCACACUACAAGAUGUUAAGACCUACCUUUAUGCUAAAGAGCUUUCACACAAGGCUUCCGAGAAUGGUGACAAAGUUAGAGCCUUUGGAUUGAUUGUGUACAUUGCUUCCAAGGGGCAAACUAAAAAUGAAUUAAGAAGAAGGGAAAACUUGAUCCAAGAAAGAUUUUCCUAAGUGACAAAACAAAGAUUCUUCAACUACUACUAUCCAAAAUGAUUCAAGGCACAAGGCUGAAUUAGUGUAAGCUAUAGGAGAACAAUUGAGUUGUAUUGAGCAGUGGGUUCCAGACUUUGGUUGCUUUUCCAUAUGUUCAGAAUUGGAAUUGGUUAUCGACAUAUGUGGAAUGUUCUAACAAUAAUUUUCUAAUAGGUAACAAUUCACCUUGCAAGAUUGUUGGCACUGGAUACAUACAAAAUCAAAUUCAUGAUUGAGUAAAAAGGACAUUUUCCAAUUUUCUUCAUUUUUAAUUUGAAGAAAAAUAUGAUUUUAGUGGGUGCACUGGAUGCUAGAGGUUUUUCAUGUAAUGUUAAAGGUGGAGUGAUGCAUAUCUUUUGGAAGAAUUAUGACAAUGCAUUAAAAUAGAAAAGUUAACUUAGAGAUCUUGUAGGGGUCCACUCUGAUAGACUUAACUUUAUUUAUCUCUUAGUAUGCAUCCAUUAAUUCUCUAUGACUUUUACGAAUAGGUCACAUGAGUAUGAAAUAAAUAGAAAUAUUGUGCAAGAUCGGGUUACUUGGUAACCAUCAACUGGAAGCUCAAUGUUUUUUUUAGCAUCGUGUCGAUGGUAAGAAACAUAAAUAUUCAUUUUCGAAGGAAAUGCAUACAACGAAAGUCACGUUGGACUAUGUCUAUUAUGACUGUAGUUGUCAUUCAAUAGUUUCAUCACCAGGAAGUGCAUAACAUGUUUUGUCCAUAAUUGAUUAUUACAUGAGGAUGACUUGGAUAUUCAUAAAGAAGUAGAAAUCUAAAGCUUUCAAUCACUUCAAGCAUUAGACAACACUCAUGUAUAACCAAAGUAGUAGAUGUUGACAUUGAAGAUUCAAACAAGUUUGAAUGACUUUAUUUGAUGCUCCCAAUCACUUGGAUAUAAUGAUGGAUGUGUGGUAAAGUUGAUAUUGUAGUUAAUCUUGUGUUGAGUUGUAAUUCUUAGGAUUAAGGUUUGUUAAGACGCUAGACGGCCCAGAACUAGCUAGACGAUCUGAUACCUAUUAGACGGUCUCAUGAUAAGAGAGUCUAUGAGUUUUGAUUAUAACAAACACUAUAAGAAAUAUUAAAAGAUGUAACAAAGCACACUCAUGUGCAGAAUAAAGUAAAGACACAUAAGACAGUCUAUUAAGAUGUAAAUAUGUUAAUAAAUCCUUUAAGUGUUUUUGUGUUAAUAAAAUAAUGGUCAAAACAUAAAGCAUUGAUGCAUUAGAUAAUCCAACUAUGCAUAAAUGCGCCAAACGGUCUCAAAGCACAAGAAAAGCUUAACGAAACAAUGUUAAUGCUCACGCUAGACGGUCAUUAGAACUUAUAUGUGGCCCACAAUCACUUUGUUUUUUAUGCAUUAGACAGUUUAAUGCAUUAAGAAAUGUUUAUACUUGAUUUCUAUGAUCUUAGAUUGUUUUCUGACAUUGCUUUAAUGUUUUCAAACUUUUUUUUAAUGAUUUUAAUUCAUAUUAAUCAAAGUUUUCAAAUUAGAUAACUAAGUUAAUAAGUUUGGGAAGUUUUCAAUUUUGUGAUCAUAAAAUAUAGCAUCCCAAAAACCUCAUUAUGGAGUGUCUUAAUGAUCUUUGAAUGGAAUAUAUUUUCUAUAAUGAUUAUAAAGUGUUUCAAUUACUUAUAUGCAAUAAAGAUUAAAAUUUAGUCAGUAUUAGAAAGUCUUCGAGUUAACAAUAUUUAAAUUGGAAAGUCUUCGAGUGAACAAUAUCAAAUCAGAAGUUUCCUAUUUGAGCGUUUAAUUACAAAAAGAUGAAGUGCAAAACGAGAUUUGUGCACGAACAAGCUUCAAUGUUUAAUUAUCUCUGAAUUUGAAAAGAGUUUAAAGUUCAAACUGUACGAUAUUAUUUGGUUAAGACGCUCAAAUAUUAUCAAAAUUGAAGUUUUCUUUUCAAGUGUUUAAUACGAGAAAUAUGAUGAACAACACAAAGCUAUGGAAAUUCAAGUACAAAUGAUUCAAAGCCUCGACAAUAAAUUUUUUACAGAUAAAGAAACAUUUCAAAAUAUCAAAUAUAUGUUUAAGACACACAAAUUGCAUCAAAGCCAAAAUUGUCUUAUAAAGUGUCUACUAUAUAAAGAAAGAACAACAACGCAUAUUUGAACAAAUAUUUUAGCCAACUGGACUUAAAGCUUUAAUGUACACAUUUGAGCAAGGAAGGAAACAUGUCAAAUUGUCUCACAUGUUUAAGACACAUAAAGAAUGAUUCAGAUCAGGAGUUUUCGAAAGGAGAUUUUAAAGAAUAUAUGAAAUGUAGAUUGCAAGCCUAAAACAAUCUCACUCUAAAAGCUAUAUAUAUAAAGACCUAGAAGCCAAAGAAGAAAGACACCGAACAAUGAUGCAUAAACGAUAUACAAGUUUGUGUGAGUUUUGCUUUGUACAUAUUAUAUCUGCUUCGUAGAGCAUCUAGUGAGUUGGGUUGUGUAUUAAACCUUGUAAAUGUUUCACUUUGUGAAGUAUAAAAUGUGAGCUUAGACUAUUUUUUUCUAUUCUAUACUCUGUUAAACACUACCUAUUUUUUGCUUGUAUAUCGCGAUAUGAGUCCAGGCUCCAUUCAAUCUCCCUUUUGCAGCCAACCGCACCUUAAAAAAUUGUUUUUAAAAGCUUACACAUGAUUUUACUUGUUUUAAUGAAAGUACAUAAAUUUUAAUUUUUUAAUUUUGUUUUAACAAGUUAAAGUGUUCAUAAAUUUAUAGUAUUCACAACCAUAAUCAUUUUAAAUAACUAAACUAAGUUUUCAAUUGGUUAAAAUUCUGAAACUUAUGUUCAAAAAUCAAAUUCUCAUUUCUUCAACUGAUUAAAAUACGAAUCAAUCGAUUAAAAACAUUAUAGAAGUCAAUUACAAUGACUUUAAUCAAUCGAAUUACAAAUUUAAUCAAUUAUAGAACUCAUUUCACACUAUUUCAUUCGAUUGAGACAAAUUUUAAACUUGUUGGAAAUAUUAGUUCGACAAAUUUGGUUUCUAUCUUUUGAGAUCCGUAAGAGAACUUGAAAAAGCUUUUUCAGAUACAUUUUUUUACUCAUUGAAACCCUUCUUUGAAAAAAAUAGAUAUUUCUUGGAACUCUCUUUCAUAUAUUUCCUAUAUUUCAAGAUUCAAGUGUUCAUUCUUGUUAGAAAACCACCUAGCUUUGCUUCAUAGGAAUAUAAUCUUUGUACUUCAUUGUUGAGGUGAUUUUGUUCUAAUUUGAUUUUUGUUGUUGUUCUUUGGUAGGAUUGUAAAGAGAGUUUUGUUAUGAUAAGGCUUCACACAAGAUUGCAAGACAUCUUGUUGGGUUCAAGAUCUUGUUGUGUUUUAUUUCUUAUUUUUCUUAUGGGGUUCUUGUAAAAAAAAUUAAAUUAAUGGAUUGCCUUAAUUACAGGAUUAAGUAAUUGGAUGUUGUUCUCUUGUGGGGAUGAACCGAUAUAAUUGUUGAUUUUAUUUUAUUUUCCUUAUCUCUUAUAACUCAUAUAUGAAUUGUAUUCAUAUUUGAUAGUUAUGCAAGAUUAAAUAACACUGAAAAUAGUACUUCUUAUUGUCAAUUUUUUAAAAUUGUCCAUUUAUUCAAAUUUAAUCUUCAUUCAUUUGUAAAAACUUUCUAAUUUCUUUAAAAUUUGAAUUCAUCCCUUUUGAACUCAGUCUAUUUUGCUGACAAUAGAAGGGUGAAGUGACAAAAGAUGACUAAUGUGUUGGAUUUUUUUUAUCUUUAUACAAUUUGACCAAUUUUGUUUUAGAGAUUAAGAUAUUGCAAUACAACAAAUAUAUUUUUUUGUGCUUUAAAGCAUUUUCAUAUGUUAGAUCAUCCGAUAGGAGGUUCAUUCUUGUAGUUAGAGUAAACCAAAUCCCCUUUGUUCUCACAUCAAGUUCUCCUAUAUUGCAUUCUUAGGGAUAAAUAUCUACAUUUGAGUUAAGUGAUAAGAAUAUUUAUAAUUAUUUUUGGAUUUUUCUUCUAAAUAAUAUAACACUUUGUUGUGUAAUUGUUAAGAUAUCAUGUAAUUUGGAACUUAUUGAGAUAUUAUAUUACGUGUUUUGUAACUUAAUAACUUUACGGUAUCCCUAAGAGAAUUAUUGAUGUAUUAAAAAGAAGAUGCUUACCCAUUAUAAUUAAAAUAAUUUUUUGAAUGAUGUGAAACUUUUACAUAUACAUUAAAACAAUUCAAAAAAAUAUUUAUAAUAAUUCCUAAUCAAUUAAUUUUGUAAAAAAUUACAUAUACAAAAAAAAUUAUUCUCUUCUAAAUAACCUCAUGAAGUAGAUUUUUUUUAAGAAAUUAGAACUCAAACCAAACAGUUACACAAAUUAAAUCCACUAUUUAUUUAUUCAUUCAUUCUUAGCGUCACACAUGUUCAUUCAACCUUCCGUGCACUCUAGCAGGAUCCCCUUCCUCUCACUCAUUUUCCUUCAAAGAAAGCCGGUCUUGCUAACGUGCACCGGGGCUCCUUUACUUCCCUCUACCAUUUUUGGCGAAAUAAUAUAAAAAAGUUUGUCGACACAUAGUACUGUUUUUCAAUAGUAACAGAAACGGGUAAGAGAAAGAGAGAGAAGGUGACAGACAGAGAGAAGGAAAGAAAAAAAAAAAAGAAAAAAAGAAAGAGAGUUUGCGAUUUUUUUGGGUACUUUUCGGAAUUGCAGGUUUUGGAGCAUCGUGUCGGGGAGGUUCUGAUUUUAUAAGAGGGGUGUUUUUUUUUUUCAUUUUUCUGGUUAAUAAUUUUUUAUGUCGGAAAAAAAAUACUAUUAUUUUACUGUUAUCACAAUUUAUAAUUACUUAAAUUACUUUUUCUUUCCAAAGUUAUAGAGAGAAGCUUGAAGGUGCGUGUGUGUGUGAGAUCCCUGUAGGGUGUUCAUAUUAUUAUAUUCAUAUAAACAAGCUCAUAUUUUUGCGUAUUAUUAUUAUAUAUAUGUACUGUUUGUUGCUUCGUACCAACAACACAUUCGCAGAGCCACUUUGUUUGCAAGAGAGAGAAUCUACGAAAUUUUGGUGUGGUGUGGUGUUGUGUGGCAGAUCACGAAUCCUCAGAAACUGCAAUGGGUAGGUCGUGUUCGUGGUCUUUUUUUUUUUUCCUUUUGAUUUGUUAUGGGAUUCUCGUGCUUUGUUCUUGGAAUCUUGUUUCUUGGUUUUGGGCAUUCUGAAGUUUUGUUCUUUUUUGUUUUUGUUUCCCUCCCUUUUUUGCUUUCUGGGUUUUGUGAAUCUCUAUGUUUGUUUUGGGGGAGAGGAAUUGUGUCUGCAAUUGGGUGGCAAGAUAUGUUGUGUGUUUUCUCUUCUGUAAGUGAAAUUUUAAGGCUUUCGGUCUAAAUAAUCAUUUAGUUCAACUCUGUUGAUUUUGGGUGUGUAUUUGCUUCUUAUUCUUCUUCUUCUUUGUUUCCAUAAUCUACUAGCUUUCUCUCUCUCUGGCUAUGAGGUGUCUGUGGUGGAUUAUUGUUCACAUGGUUUCAUUGGCCUAUUGGGUUCUGUUUUGUGAUUCCUUCUUUUAGCAUAUUAACAGCUAAUCAUACAGCACGAGGCUUAUUCGUACCAAACGACUUUUGUGGGUUCUGGUUUUCUUCAUUACUCGGUUAUUCUUUUGUGUUUAUUCAUCUCUUUACCACUGGCCACUCUCUUUUACCCACCUCAGCCUCUUGUCCCCAGCUCUUAUAUUCUUUCUCUCUCUCACACACUGUUCUGUGUUUUAGUAUUUUGCAAAGAGGUUUUUUACAUCAUUGUCUUCUCUCUCUCUCUCUCUCUGUAUAUAUUUAUUUACUUGGUCUUGCUUUUGAUUCUCAUUGGCUAUGGGGGUUCUGUUAUUGCCAUGUUUUGUCCUCUGAUUGGUUUGUUUUCUCUCUCAUAGCUUUUAUGUCGGAGGUCAACAUGAGCUUCUCUCACUACAUGGAUGAUGAAUACGAGAAACUCUUCCGGAGAAUGAACCCUCCCAGGUACCAAUUUUCACUUCCCAUUUGAUGAAAGAAAAUAAGUCUUCGACUUCGGAAAAAGAAGGGAAGGGAAAAGAGAAUUUAAACGAUUCUGUCCUCACAUAUUUGUCCACUUGUUGUCUUGUCUUGUCAGGGUUGUAAUCGAUAAUGAAGCCUGCAAGAAUGCCACUGUUAUAAGGGUAUGCCUAUGCCUAUUUCUCCUUUUUAAAUGUUUUUCUAGUUCUUCUUCCCUUUCUGGACUGCAAUUCAUGCUUCUAUGAUUGAAGAACCUUUGCCUAGUUUGAUAACACUUUCUUUAAAGGGAUGUUGAAAGUGAAUUUAAUUUUGCAGGUUGAUAGUGCAAACAAGCAUGGAAUACUUCUUGAAGUUGUACAGAUCCUUACUGAUCUAAACCUCAUCAUAACCAAGGCUUACAUAUCUUCUGAUGGUGGAUGGUUCAUGGAUGGUAAUGAUUUUCUCUGAUAUUCAUUAAAUUUCUAUUACAAAAUACAUUGUUUAUCAUUAGUUUUGGACGAGGGUUGAAAAAUCGAGUAAUUUAUUUUAUUGUACCAGCUUUUAAUGUUACUGGACAAGAUGGAAACAAGGUUACUGAUGAAGCCAUUUUGGAUUACAUUAGAAAGGUGGGUGUCUCAUUUGUGUUCUUUAUCUCCUCUGCUUUUAUGUAACAACCACUGACCAUGUGUUUGGUGGCAUUUGUGUUUUUAGUCUCUUGGUCCCGAAUCUUGUGUUACUUCUCCCAUUAGAUCUGUUGGGGUUGAGCAAACAAUGGACCACACAGUAAUUGAGCUUAUGGGAAGUGAUAGGCCAGGAUUGCUUUCCGAAGUCAGUGCUGUUUUGACCAACCUCAAGUGCAAUAUAGUGAAUGCAGAGGUGUGGACUCACAACACCCGGGCAGCAGCUGUAAUGCACGUGACAGAUGAAGAGACCGGAUCUGCUAUCACUGACCCUAAGAGGCUCUCUAUAGUCAAGGAACUUCUAUGCAAUGUGCUUGGCGGUGGCAACAAGAAGAGGGGAGCUAAAACUGUUGUCACAGAUGAAGUCACACACACUGAGAGAAGGCUUCACCAAAUGAUGUUUGCUGAUAGGGAUUAUGAACGAGAUAGUGAUGACGCCUUUGAUGAGAAGCAAAGGCCAAAUGUGAAUGUUGUGAAUUGGUCUGACAAUAAUUAUUCAGUGGUAACAAUUCAGUGUAAGGACAGGCCAAAGCUUCUCUUCGACACAGUUUGUACUUUGACAGACAUGGAGUAUGUGGUUUUUCAUGCAAAAAUCGAUGCCGAGGGGCCAGAAGCAUAUCAGGUAUAUCAGAUUUACUACUUUGUUCUGAACAAACACACAUGGACACUGACGUGCGAUUCCAUUUGUUGCUUGGUGCUAGAUGUUGGUCUUUUAAGGACAUUGGCUUAAUAUUUUGUGGUUGCUUGUUCAGGAAUAUUUCAUCAAGCAUAUUGACGGGUCCCCUAUGAAAUCAGAUGCAGAAAGGCAAAGAGUGAUACAAUGUCUUGCAGCUGCAAUUGAGAGAAGAGUUUCGGACGUGAGUGGCUUAAUGUUACUGAAAAGCUUUCUUGAUUUAUAUUUCCGUAUGGAAUUCAUACAGCCAUGCUUUUCAUUGUUGUGCUUGCCUGUGAGGCCUUAUUUUGUCUGUGCAGUUAUUUAUUCUUAAUCUUCUCCCAAACUUUAAGCUGAACUGUGACCCUUUGUGUUUUUUAUAUCAUGUGAUUAGUAGUGGUCCAAGAUUAGUUGAAAUGCAGUUGGUGGACUUUGACUACAGUUGUUAUGUUCCACUGCCAAAUUGAGUUUCUUAUUGAGGGGUGAAAUAGACUUGUUCAACUAAAUUUCUUUUUCAUUUGGUUAAUAGGCAGGCUAACUUGAAUAUUAGUCACAUUAUUCUUGGCUCCACAAGAACCUAAGUAAAAUUUGAGGAAACAAACAGUACCCUUUCAUGCAUUUUAUAUUAGUGAUUGGUAUCCUUUGCUCUUUAAUUUCUCCUUAAUUUUCAUUCUUUUGUCAAGAAAUCAUCUGGACCGCAAAUAGUCUUUUCUUAUAUACUUUAUACAAUUGCCAGUUAGGUAUCUUUGGUUUGGUUCUUCACCCACCCUCUUUCUUGUUGGUCUCCUAUUCUUUCAUAUGACUAUUAAUUUGUUUUUUUUCUUCUUCCUAAUUUCAGGGUUUGAAGCUAGAACUCUGCACCACCGACAGAGUCGGACUUCUAUCUGAUGUCACGCGUAUCUUCAGAGAGAAUAGCCUCACAGUUACAAGGGCAGAAGUGUCCACGAAAGGAGGCAAAGCUGUUAACACUUUCUAUGUUCGUGGGGCAUCUGGUUUCCCUGUUGAUUUGAAGACCAUAGAAUCCAUUAGGCAAACAAUAGGCAACACAAUCCUUAAAGUAAAGGGUAGCCCUUCAGAGAUGAAAUCUGUUCCUCAGGAUUCUCCCUCCAGAUCCCUGUUUAGUGGUCUUUUCAAGUCCAGAUCUUUUGUGAACUUUGGCUUGGUUAAGUCUUAUUCUUGAGAAAGCCACCACACAUGCCCAUCUUUUCUUGUACAGUGAAAGAGGUGAAAGAUGCAAAGGGCUAACUAGGAAGUGUGACACGACUUUAGUUUAGUGAAGUAGGAACACCAUCAUAUCACACGCUAGAGAAAGUGGCUUGUAAAUUCUCUACCCCUUCUCCCUUAUGUUUUUCCACUGUGGAAUCCAAUCACUUGGCUGAGUGAUGAAAGCAAAGAAAACCUUAGUUGUGUAACCUUGAAACAAUUAGUUUCAAGCACAUCAUUUGUAUAUAUUCAUUCAUUUUGCAGCAGCAGUUUUAAUCCUCUCAUCUUCCUUGUCUCCUACUUUUGUCUGCUUACUUACUAUUUCUUCCAUUUAAUCGUGCCUUUUUUAAUAUGCUUCCUUUACUUAAAGUUUGAUAAAUAUGAUUUAAAAUUUGUUGCAACAAAUUAUUGGUGUGAGCAAGUAGCUUUUGAAUCACAAGUUUUCAAAAUAAAGUAUAAUGACCUGAAUUUCGUCAUAAAGAAAAUAAUUUUGCAAAUCUUUCUUCACAAGCCACGGGUCUGGGAGAAUCAUACCUCCACAUCAUUGGCUGCAGUGGGUCUAAUCUCUGAUAAUCUCAGCCAUAAUCUUUUUGUCCAAGUUUUGACUAAAAUAAUCUGAAAUAUCACCAUCAUCCUUUAAACCCUUUGGUCCUAUUUGGUGUGGAAGAUUGAGUUUGACGCAAAUCCUUGAAAGAUAUGAUAGAAUUAGAACAUAAAAAAAGAAUGAAAAAGGAGGUGACAUGGGAAAUCACAGUGAAACACGCCUUGAGUUGCGUCAGAAUUGAGCAAAGUUAGAUAUGGCAUGUAUGUAGUUAAAUCUUUUUGUUGCCCCUCCAUUAUUAACGUGAGAAAUUUCCAUGCCAUAGCUAUGUGCUCAUUCCAUGUCUUACUGGACAGGAAAUUCAGUGGCGGCUAACUUUGUGCAUAGUGUUGGCUAGCAGAUAUUGAAGUUUAUGCCAAAUUUAAAUGCCAAUUUAUUUUGCAUCGCUGUAUGAUUGAGACUUGCACUAUUAUGGGUUGGGUUAGGCUUCUUCAAAAAUACGUAUCUUUUGUGACGUUGAACUUUUUCCCUCAAUUAUCAUACAAAAACCCUUUGAACUCACUAUAAUGGUCAAUCCAAUUAGGGAGGAUUAUGAUUUAGAAAUCAAAAACUUUCUGCUGCUUUAAUAAUAUAACCUAUUUUUGUCCUCAUCAAGAACUUUCCCACCAUGCUAUUUGCUCCAUUUGAAAUGGUCCACUACAAAACACUUCUUGCCCAAUCCACACCCAUUUGAAUAUUCCUUUUGACCAAACAGUGUCUGAGACCAGUGGUUUGGCCUUUCAAAAGAACCACACACCAGUGAAAAUGCCCUGUGAACAAAAUGUGUGUAAAAGGAAGAAAAAGCAGAUGAAACAAAGACAUUUUCUUUUCUUUCUUUCUUUCUUUCUUUGGUUUAUACUAUUUUAUUUAUUUAUUUAUGCUAUUUUUAAUAUCACACUUCCAAGAAUUGUGACCUGCACAUCGUUAUCCCAAGAGAGGGUAACAGUUACACGGGGUUCUGCCACGUGGCUUCUUGCUCCUUUAGAAUGAGUAAUGAAGAUAGAUAAGCUUCAAAUAAAGUAAGACCAGAAACAGUUCUCUUAAAAGAUGAACAAUUUGUGCAUCUUUUAGUAGAUUAUUAUUAUAAUUUUUUGCAUGGUUCCAAGAACUUUAAGAAAUACUAUUCAGUUUAAGCUAAUUAGUAUUAUUUAUAUUUAAUAUUCAGAAUUUUAAAUUUAGAAUUAAUAAAACCAAUACCACAUCUAUCAAACAGGCAAGCAAAAGUGAGAGUUAAUUCAUCUAAUCAAAUCUCCAUAGCAUUGAAAAGUAAUAUCUCAUGGAGAAAGACACACUCUUUCUUUAAUGAUUUGUGAGAAUCGCGUAAUUUUAAGAUUUUGUUUGAUUUUCUAUAUCAUGCAAUUAUUUAAAAACUUUUAUAUUUAUACGUCAUGUUUUAAUAUGUAGUAUCAGAACUUGAUUGUGAAAUUGUGAUUCUGCUCGUAUUUUUCUUCAAAUUUUAUAUACCCUAAUUAUGAAAUUUAGGGGUUUUAAUUUAUGAGGCUUUUACAUAUUUAUGUGAAAAAGAAAUUAUCUUAAUAAUAUAUUUUGAUUAUAAAGUUUUUCAUUGCACAUAUUAUUUAAUUGAUGAUAAAGUUGUGUAGUUUUCAUUGCUGGCAUAAAAUAUUAAUGUUUUUGCUACAAGUUGAUUAAAAAAGUUAUUGUGUGUAUGUAGUUAUUGUUAUAAUGAAACUAUUAGUUUUUUUUUUCUACAUGAGAGAAAGAGAUAAAACAGAUAUAUGAGUUGUUUUACCUGUAAUAAAAUAAAAAAAAGGGAGAAGUGUUAUGUAUGGUUAAUAACACGUGAAGUAUUUUAUUUGUUUUAAAUUAUAUUUAUAAUGGAUUUGUUAGUCACUAAAGUGACCAAAUUUUUAUAUUUGUUUAAUUCUGAAUUAAUGAUAAUUUAUGUUAAUUACUCGUAAUAUGAAGGAUGCUAUAUUAUGGGUUUAUAUUUUUAAUGGUUAUAUUAAAAUUCAUUAUUAUAAGACAUUUACAAAUUACUCAAAUGUUGAUUAUUUAUUUUUAUAAUUAAUGAAUAUAAUUGUAGACAAUGAUAUUUGAACUAUUGGUUUUACUUAUAUAUCCAAAGGUAAUAUGUGAUGAUUCUGAUUGGUACAUAUUUUAAAUGAUAUUGAUGUUAUAAUUAUAUUAUCAACAUGUUUGUAUGAUGUAUGUUGAUGUAUCACUCAAAAAAGAACAUCAAUGUAAUCUAAUUGUGCUUUGAAUAUUAAGUGUAAAACGUGUGUUUUAUGACUCUACACUUACGUAAAAUUUUAUUAUUGGAUACCUAAUCUCAAUCUAAUGAAUUCUUAUGCAUUGUCUAUCCAAUAUAAUGAACUUAAUUUCUCUACUAGAAUGAGCAAGUCAUAUUUCACCUUGGUGUUAUGAAUAUUGAUCUUGAUAUAUUGGAAGAAAAAUAUGUUACUAUUACUGACUCUAGUAUUAAUGAAUAGAAAAUUUAUUAUAAAGAUUGAAAAAGAUCAAACAGACUCAACCUAAUGUUCAUGAGAAUGUCUGUCUCAAGUCAGUAUUACGAUAACUCUUUCCAAAACUAAAAGUACCAAAGAAUUUAUGGGGGAUUGUGGAAGAGCGUUCUCAAACUGCUUAUACAUCUUUUGUUGGGACAUCAAUGAGUACAAUGACCACCAUAAAGUUGGAUUGGUCAUGUAUUAUGCAUGAGCACAUUAUUGAAAUGGUAAACAUUACAACAAAAUUUGACACCUUAGGAAUGAUUGUGAAUGAUAACUUUCAUGUAUAAUUUAUUUUGAACUCAUUACCGUUUGAGUAUAGCUCAUUUCGAAUGACAAUAAUACCAUGAAUGAUAAAUGUAAUGUCCAUGAAUUGUACAACAUGUUAGUUCAAGAAGAAACGAUGAGGCUUAAAAAACAAAGAAGUAACUUAGUCCAUUAUGUAAGCCACUAAGGAAAUAAAGGAGCCAUAAAAUUUUUUUGUGAAGAAACAUGAUAAGGUAAAGGGAUAGUAUAGGCUAAUCAAGCAUCAAUAAAAAUCUAGAAGAAAGAAUCAAAGGGAAAUAAUCGCCAUUUAUAUGGGAAAUUUGGAUAUUUUUAGAAGAAUUGCCCAAAAUGUAAGUCUUGGUUCUAAAGAAGGCUAACCUAAAUGCUUAUGUAUGUUUUGAAUCAAUUUUUAGCUGAAGUUCCCCAUAGUACAUGGUGAAUUGAUUAUAGAUGUAUGACACAUGUUUCUAAUACCAUGCAUGGAUUCUUUACAAUCCAAAUGAUAAGGCUAAAUGGAAAUUUUUUCUUCAUGGAAAAUAAAGUGAAAGGUCUUAUAUCAUUUAAUAUUUGACACUAGACAUCAUUUAGAUUUGUUGAAAACCCUUUGCAUAAAUAGUUUAUCUAGGAAUUUAGUUUCGUUGUCUAAACUUAAUUUAUUGGUUACUCUUUUAGUUUUGGUAAUGAAUGUUUCAGUUCGUUUAAGCACCAUCAUUUCAUUAGUAUUGGUAUUCUUUAUGAUGGAUUAUAUAAUUUAAUUUGGAUGGUAUAUAUGUUGAAACGCUUAUGAAUCUUCAAAAUAAUGUUGGCAUUAAACCUAAUUUAGUGAAUGAAUGCUAUGUUUCCUUGUGGGAUCAAUAAUUGGGUUACAUUUCUAGACAAAAGAUAGAGGAAUUAAUAAAAAAAUUAAAUUCUUCCAAAUAUAGAUUUUAUGUAUCUAAAUAUUUGUGUGGAUUGUAUAAAGAUAAACAAACAAAAGCACAUAAAGAACUGAGAUACAAUAAGUACAUAGCUUCUUGAAAUAAGGCAUACUAACAUUUGUGGGCCUUUUGAUGUUAAUUCUUUAAGAAAAGAAAGGCACUUCAUCAUCUUUAUUGAUGAUUACUUACAUUAUGGUUAUAUCUACUUAUUGCAUGAGAAUGCUUUAGAAAUUUAUUUGAAUGAAGUUGAAAUGCAAUUAGAAGAAAUGUGAUAGUUAUCAUGUCUAAUAGAGGUGGUGAGUAUUAUAGAAGGUAUGAUGAAACUAGACAACACCCAAAUCCAUUUGCUAAAGUUAUUCAGAAAUGUAACAUUUGUGCACAAUGUUAUGUACACUGAUAAGUGUCAUAUUUAAGUAAUAUUACAUAUUAAAAUACAAGCACUUAUGAGUAUUUAUUCAUUAAAUAACUAUAAUUUAACUCAUAAUUUGUGAAUUUAAACCUUUUUACAUUUUAUGAUUAUAAUGUGAAUAAGAAUGAUUUAUUCCCAAUUUUGUUUUAAUAUCAAGAUCCUGGGGAAAAAUGGAGAUGAAAGGGUAAAAGAAGAAUAUACAAGAUAGAAAGGGAAAGUUGGAACACUCCAAAACUCGCCUAAGCCAGAAGCCUUCCAGAAGAUCUCGCCCUAGAGAGCCCAAUCUCGCCCAGAUGAGAUCACUCCAAAGACGUUGGGUUUGUUUUCGUUCAACUCACCCAUGCGAGAAGUCAGUUAGCCCAAGCCCAACUAGGUUAAAUAUGAGGAUGCUGAUAAAAAAAAAAGGUUAAAUAUGAGGCAUGAUGCACAACCCUAAAUGUUCAUGGGAAGAAUAGAAGGUGAUAGAAAAUCUUAGAGGUGGAAGCCGUUAAGGAGAAACAUCCUAGAUCUUCUUUUCUUACUUUAUAUGUUUGUAAUGGCCAACAUGAGUGACUAAUUCUACCCUUUGGGAUUGGGAGUAAUUUUUUUCAAACUCUUAUGUAUUGAAGUGAUAUUUAAAUAUAAUAUUUUGCUCUUGAUUGAUUAUUGGUAUUGUCAUUUUAUUUGUAAUGCUUGUUUUACCAUAAUUUUGAUCCUUAGAUUUGACUGGAAAAUACUUAUAAGUUUCUGACCUAAAUGACAAUGUUUAAUAUAUUUGAAUGUUAGGAAUGAAUUUAAAUGUUAAUUGCUAUUAACAUCUAAUUGUAAUGAUAGAAAGUUUUUAUAAAUAUGCGAGGAAUAUUUAAGAAACCCUUUUAACAGUUUUAUAUGUGAAAAAUCGAUAUAAAUGAAUUUUAUAGGGAAUCAAUAUCUAUCAAAUGAUAGAAUAUUACUAUGCUUUUCAAAAUACAAAAGAGUAAGAACGAUGAACCUCAAUCUCAGUUUUCUCAAUUGAAUCAACAACUCUUUACUUUGUUUUUAUUUAAAUUUCAUGCAAACUAUUAUCAAUAUCAAAUCAAAUCAAAUUAUUGUACAUAUUCUUAUACUUAGUGAAUGUUACUAUUACGAUUUUAAAUAAUUGUUCCCUGUGGGUUUGAUAUCCGUCUUUAGGAACAAAUUAUUACUUAAGACUCAGUACACUUGUCGUAAAAAAAGAGUCAUCAUACAUCACAACAAAAUGAUGUAUCAGAAAUUUGUAAUAAAUUAAAUAAUAUAGUUAGAAGUAUGAUAAUUCUUUUUUAACCAUAUUUUUAUGGAUCUAUGCCUUGAAAACUACCAUGUAUUUGUUAAAUAAAGUUCCUAGCAAGGAAAUUUCUAAGACACAUUUUAAAUUGUGGACUAGCAGAACAUCUAAUACAAGGCACUUGCAUGUUUGGGCUUUCUAGGUAGAAAUAAAGGUUUAUAUUAUGCAAGAAAAGAGUUUGAAUGCAAGAAUAAUAUGGAUAUUUCGUUGAUUUCCAAAAUAUCAAAUAGGUAUAUGUUUUAUUAUCCUAAUCAUAAUAGGAGAAUUUUUGAAACUAUAACUGCUAGAUUCAUUUAAAAUGAUGAAAUCAAAGGGAGUUUGAUUCCACAACAAGUGAAAUUUAAAGAAGUUAGAGUACAUGUUCAUUUAACUUGCACCUCUGGAAAUAAAGUGGAUGUUCUUUUAAUUGUUGUAACAAAUGACAAUGAAGAAGAGCAACACAAUGAUGAGUCCAUGAUUCAAAACGAGUUAUUGUAGAAGAACCAUUGAAGCAACAAUAAGGAGAUCUAAAAGAGAGAAGACAUAAGCUAUUUCAAAUGCCUGUGAUAUAUCUACAUGAGUCAGAAAGUGAAUUAAGCAUUAAUAAUAAUGAUCCAGUUACAUUUUCACAAGUUGUAAAUUGUGAUAAUUUUGAGAAAUUUUUAGAUGCUAUAAAAGAAGAUUUGAAAUCAAUGAAACAUAAUGAUGUUUGGAGCCUUCUAGAACUUCCAAAUGGUUAAAAGAUAGUGGUUUUAAUUGGAUCUUUGAGGAGCAUAAUUUUACUCACACUUUAAAACUCUCAUUAAUUAAUUUUUAAAAUAUAAGGAUUAAAACUAAAUUUGACAAAAAAUACAACGAAUUAAUACAUAUUUAACCUUUUAUAAAUGGUUGGUAAUUGGGUUCAGAGUAUGAACAUUCUUCUUUGAUUUUACUCCUUUUAACAAAAAAAAUAUAUCAUAUUUAAUAUUGUAUUUUUUUAAAAUAUACCAAAUAUAAAAUAAAACUAAAUAUAUCAGUCAAUUUAAGAUAUAUUUUCUGUAUAAACAAUAUAAAAAUAUAAAAUAAUUUUUUUAAAACUUUUCUACUAGUUAAAAUCCACUUAUUCACCUUUAACUCUUAAAAAAGUUUUAAAAAAAUUAUUGAAAUUAAAUGUAUAAGUACUAAGCAUAGUAUAGUUUUUGCAAAAGGAUUAAAUUAUUUUAUCUUUUUAAUUUUUUCUUUUAUAAAUACUGAUUGAAAAUUUUAUCUAACCUUAUGAAAAAUUCAUUCAUUCCAACAAUUUUAUCAAUUGUUAAAGAUAGAAAAUUAUUCCUUUAAAACUAACUUUCUGCAUGGGUGGAAUCCAUACCUAUAUUAUAGGAUAUUUAAGCUUUAUGUUAUGUUAUGGAUGGGUGAGUGGGAGACUUCCUUAUUUGGAUCAAAAUGUUUGGAGGUGAGGGUAUAGACAAAAGAGCGGGUUACAUGAAUUUUUCUUUCCUCUCACAUAUGCGAAGAUUAGGAACGAUGUCCACGUAUGAUAAGAUUGUUUUACGUUAAUACCCUUAAUAUAUAACUUUGCAACAAUGCAUUGCAUGAAAUGAGAUUGGUCUGCACCACUGUGAAGAAAGAAUCAAUGCUACACAUUGCACCACAUAAACUAUGCUACACAUUGCACCAAAUAAACACUGUGAGGAAUCUUUUGACUAGUUUGAUUAUUUUUUCUUUAAAAGCAUCCAUUCGUGAAUAGUGUGCUUUCUUUCAUUUAUUUGAGUGUUCGUAUUAUGAUAAAUACGGGUCUUGUGAGAGUUGUGUCGUGAGUGAGAGUGAACUUUUUACUGCGUUGAGGACGAACAAAGAAGACAUACAAGGUAAUGCAUUCACUGUUUUUUUAAUUUUUUUUAUUAGAAUUGAUUUUCUGUUAGUUAAUUUUUUAUUAAAAUCGAUUUUGUUGAAGUAUAAUACUGUGAGAAUCGAUUUUCAUCAUUCUAUAAAACCAGGCAAAAUCAAUUUUUUCUUGGUGCACAAAAGUUUCAGAAUCGAUUUUGGCCUAUAUAUAGGCCAUUGAUGGGUGAGGGGAAGGAUACCUUGUUUGGAUCAACAUGUUUGGAGGUGAGGGUACAAACAAAGGAGUGGGUUACAUGAAUUUUUCUUUCCUCUCACAUAUGCGAAGAUUAGGAAGGAUGUCCACGUAGAAUAAGAUUGUUUUACGUUAAUACCCUUGAUAUAUAACUUUGUAACAGUGUUGUGCAUGAAAUUAGAUUAGUCUGCACCAUUGUGAAGAAGGAAUCAGUGAUACACACUGCACCACGUAAACUAUGCUACACAUUGCACAAUAGAGAGACUGUGAGGAAUCUUUUGACUGGUUUGACUAUUUAUUCUUCAAAAGCUUCCAGUCGUGAGUAGUGUGUUUUCAUUCAUUCAUUUGAGUAUUCGUAUUGUGAGAAAUAGGGGUCUUGUGAGAGUUAUGUCGUGACCGUGAGUGAGAGUUGUGUCAUGACUAAGAGUGAACUUUUUGCUGCGUUGAGGUCAAACAAAAAGACAUACAAGGUAAUGCAUUCAAUAUUUUUUAUUAGAAUUGAUUUUCUGUUAGUUAAAUUUUUAUUAGAAUCAAUUUUGUUGAAGUAUAAUGCUGUGAGAAUCGAUUCUCAUCAUUCUCUAAAACAAGAAAAAAUCAAUUUUCUUGGGUAAUGUUUAGACGUUAAAAUAAUAAUAAGUAAAUUUAUUUAUUUGUUAUUUUAAAUUUUAAAUAUUUUUUUAAUAAUGUACUUCUAUCAAUUUGGUAUAAUUUUUAAAACAUAAAUUAUACUUAUUAUAAAAUAAACUCUUAAAAAAAUAAAAAUAAAAAGUAAAAGAUAGUAUUUUUGUUUUUAAAAGUAAAAGUAAAAUAUACAGUUCUUUUUUUCAUUUUUUUUAUAAAAAACUAUAACAUCUAUAUACACCUUAAUCAAGACUAAAUUCAUAUUCAAAGAACAAAAAAAAGCUAAACAAAAUCAGUGAAAAACUAUUUAAUUUUACAUUUAAAUUUCAUUCUAUCAUCCUUCAAUUCAAAUAUCCUCACACAUCCUUUUAAAUUCACUCCCUCCUCUCCGAUCAAAUCCCCACCUCAACCCAAACAAGCAUUAUGUUAUGUUUGGAUUCGCUGAUGGAGUGGCAACGUGGAUGAGCUGGUGGGAGAAUCCCUUGUUUAGAUCAACAUGUUUGGAUGUGAGGGUGCAGACAGGAGAGUGGGUUACAUGGAUUUUUCUUUUCUCUCACAUAUGCGAAGAUUAGGAGGGGUGUCCAUGUAGGAUAAGAUUGUUUUACGUUAAUACCUUAAAAUAUAACUUUGCAACAGUGCAAUGCAUGAAAUGAAAUUGGUCUGCACCACUGUGAAGAAGGAAUCAAAGCUACACACUCCACCACACAGACUAUGUUACACAUUACACUACAGAGAGACUGUGAGGAAUCUUUUGACAGGUUUGAUUAUUUUUUCUUCAAAAGCUUACAACCGUGAGUAGUGUAUUUUCAUUCAUUCAUUCAUUUGAGUGUUUGUAUUCUACGAAAUAGGAGUCUUGUGAGAGUUGUGCCUUGAGUGAGAGUUCUGCCAUGCGUAUGAGUGAACUUUUGUGGUGUUGAGGACGAACAAAGAAGAUAUACGAGAUAAUGCAUUCAUUCACUGUUUUUGGAUUAGAAUUGAUUUUUUGUUAGUUAAUUUUUUAUUAAAAUCAAUUUUUGUUGAAGUAUAAUGUUGUGAGAAUCAAUUCUCAUUCUUGUGUAAAACAAGGAAGAAUCGAUUUUGCUUGGUGCACAAAAUAAUUUUUUAAUAAAAAAAUUCUAUCAAACUUAUUAGUUAUUACAAAUUACAAAUGAUAUUUGUAGUCAAUGUAUUGCUUCUUUAAUGAAGAUAACUAAGAACAAUGUGCUCUUAGGUUCGGUAGCAUUUUUUUCUUAAAUGUAAAAUAUUUUUAUUUCUAACUAUAGAAGGUAUAAUCCUUUUUAAUUAAGAUAAUAUCUAACUUUAUUCGGUGAUUAGAUUUGAAAAUUUUAAAUAUUAUUAAAAUAUUAUUAAAACAAUAAAAUAUUAUUCAUUAAAACAAUUUGAAAUAAAUUAAUUCAUUAAUUUGCUAAACCUAUUAUCCUAUAACUAAUUUUGUUACCCAUUAAUGUUUUCACAAAAAUUUUAUGUAUGCAACCUGCACUACCUUUUCCCUCAAACGAUAAAACAAACCAUAAAAUAAAACAAUUAUAAACAGCAAACUAAACCAACACAAAACAUUUAGAUAAAAUCAUAAACAUAAACUAGACCAACACAAACCAUUUACAUAAAAUCAUAAACAUCAACAUUAACAAACAAACAAAAAUAAUCAAAAGCCCAAAAUCAAAAUUUGAAAUUUUUAAAAUUUACCUUUCGCCAAUUAAGAUGGAAGAGAGAGAAGAGACAAAAAUUAGGGUUAAAUUUUUAAUUUGGGAGAAAGUAAACGUGGGGAAGCAAAAUUUUGCUAUAUAUUAAAGACUUUGCGUUGAUUAAGGCCAACGCAAACAUGGAAACACAGUUUGCAUCAGUCACGACUGACGCAAAACAACACGGAAACAUACGCAAAACAAAACGGAAACGGAAAUUACAUUGAUCGGUCGACACAAUAACUUCACUUCUUUUAGUGUCGGUUAAGCUAACACAAAUCAUUGAUUUUGUUUCAUUUUUAACUUAAAAUUUCAUUACAAAUAUAAUUAAUAAAUAUUAAAUAUAAAUUUAUAUUUUUAUAAAUUCCUUCAAAAUAAAUAAAUCAACUAAAUUUAAGAUAUUUAAUUCACCAUUUUGAUAAUAUUUUGAACUUUUAAUUAUAUCUUCAUAAAUUAAAAUAGAAGCUUAAACAAAAUAAUUUAAUUUAUACAACGAAAAUAAAUAAAAAAUUAAACUAAACAUUGAAUUGGAAAAACAUUCAAUGUUAUAACAACAUUUAAUGUUCGAUUUGCUACGGUUGAGAGAGAAGUUGAUUCUUGUUCAUUUAUUCUUCUUAGAAAAGACAACUUGAUUGAGAGUGUAAUACAGAAAUGCUUUGGAAAAAUAUGAAAUCGUUUAUAAGUGUUGAUACACUCAAGGAAAAUAUUAAUUACCUAAGAUGAAAAUAUAUGUAAUUAUAUUUCUUCUUGGAAUUUGGGGAAAAAAUAUGCUAAGCAGUCCAAAUUCCCUAUAAUAGCAUAUUUAAGAACUAAGCCUAGUAAAAUCACUAGAUGUCAAAGACCUAUUAUUCAUGCAAUCAAGAUUGUUUUAUGUGGUAGAACAUCUAUGUUGCUUAAUAGGAGGUCAAUGACAUACAGUAAAAUAAGUUAAAUCUAUGAAUUUGUUCUUCAGUGCAUUAGGGAACUGUGUUAACGCAGUUAUUUCUUUUAUUGCUAUUACUAUAUUUACAUUAAAAAUUUCAAUUAUUGCAUGUUAUGUCCUAAAUGGUUGCUUGUAAAACACAUACUCGUCUCCUAGAUUAGUCACGUGUUCCUCCAUAAGAAAAUGGAAAGGAGGUCCAAUAAUUAAAAAACAAUUAUGUUAUAUAUUCAUUUUGUAUUCAUAAAGCAUGUGAUAAAGUUUGGGACACUUUGGGCAUUAUAGUAAUCUAACAAUUAAAAAUAAAUUACUCACUCUUAAUGUUUGUGUUAUAUACUUUGUAGAUAAAUCUUUAAAAUGGUCUUAUGCUUCAUUUCGGAGAAGUCGCCUCUUUUGAAGCAUAAUGGACAUCAAAGGAAAAUCUAGAGUCCAAAAUAAAUUGUUCUUUUAUACAUUACAUAUAUUAUAAGAUUCAUAUUUUCUUAAGGUUACCAAUUAAAGAUUUUACUUUGACUUUUUCUUUUCUUAAGAUUACUUCCAAAUUUUAUAACAAUAAUUGCUUCUUUAUUUUUAGCUACAUCCAUUAAAUUUUACAUUAAUUACUUCAUGUCAAAUUUAUACAUAUUUUUCACUUUAUAUAACAUUUGCAAAAGUUAAAUAAUUAUUGUUGUUUCUUUACUCAAUUAUUAUUUUUCUAUUUUUUUCAAUUCUUUCUUAACCUUUUCAAAUAAUUUCUUCAAAUAAUUUUAAUAUUAAACACUUUAAUCAACUAAAUAAAUUUAAUUUAAUUAACUUAUAUCAAAAUUUAAAUUUCACUCCAAAAUAAAUUAUUCAAAACUAAAAUAUUUAUUACAAUUUUAUAAAUUAAAUAAAUUUAAAAUAAAUAUAUAUACAUAUAAUAAAAAUAAAUUUAAAAGGUUAUACCUAUGCGUCGGCUAGGCACACAUCAAAUAAUUAUUUGUUUUUUUUACACAUAUUGUCGACCUUGACUAACGCACACUUCAAAUUAUUUAUGCUCUAUGCAUUGGUCUAGCCAACACAAUAUUAUUAUUAUUAUUUCACUUUCUUUUCGUGUUCUUCAUGCAUCGGUUGGCCCAUGUAACAUCUAUUUUGCAUUAGCUUUUCUUGAGUUUAGUCGAUGCAAUUCGUGUCCACUCUUAGGCAAUCCAAAUGUUAUGUAGCUAAUACCUCAUUUUUUUGUAGUUAUAUAAAUACGAUUAGUAAUAUAUAUUAGAGAUGAAAUAAAAAUAAAUAUAUAAAUAAAGAAUGAUUCUUAUCUUAUAAGUUCGAGUUGCAGGUUUAAGUUAAGUUGAACCUAAAUUUUAAGGUGGUAUAAAAAUCUGACCUAGUAUUUGAACUAAAAUAUCAUUCACUAUUAUACCAUUAUUUGACCACUAACAAAUGUCUAAUUUUUGUAAAUCUUAUGAAUAUGAUAAUAAAUAUAUAAGGGAUACAUACCGAUUUUACAAAUCGAUAAUGUAAAAACGAACUAAAUUAAAGUAAAAAAAAAAAAAUUAUGCUUGAAUAUUAAUUUUUUUAGGCAGAUAUCUACUUUAGGGCAUAGCUAAAGUGUCUAGUAACUCUGCGUAAGCUAAUUUUCUUGAUUUCUUCUCAGUUAUUAAUCCAUUAUGGUAACCUUGUAUUUUUAAUACAGGUGCAUGUACCUUGCAAGGGAAAAGAAGAGAAAUAAAAGACAUACCUUCACCUAGUUAUAGAUCAUUUACUGUUUUCAUUCUUAUCAGCAGUCAAAUCUCCUCAACGUGUCUGAGUACCAACAAGAACAUGAAAUAUAAACAAAUAUGAGAUUUCAAAAUGCUUGUAAAAUACCACUUCUUUAAGUUGAAUUGAAUCAUCUUGGUUGGCAUGACAAUCAUGGCCAAAUCAUGAUCACAAAUUUUAAGAGAGAACACAGUAAUCUCUGACACCACAAAAUUAUCUUGCUCAAAACAAGGUAGUUUACCAGACAAUAGCCACAACUUCAGCUGCCAAAUCCUAUUAAUAAUAGAGGAAUCACGUUCCUAACUUUGCAAAAGAAAGUGGGAGGAAAACAAUGCAAUAAGAAAUUACCAAGAGUGUCAUGUGCUUCACUUUGAGUGUCACUGUCACUGAAACUUAGAUCUUUUAAAAAUCUGUGCAUAAGUGCAUUGAUUCUUCCCUCACAUGAAUCAGAAAUGUUCAAACCCCAUAACUUUCCUCACAUGUAAGGGGAAAGAGAGUCCUCUAACAACAACCUAAUAGACUAUAUUAUUGUUUAGCCACCAUAAUUUAAGUGACCCACAUGGAUGUCACAAUUUUCAAGUGCCAAAUCAAGAAACUAAAGACCCUUAUGUAGGGUGUUAUAGUUAUUCAAUGCACCUUAACUUCAGCAGAAAUAUUCAAACAUUCGUUUAGUUAAUCUUUGACUCUCCCUUCCUAUUUUCAAUUUUCUUUGGUAUUUUGUUAUAGUUAAGUACAGAAAGUGGUCCAAAAGAAAGGAAGAGCUGAGAAGGAAGAAAAAUGGAGUCAGGAGUUGAGUUUCCUGGCUUUCAGAUUUACAGUCAUAAAGAGGAGUUUGUGUUGAGAAGGUCCAUGAGUAGGCUACAGAAGAGGGCACCAUGUCCACUUCAGAUAAAGCCUAAUGAGAUAACAGCUUUUGCUUGCAAUGGAGCACAGAACUCAAUGGCAACUACUUCAACUUCCUCCUCAACUUCAUCUUCAUUAAACUCCUUCUUCACUAGUAAAGAUCCUAUACCUCUUCUUUCUCCUCUUGUGCUGCUUGAAUCCACCUCCACCAGAGAAGAAAACACUGCAAAAUCCCAUUGAUGUGUUCAUUUGUAUGUUCUAUAAUUUUCCUCAUUAAGGUUCUUUGAUCUUAUAAAACUUCUGUACCACAAGUCCUAAUGUAAAUUAAAUUGACUAAAUGUUUGUGGGGUUUCCUAUUGAUUUUGCAGUGCUUCAAUUCUUCUUUGGAUCCACUGUUCUCUUUGCAAAUUAAUUCAUAAUAUUCAAUGUAUUAAUUCUUAAUUUUCUUUUGCAACUGUAAAGAAAUCAUGGAAGUUAAACAUUGUUAAGCCAAAACUAGUGCUUUGUCUUUUUUACAUGUCAAUACAAAGUAAAUUGUCUCAAAUCAAUUGGUUAGUUUUUGUAACGCAUAAGCUUUGGAUACCUUUUUCCCUCAUGAACAUGUUACCUUUAUGAGUGAAAGGUGAGUCAUUAUUCCAUUGUUUCUAUUAUUUCCCAUGACUGUUAACGUGAAUUUUUUAUCUUGUUAAAAACUAAAGUUUCUGUAUUAACUAAACUGAAUAAACACCAUUUAUUCAAUAUGUUUUUUAACAACAGAAAAAAAAAGUUAGAGAAAAUAUAAAUGGAAUAUUAUUCAUCACAAGUUGAUUGGAAUAAAGUUUCAACUAUGAAAGAUGAAUAUGCAUGUGUAUAAUCAUGAUUAAGAUUGAAAUGCACCCAAAAGUUAGGAGAAUGCUUAAUAUAUAUUACAAGAGGAAAAUUAUUGCUUCCAAAAAAUGAAAAGAAGAUUAUAUGCUGAUAGUAAAAAAUAGUUUUUCACUUUCAUUUAGUUGUAAAUGAACAUAUAUGAUAAAUUUAUUAACUUGUAUAGUAAUCAUCUUAAAUAUUAUAGUUUUUAAAUGAGAAUAUAUUUUACACUCUGAGUGUACCAUUAAACUCAGAAUAUAAUUGGCAAGUGAUGCACUUAAGUUAUGACUAAAUUUUACUUCCUUUUUUUAUAAACAAAAAGAAGAUUUUUGCUUCUUACACCCUAAUCAUUACUAACUACACAUUCACUACUAACAAAAAAGAGAGACUAAUAUGCAUUCCCUCACUAAAAAAUAUUGUUUUGAAAAAAUCAUUUUAAAAAACUCAUAUAAAAGGUAUUAUAUUUUGAAAAUUUUGUUCCAAAAAAAUUAUUUCAGAAUGAAUUUCAUGUGUUUUAGAAAUUUUGUUCCUGGAAUCCAACUCUAGAAAUCUCAUUCCAAAAAUUAUGAAAAGCGUGUCCAAGAAAAAAUUUAGAAUAAAUAAUUUAGAAGUCACUUUAAAUAAGGAUAAAAAUGAUUAUUUUAAAAAUGGUGGAGUGUGCCAACGGAAAAGAAACUUGCUUUAGUCAACAACUGUUAGGCACAUUCUCCACACCCAACACAUUCUAACUGGCACCCAAUCAUUUAAUAGUAAAAGACGAAUAUACCCUUAAUGAAAUCCUGAAAAUUAUAAUUGUGAUAUGCACCCAAUGACCUGCACCAACCCUAUUCUUUUGUUCUUCCAUUCCAUUGUGCCUGCCGCAGCCAUCGAGCCACCGUAAGCCACCGUGUUGUGCAGCCACCGUGAGCAAGCUUAUUGUCCAACCACCGUGAGCGACGUUCUUCUCCAUUCUUCUGCACCCACCGUGACCUCCAUUAUCGCAGGCAGAGCACCAGAUUCGAAGGUACGUCAUGCUUCCAGAUAUUUUUAUCCAUAAGUGAGUGAGAGUUGCGGAUAUUUUUAUCCGCAAGUGACUUUUGAGAGGUGCGGAUAUUUUUAUCCGUAAGGGUGUUUGGGGUCCGGAUAAUUUUAUCCGUAAGUUUGUUUUGACUUACGGAUAUUUUUAUCCGGAAUAUAGUUGGGUCCGGAUAUUUUUAUCCGUAGGCACAACUGUGGCUGGCUUCUGGAUAUUUUUAUCCGUAGGCUUCCGGAUAUUUUUAUCCGUAAGUAACGAUCAGUUUUGAAUAUUUUUAUCCAUAAGCAACGAGCAGUUCCGGAUAUUUUUAUCCGUAAAUGAAGAAGACAAGGGCAUUUUAGGAUUUAUAAAAGUGUAUCGGGUGCCAGUCACAAUUGAUUGGGUGCAGGAAGCAAUUGCCCAACUGUUAAGUGGUUAGGCCCAUUUAUAUUGGGAGGUUUGAUUUAGCCCAUAGUGGGUUAAAAGAGAGGCUUUUUCUUCCUGCACCCCUACCUUUUUCUUCCUGCAUCCCCACAAUUUGGUAAAUCUCGAAACUAGCCUUCACCUUUAAUUUGAAAAAACUGAAGUUUUGGAUUACCGGAAAUCAGGAUCUGGGAGUGUGCUAUGGAUUCAUCAUUCUAGAAGUGAAAAUUGUUGAUUUUUGGAUUGUUGAAUCUGGAAAUCCAAUUUUUAUUACGAUUGGUGGAUCCGGAAUACUUUUUUUCAAUUAUGGAUUUUUAAAUCCAGAAUGCUUUAAUGUUGCACAUUUUAUUUACUCAUCAUUCAUCAAAGAGAUAACCCAUAUAUAUUAUAAACUCAAUUACUCAUCAAUCUACAACAUUUUCCUAUUUAUUUUCUAAUGAUUUAGAAUAAGAUUUUCUGAAUUUAAAUUUCAAAAGUUCAGAUUCCAAUAAGAUUAAAAAUAAUAUUUACAACUUUCAUUGGCAUAAAGCAACCAAAUUUUGCUGACAUUAGGAAAAAGAGUAUUUUGUAUUAUCUUCAAUAUACCGAUUAAUUGAGGGUUUCUUCAUUCAGCUAUGUAACUUUUCUCCUUUAAAUCGCAACAUGUUUAUGCUUAUUAUGAACAGUGAAUGGAUUUCUCUUUUAAACCUUUUUGUAUGAACCCUAGCUUUCAUUUCUUUUUCUUUUAAUUUUUCACACUGGUGGAUCAUAGUUUUUUCAAAACAGGGGCUGGGAGGUUACCAGACGCACCAAUUCGAAAUUUUACCUUAAGCAUCAAUCUAAAACUUUACCAGAUUCUAUAAUUCGAAAUAAAAAAAAUAAAUAUGAAUUUUCUAUUCCGUAAAACUAUCGACUAUAUUGUGAAACUGCAGAUCCAAAAAACAAAAAAUUUACAAACCACCCUUCUCCCACCAAAUUUCUAGACCACAACCUUAAAUCACCCAUAGAAACGCUAGAUGAAACUGUGUGAGAGAGGAAUGGGGUUCGUGGAAGACAAUGGAACGGUGCUGCUCUAAGAAAGAGGAAUGGGCGGCGAUGCUGAGAAGCAAAUGAAGAAGAAAAGAAUAGUUUAGGUUUAAGGGCAUUUUAUGGUUUUUAGAAAAUAAUAAGAACAAUUUUGUUUUUGCAUAAUAUUUGGGGGUGUUGAAAGAAAAUUACAGGGGUGCAGGAAGAAACUGCCUAAAAGAGAUACCUUAUGCCUAUAUUAAUUUGGGCUGCCAAUUUCAAGUACCCACUAAUUAAUAGCCUUUGCUUUCUGCACCAACAAUUUGCAUCCUGAAUCUCAAAUUUGCAAUAUUCCCACUUUACCCUUUUGAGUUUAUUAGGUUGGUGCAGAGCAUCAUCCACCAUUUUUUGCUGUUGGAGCUUUUUCUGUGAUGUGAGCUUGCAAAGUGUAUGCACCAGUAAGGUAAAGUUUGUACCUUUUGUGGAGAUUUCACUUUCUUUGUAGGGUUUGGAAGUAUAUUAGAAAUUAUUCAGAAAUCAUCUAUCUAGAAUUGUUUGAAAUUUGUUGUGAGAUUUAUUUUGGAAAAAAACACCUCUGGUGAUAUUUAUUAUUACGAAAUGGUUUUGAAUUCCUUUUGAAAUAGGAUGAAUACAACAGAAUGGGAUUCAGCACCUUGUUCGGGAAAAUAUGGAAUCUUAAUGAUUUUCAAAACUUUUUCAAAAAUAUAAUAUAAGCGCAAUGAACUUCAUCCCAAGGUUUUCAAAAUGUAAUGGAGGUUUGAAAAAAAAACACAUUAUUUUAUCUUGGUUUACCCAAGUUGAAUUACGUUUAAUUUUUUUACAAAUACGUUUUACUAAUGAAUAACUAUAAACAAAAAAAAAAUUAUAAAUAUUUUAUGUUAUUUAUCAUAAUAAUUUAUAAUCUCACCUUAAAGAAAAAAAACUCAAGUAUUCUUUAAUACAAAGUCAUUUAGUUUUUUUCACAUAUAAAAAUUAUUUUAUAAAAUUAUAGUUAACAAAAAUGAAUAUUUAUAAAAAAAGUACAGUAUCAGACUAAUUUUGCUUAACAAAGAAUAAACUUAAGUUGGAACAUUAAUAUUUUUAGUUUUGUACUCUCUAAAAAUUGAGAGUUUGCUUGUUUUUAGAUUUUUGUCACUUUUUUUAUGGAUAGUUUUCUCUCUUCUUUAUUCAAAGGCUUAACUUAUAGAGAGGUAUACAAUGUCUGUAGUUAUUGCGAUAUGCAAAGUCUCUUCUUGAUGAGACAAAGUUUCUUUUGAGGUUUUUUUUUUUGUCAAUUAAAAUAAUAUUUUAGCUUUACUUGUCAUUGUUCUUUGCAAAAACUAGUUAUUUCCUCUUUGGUUUUUUUUUUUUUAUUGUGAGGAAGUUCAAAGUUUUGAGGAACUUGCUCUUGUGAUAUUAUGAGUUUUAGCUUAUAUUCUAGCUUGAUUGUAUAUAAAAUACACAAAAACAAAUAUAGCAAUAUAAAGGUUUUGAGAAUCAUGAUGUUUGGUUUCAAAGUAUAACAUAAAAAAAUCUUUGAAAUGAAAUAUAUCAAAUUUAGUAGGUUAGGUAUCUUUAAUGUUUUUAAUGUUUUUUUUUUAAUGUGCUUUAGAAGACAACCUUGAAACAUUGUUUAGAUGCGUUGAGAAUUGUGUUGAACAUAAGCUAAUCAUUUAGUCUUUAUGAAAAAUGUUGUUCAUUGAACUAAACUUACUUUUUAUAGUAUUCACCAUAAAUACUUGUUUUUAUCAUGAUAUAACUUUGAGCAUUUUCCAUAGCUUAGUACAUUCUUUAACUAAGAUUUUAUUGUAAAAAUUAUGAAAACAUAAUUGAAGGGUUAAGUUGCGAUUUUAUAUUUUUUUUAAAACCCUUAGGAAAUGAACAUUUUACUAUAUAUAGUUUUGACAAUUUAUAUCUAUCUGCUUAACUCCUCGGAAUACACUCAGCGAAUUAGGUUUCUUUAUGCUAAAGACUUUUGAUUUAUUGAGCAACUGAUAAAUUUGCUUAGCGUUUUUGUAUCACAUUUCCUGUAGUGCUCUCUGUCUCAAAUUCACUCAACACCAGCCUUGUCUGCUCAGUGCAUGUCCUAACACUAUACUUUUUUGCUUAAUGGAUUGAUGCAUUGAACUACUUCUUCGUAUAUGUGAUCCGUUGAGUGUUGAUUCUAUCUGCUCAGUGCAUAUCCCAAUGAUGUACUCUUUAACUCAACAAUUGAUUCAGUGAAGUCCUUCAUUUGUGUGCUUCGUUGAACGUUUUUCCUAUUGAUAACAUCCUCUCAUCCGGUUUGGUUUUGCUUGAAUUUUGAAGGAGAUUGGUGGAAGCUUUGUGGAGGAAAUGUGUCAAGGAUGGCUCCAUUGGAUCUAUGGAUUCCUUGGAGUUGCAUGAAGAGUAGGGAGAAGGAUUGGUUCGGCCAUAUCACUUGGAAAAAGGUGAAGAAGAAGACCAAGGUGUCUAUCCUAGAGAGGUUUAGACAAAUGAGUGUUUAGGCUUGCAAUUUGGCAACAUAACACUCAUAAAAUUGAUCUUACUUUUUAUGAGCCAAGCAUCUCAAUUUAUAGGAGAGUGGGCUGAACAUUUUGGAGACAAAAAUUGAAAAUUCAAAAUAAAACUCUUUAAUGAUAAGGUGUCAUGUGGACUCAUGCUUUCCAUGUUUAGCUCACACUUUCCAUGUUAAAUCCUCUCCACUCUUAGACUGUCAUGUGGACGUCCAUGUGUUCCAUGUCAAGGUAAUUUUCAUCCUCUGAUAUACCCUAGACGCUCUAAGGUUACAUUGGGCUCAAAGAAACUAAUUUGUUACCCUACCUAGUCACUUUUAACCCUAACUAGACUUAUUUUACUAUUGGCCCCAAUACAUACCCAAAAACCUAUGUACUUGGCAUAAAUAUUUGGUCUAAUUAUUUUAAACUACAAGGCCAAAUACAUGGCCCAUGAAAUCCUAAACAACUUUAUACAAUUUAUUUAAGCUAAAUUUUGACCCAAAAAUAAUGUUGACUAGUCAGCCGAAACUCAAUUUUCUUGUGUUCUUCUGAUAAAAAAUCUAGUUUAUGUUUUGAUGAGUUGGAAGUCUUCUUAGAUAUGUUUUGUACAUUCCUUCAUCCUAGAGGUGUCCUCUCGAUUGAACCUACAAAUAUAAACAAAAACCCAAUUAGACCCAUAUUUGAAAAUAAGUCCAUAAACAGACUCUAGGUUUUUGUCCUCCUCAUUAUGUGAUUGUGUGUGACUGGAAGCUCUGCCAUCACCUAUCCUCUCAAUGGAUCUUAGCUAUCUUGGAUUCCUUCUUUCUACAUACACAUGGGAAACACUUAUAAAACACGAGUAACUCUUUUCAAAAGAAUAAAUUCAUUUUUCCAUCAAAAAUAAGAAUUUUUUUACUAGUAUAUAAAUAUAUAUAUAUAUAUAUAUAUAUAUAUAUAUAUUCAAAAUGAAUAAGAAAUAGGUGCCUUAAUCAAGUAUAAAACAUUUAUUUUAGGCUCUUAUAAACUCCCUCAAACAAAGUACAAAUUUAAGCAUCAACAACUUAGAACAACAUUAGUUUCCUGAAUAACUGAAUUCCAAAAUUUGAGUUGUUCAUAUAUCUCAAAACUUAAUUAUGUAUAGAUAAUUAAAGCUUUUUUAAAAAGUUUUAAAAAUUGUUUAAUUAAUAAAGGAACAUCAAUUUGAGAGAAAAUGGUAAAAUAAUAGUUUUUUAUAAAUAAUAUAAGGUAAAAAAUUAAUAAUAAAUAAAAUUUAAAAAGUAGAAUAAUAAAAUUUAAAAAUAAUUAGAAAAAUAUAUCUUGGGAUGAUAAAAAUGUUUUAUAUAGAUUUUAAAACUAAAAAAAAUCAAAUAAUAAUAAAAUAUUAGAAAAAUUAAUACAUAUAUAAAUAUAUACCCUUUAGGUUAAUUUUCAUUUAAAAAAUAUAAUAAAGCAUAAUAAUAAUAUAUAUUUUUUUUUUAUUUUUAUUUUUUUAUCAGCAGCAUAAUAAUAUAAUAUUAAAAGAGUAGAAAAAAUUUAUUUUGGGAUCUAAUCAGUAGUCCUAGUUUGUCAUUUUUUUUAACCUAGAAGAUAAAAAGCAAAAAGAUGAGACAAAAAAAAGUAUAAAGAAAAAAAAAUGGGGGCAAAAAAGUGAAAAAACAUAAAAGCAUAAAAACGAGAAAGGGCUAUUGAUAGAAGAAGAGAAAGAAGAAAAAAGAGAAGGCCACAUAGAGGUAAGGUUUUCAAAGUUUUAUUUUAAGUAUUUUAUAUGACAAUUGUUUUAUCAAACUAGGACAAUUUGAUAGGUUAAUUACUAAAAUAAACAAAAUUUAAAAAAAUUAUCGAAAUAGAUAAGUCGUGUUAAGUUGGUACGAUUCUGGCCUAUUAAAAGUUGGUACGAUUUCAAUGUAUUUGAACUAAAGUCAUGACACGACUUCGUGUAUUUGAGCUAAAGUUAUGGAACGACUUCAAUGUAAUCAAAUUCUAACUAAUACCAAAGUCGUGCCAAGGUGACAUGACUUUAGUUGAACUUUGAUUACACUAAAAUCGUGUCAACUUGAGUUUAAAUACAUCGAAGUCAUGUCACGUUGGCACGACCUUCACUUUCAUGAGAACAAAAUCGUGUCAGCUUGGCACAACUUACUCAUUUCAAUAAUUUUUUAAAAUUUUAUUCAUUUUCGUAACUAACCUAUCAAAUUGCACUAGUUUGAUGGAAAAAAAAUACCUCAUAUGACAUUGUAUGUGGUUUCAUACUAUUCAUUAAUGCUAUCCAAAACCAAUAACGUUCAAAACAAGGGAACUACGAAACCAAAAGAAAAAAAUGUGUUAAGGAAGAUAACCAUCAAUGUUUUCAUUCCUUUAUUAUACACCACCCUCCACAUCUCACGUCCAACAUAAGCCCAACAACACCAUCAUAGUCAUCGACACAACAACAACAACAACAAAACCAACAACGACAACAAUAACGACAAUUUUUGUGGAAGACAAUACGACUUAGUUUCUCUCUACGCCUUCAAACCCAUGUUCGAACUAGACGAUGAAUGGUACAUAAAAAACCUUUACCACCACAAUGACUGCAACAUCAUCGACAUUCUCACCACCCAUCCGCAUUACAACAACUUCCUCAAUCAAACCAAGCUAGAUGACGAAUUCUCUUUCUUAACAACCCCACAUUCUCUAUCAUUGCCAAUAAGUAUCCCCCCUCCAUCAUAAAAAACCAACAUGGUUAUUUUGGCUCACCAAUCAAAUGGUGUGUGUUUUGGGCACGACUAUGACGCCAAUUCUAGCUUUCACAAGUAUUAUACUGUUGACACUCCUUUGGCUACAACAAAGAAAGAAGAUUGUUAAAGUACAAGAAAAAUUCCGUAAAAGAGGAUAUGGAUUCAAAGAACUCCUUAGGUGAGACAACUUCACAUACAUGAGAGAUUUACAAAUAGGUAUCACUAUGCUUUAUGUUUAUCAAACAAUCUAAUGAUAUUGACUUAUAGAAGAAGUAAAGAAACAUGUGAAUUAUGUAGUGUAAUUUUACAUAAGAUCAUUAGUUGUUCUGCAUGGUAAGGUAUUUUUAUUUAUAGGCUUUAUUGAAAGGACUAUUGUGGGUUACAUGUUGAUAUUUUAUUCACUUGUAAGAGUUUGACAAUGAGUUGGUAGUCUUUUUAACUAAUAUAUUUUUCUAUUGUAUUCAACUUGAUAUGUAUUACAACAACUCUUUAUUUUGAACAUCUUUUUUCUUGUACUAACAACACUGAAUUUAACAUACAUUUCUAGAAAAGAUAACUAUGUUAUAUCAAAAUCUUUAUUGAUUUUGGUGAGUCAACUUCUUAGCGAUUUUUAGACAAUUUUAUGAAUUCAAAAGUGAAACAAUAUGUCUUAAUAUGAUAAAAUUUCUUAUGUCUUGAUCUCGUAAAAGAUAAAUAUUAUGAUGUUGAUAAUUUGAAGACUAUAUAAUUAUUUUUUAUUUUUUUUAACACACUUAGAUCAAAGUAUCAGUUCAUCAAAAUUUUUAUUAUAGUUAAAACAUAUAAAUUUACUAACUAUUGAUAUUAGAAUUCUUAUAUUUUAUAGAUAUAUAUAUAUAUAUAGAAUUCUUGACAUAUAAAUGAGCUCAAAACCAUUUGUAAAAAUAAUUCUUAUGGGAAAUAAUUGUAAUAAGCUUUAUGAGAAAUAUUAGUAUUUUAUGGUUGAAAAUAAUGAUGUUUAUUAUUUAUAUCUAUAUAUAAAGAGAUUAUCUUCUUGAACUAUUCUCAAUUUUUUUCUUAUUUUAUCCUUAUAUUAAUAUUUAAUUUUAUUACUGUAUUAUGGACAUUGCGUCAUUUUGUAUUUUUUCUAAAACAUAUUAAAACAAUUAUCAGAAGUAGUUUUGAAUGUAAAAUAAAGUUUUUUUAAUUUAAUUUUUUGAAAUAUAUCUCCAUUUCUUCAAUUUUCACAAUUUGAAUUUUUAGGAUUUUAUCACCAUUUUUUUUUCUCUUCACUCUUUCUCACUCUAUCUCUCUUAUUCCUCAAAUCUCUUGAAAACCAAUAACAUGACUCUCAUGCUUGGUCUCUCAUGCUAGGUCUUUCAUACAUACGGAUACAUAUAAAUUUAUAUUUCAUUUAAAUAAAUAUAAAUAUACAUAUAAUAAUAUUAAAAAUAAAAAAUAAAAAAUAUGGAUAUACAAGCGACACCUCUAGAUUUCUGCUAAUAAUGAUAAUGAUUAUUCAGAAGACAUAAAAUAAUGCCUAUACUGAUUUAUAGAUCGAUAAUUAUUAUUAUAUUAUUUUUUAUUAAGAGUAAACUUUAACGUCAAGUUAUUAUUUUCUUCCAAAAUUAAAUACAUGAAUAAAAAUGAAAAAAAAAUAUAAUUCAUCUAACGCAUUUUCCACUUACAAAAUUAUUGUAAUUAAAUAAUAAAAAAUAUUUUUAAAAUAUGUUAACACUUUUCUAUCACUUUUUUAAGAUGAGAUGUAUAAUAUGAUAAUACAAUGAGAUCCACACUUGUUGGAGAUCUCACAUCGACUAGAGAUUAGAGCCUUUCAUUGUAUAUAAGUGGGUGCAAACCUCAACCCUAUGAGUCGAUUUUAUGGGGUUGAGUUAGGCUUAAAGUCCACUCUUUCGUAAUAACACUUACAAUUUUGUUUUAAUUAAAUUUAAAAUACGUAAAUGAAGGAGUAAAUAGAGAAUAUAUAUAUAUAUAUAAUUAAAUUUGAAUUUUUUGUUUCCGUUGAUAUUCAUAAAUCCACAACUACAUUAAAUUAAAUAAGAGAUAAGAAAGAUAUUUACAGUUAAAAUAUUAAUAUUUGUAUUAAGGAAGUUUAGUAAAAUUGGUUUAUCUGUGAUUUAUUAUAUUACGUACGUCUUCAAUUUUUAAAAUAAAAAAUAUAAAUUUUGCGUGUGACAUAUUUCUAAUCCACGUGACAUUAAUAUUGUUUAUUUUAAAAUAAAAUGAUUAAAAUUAUGGAUUAAACCAAAGUUAUAUUUUAAGAUGGAAAAUUAUGUUUUAAUAACUGAAUACCAUUUUAUAAUUAAUUAAAGAUAAUGUUUUAAUCUAUAACAACAUAUAAUGACUCCUCCUUCUUAUCUGUACACAUUUUUUUUCUAAAUUUAUCCUUGAAGAAAUAAUAAUGAGUUUAAUAAUUUUUUUAUAAAUUUAUCUUUGCAAAAAAUAACAGUUAUUAAUUUAAUAACUUCUCUUAUUAAUUUGAUUCUCUUAUAAUUUAAUAACUUCUCUUAUUAAUUUGAUUAUUUUAUAAUUUAAUAACUUAUCUUUUUCUUAAAAUUACGAGUUACAACAUUUGUUUAAAUAACAUAUCCCAAGUCCAUUCCACCCAGUAAUUUAAUAUUAAAAAUACAUCACCAUGAGUUGUACCAAACAUAUCACAAUAUUUUAAAAAAAAAUUAAGAGAUUAUAGUAAUAAAGUGUUUUUUUUUUGGGUUUAACUGUAUUUAAAGAUAUGAUUCUUUAGCUUUGAAUCUCAUCUUUGUAGUUACAUCCAAGGGCUAGAAACGAUGGUGCAGACAUAACUGUGGGGAGAGGAGGCUUGGAAUAAAAUAUACAGAACUAAAAUAUAAAUUGGGGGCGUGCGUGACUAAGAAGCAAAACGGGAAACGUGCUUGCAUAAUCAAAAUCCAAAAUUUCAAACAACCAAACAUUUUUGCGUUUUGAGUUGACCUACCCUCCUUCAGUUUUCAUCAAUUUUUGGGUCAAUUUUUUUCCCUCUUUCGCCCAAUUCCAAUUUCACUAUCUUUCUCUCUGCGGACGUCAGCUUCUACGGCCUCGGUUUUGAUUCGACAAGUUCCUCUUGUUUUAUGGAGGUAGGGUUCAGUUUUACAAUUUUUUCCCCAAUUUUCUCGAAUGUGGUUGAUUCGACGCAUGUUUAGAUUUUCACUUCAGCCUUUUCUUGCUCUUUAAUUAGGGGUUUCGUUCGGGUUGUUAGAGUGUUAGGGUGGAGUAUUGGCUGUAGGGUGGGGGAUAGUGUGUGUUGAAUACGUGAGGUGAUGAUGCAUGGCUUGCAAUUUCUGCUGGGUAGAAUUUUGAUUGGAUGAAGUAUUUGCGGGCUUUUAUUGUUUUUCUGUUGUGAGAUAUUGGAUAUUGGAGAUCUUUUGCUGAAUGAUUAUCUGGGUGUGGGUGUGAUCUUGGUUUGCAGGUGUAGAUAGAUGACGGGAAAAGACGUCUCAAGAGAGCACUUUCAGCCCAGGACUUGUUCUGGGAAGAAAGAGGAUUUUAAAAAAAUUGUGUUUAUUGAUGUAGACAGUGAUCAAGUUGAUGAGGUGGUGAUCAUAGAUUACCCUGAGUUCAUGUCUAAGUCGCAUGGAUCUGGUGCACCGAGUAGAGACAGGGUAUUUACGCCGCAGAGUGUUAUCAGCAUUGAUGAUGACGAUGAUGACGAAAGUGAUGAUGCGGAGAUUCCUGGAGUUGUUGCGGGAAGUGUUGGGGAAUUGGAUAGCGAUGCCUCCUCUAGCAAAAGUUCUUCUCCAGACUCUAGCAAAAGGUCUUCUCCAGACUCAAGUGGUGUGCGAGAUUCUAUUCACAUAGAUGUUGAUGAAAGUGGUGUCUGUGAAAAGGAGUCUGAAUGUGACGGGCUAAAAAAUAGGAAAGCAGGUCCUGCUGCAGAGGGUACUGGAAGAAAUCGCUACGGUUUGGAUGGGUCUGAAAGUGAGUCAUCAGAUAGUGAUUGCUCUGAUUGCGAACUCAUGGAUCGUGAACAGUGGGAAAAGAUUUCGGUUAAGAGAAAGCGCACUGGGUUUGAUGACCAACCUUGUUAUGAUGAGCAUGCUAGUUCUUCUGGACUACAUUUUAACAAAAAUGUAUGCAUUGAUAUUGAUGAGGAAAAUAGGAGUGGGGAGAAUGCUGGAGGCACAACUCAUUUUGGUCCCACUGAUGGCAAAUAUGUUGAGAAGAAUCAAUCAUCCUCUUUUGCUAAGGUUGAUAGGCAAGUAGGAAAUUCUUUGAAGGAUUCUUAUAGGAAAGCUGAGUGGGAGACUUUUAAAUCUUCUUUGUUUGAAUUCACUGAGGAGGAAAUGCAAUCAUUGCAUCGAAGUUGCAAAAUUGGGCAUGGAAAAAGUACAAGAAGCAAAGAUUUCUCUCCCUGCACACAGUUUGAUAGCUACGAUUGCUGUAGUGAUGUUACUGGUGUCUCAAGGUUCAAGAAAGAAUUCGGCAAUGAGGAGAUUGGACUUUUGAACUUGAGUCAAGAGGCAGAUAAAAGCCAAGUUACUAAUUCUGGAUCUACACUGAAGAGUAAAAAUGACUCUUUAUUUGAUUUGAAUUCUAAGUGUGCCUCUGUUGAUGAAAGACAUGUUAGUUGUGAUGGGCCUGCUUUAAAUGAAGAUCAUUGUGGCCUCACUAGCACUACGUCAAAUGAGAGAAAUAUAAUUAAUGAAAGAGAAAAACUUAAGGAGACUGAUGAAUAUAAGCAAGCAAUGGAAGAGGAAUGGGCAUCUAGGCAGCUACAAUUGCAAAUUCAGGUAAUACACACAUCUUAUUAUUUAAAUAUUUUAUGCACAUGUUUGGGUUAGAGGCCUAUGAACAGUUAAGUGCUUAUGACUGUACUACUAGUUUUAUAAGCAUUCUAUUUAAUAGAUUUAUUUUUAUAAAUAAGAUGUAAGAAAAUGAAUUGCAAUCUUAUAAGCUAGUCAGCUAAUUUUGUUAAGUUUCACAAGUAGGAUAAAUAAUGGUUAUAUUCAAGUAUUCGUACUCAUAAGCCACUCUCACUUGCUUAAUCAAAUGGCUUGAUUGUUAAGCCUAGGUGCUUAUAUUAUAAUAUGAGCCAAAUAAUCUUGGGGGAAGCUAUUUCAAGUGCCCCCUCUGUCUCUUUCAAUAAUGAUCUUAGAUUCAUUGUCUCUUCAAAUGUGUGUGCUUAGUUAGUGAUCUCACUUGUUGAGAGGGGAAAAUUGGCCAUGCUACCUUUAGAUAAGCUUCACAAAUAAGCUGAAAACUGCAUAUAUAGUUGGAGGGGAAAAUUGGUUGUGCUACCUUUACAUAAGCUUCACAAAUAAGCUAAAAAAGGCAUAUUUAAUUAGAUGGGAAAAUUGGUUGUGCUGCUGUUAGAUAAACUUCACAAAUAAGCUAAACGUGCCUUUAAUAUACAAACACUUUCAGAUGAAGAUGUGCUUAUAUGUUAAAAUAAGCCCCAAUAAGCUCAACAGAAGCUCUUCCUAAUGCCCCCUCAAUCUCUUUUGAUUUAUGCCCUUAGAUAUCUUUGUUCUUCAAAAUGUGUGCUUGGGGUCUCACAAGUUGAUGAAGGGCCAAUUAGUUGUGCAAAUGCCAAAUCCCUUUAAAUGUCUAAUUUAUUGUGUAGGAAGAUCUAACUUUAUAUUUAAGCUUUUGUUGGUGUUGGCCUUUUGAUUUAGUGCAUUUUUAGAUUAGUUUAUUUUGGGAAAUAACCUCUUAUUUUGUCUAAGCUCUCUCACAAAGCUGCAAAAAAUUAGCAAUUAUUAUCGCAAGGUUAGCUGAACCAAAACUUGCUACAACGAGAAAAAUUGGUUAGUGAAUAUAAGGAACUCUCAUUGUGGAUCAGGACUUCAUAAUAGUCAUUGUACAUAUAAUUCUGCUUAAACCACUAAAAAGGCGAUACACGUUACAUGAUAUCACAGCAAAGCACCUAAUCUUUCUAAAUUUGUAUGUUGUGCCAGAGAAAGUGUGGCAUAAACUCUUGUUUCCAUGACUGAAUCAUUAUAUGUGGUUUUUCUGAACUUGAAUAACUGGAAUUUACAGUAAUAUCCUUUUAGGUUACUAGGUAGUAGGAAGAAAAAUAGAGACUUGGUUGAAACUACUCAUACUUUGUUGCUUGGUGCUAAUGUACUAGUUCAUCACUGGGGGAAUGCCCACUUCCUCUCUUGACAAUCACAUUCCAUAUACUAUACUCUUUCUAGAUGAACCUUUAUUUCAUGUCUCCUCGUGUCUUUGGGUGUGUGUGUUUUGUUCAUGUUUUCCGGGUUGGGUAACCUCUUUGCUAGAGCUAUCACAUGUGUUUUCCUAGGAUAUUGUCAUCUCUAAAAAGGGUAUUGAUGCUAUUCUCUUGUUUGUAACUAAAUACUUUUACAUGUCUGCAAGUGUGAUAUUUUUUUUAGGAGACUCCUUCCUUUUCAAGCUACUAGUUCUGUGCAACAAGUCUUACCUAUCCCAUUUGUUGAACCAUUGUCAUCUCCCCUCCUGACCUUACUAAUCAACUAACUUUUCACAGUCCCUCUCCUACUCUAAGCCCACCAAAACCAUCAUCAUCAUCACUCUUAAUCACUUAUCAAUGCAAAACACAAGAGACUGGUUCAGUGUUACCUUUUGAGUCCUUAACCACCAUCUACCCAUCUUUCAACUCUCAAUAAUGAAGAUCUUGGCUAACCCAUAGCUCUAUGAAAGGGUAUUUUCUCUACUGGAAUCCUCAUCCUAUUUACAAUUUUCUAAGCUUUUGUUAGUUGUCUCCUUUGUUCCUCUUUUGUUUCCCUAAAGUUGUACUUGAAGCGCUUGAUCAAUUUGGAUGGUGACAAACCAUAAUUGAUGAAAUGUAGGUUCUUGACUAGACAUGAGAGCUUUUUCCUCUUCCUUUGGGAAAAAAGACAAUUGACAAACCAUAAUUGAUGAAAUCUAGGCUCUUGACAUGAACUAGACAUGAGAGCUUUUCCUCUUCCUCCGCAAAAGAAGACAACUGGAUGCAAGUUAUGUUAUGCUAUCAAAGUGGGUCCAGAUGGUCAAAUUUAAUGCAGAAGUUUUCAUUUGAUAAUCUUUGGUCACUUCUACCUUAUGAUAUUUAUUCUUACACCAGAACACUUUCUACAUUUUGGAUGUUGGCACAAUACUUGGUUUAUAUAUACUUAUAUUUUGGGUAACUUGCUAUUACGAUUAUGAUGUUGUAAUGUGAUUCCUUAAACUGAGAUUAUGUGUUCUUGUUCUUUUACAGGCAGAGGAAGUACAAAUGUUACGCAAAAGAAGAAAGGCUGAAAAGCGCCUAUUGGAUAUGCAAAGAAGGCAAAAAGAGCGCAUUGAAGAAGUGAGAGAGUCCCAAAAGAAGGUUGCAAUUAUUUCUUUAAUUUACACCUGAAAGUGUUUCUUAUGUUAAUUAUCCUUCACUUUACCUUUUAGAAAUUCCUUCUCCUUUUAAUUAUAUAUGACCAUUUGAAUGUCUCCUUUGAUGCUCAGUGUGGACAUAAUAUAAACCAUGGAAUUUUUUACCAACUCGUUAUUUCUUUUUCUAAUCUGACAUAUAAUGCCAAAUUCAGGAUGAAGAAUUUAUGAACCUGAAAGAGCAACUGCGGGUUGAUAUAAGGAAGGGGCUUAAUCAUUUGGAGAUGCAAUGCCAUGAUAUGACCUCAUUGCUUCGUGGCCUGGGAAUACAUGUGGGAGGAAGCUUUACCCCUUUGCCCAAUGAGGCAAGUUGUGUUUAUAUAUUAUUUCUUUUAAUAAUAUAUCAUUCUUUUUAUCACACUUGAUAAUUUAGAGUCCAUAUUGUUUGAAUGCUAUGCUAUAUACUUUUUUAAUUAUUUAGUAUAUUUAUACUAUCCAUUGUUCAAAUGAAAUGAAAUCACUUAUAUGAGUAAAUUCUUGAGAUCAUGGUUGCUAUUAAAUAUUUUCUAUUAAGAAAGCUGGUCAGUUAAUACUCCCUGAGAGCAUUUGUACAAAAAAUCUUAUCUUUAUGCAAGUUACAUUAUUUUUUGCUUCACUAAUGCUUUCGAUGCAAUCAAAUUUAAGGUAACCCUGCCCUUAAAACGGGUUGUACGAAAAGUUACAAAUUCCAUUAUCUUUCGGCAUCAUUAUUUUUUUUUGGUCAUGGAAAACUAGCCAGAGUAUGACGUGGACAUGAGAAUUCAAGGGUGUUUGUUCCCUUUAUUCAUAUCUAAGCGGAUUUUUAAUUUAAGUUGUUUACGGUUAUUUGAAUCCUGGGAGAUCUCUUUUUAUGGUUGAUCUUAGUUAUCAAAUCUUUUAGAUAAUGACAAUGGUAAUAUACACACACAUAUAUAGCUUCAUUUUCCCACAUGUGACUUCAUUUACAAACCUUGACAUGUUUAACAUCUUAUGUCUGCGUCUGCCCCCUUCUCAAUGUUUAGUUUAGUGUUGUAGUCUUAUGAUGAUGAUGAUGGAUGUCACAUAAUUGUGGUUCCUACUUCUGAUUUAUCCAAUGCCCUAUGCUGUAUUUGAUGCUAUUUGUCUGUUGAUGGACGUUUCAGGUGCAAGCAGCCUAUAAACGUGCCUUGUUCACGUUUCAUCCAGAUCGUGCAUCAAAAUCUGACGUUCGUGCACAGGUUGAGGCCGAGGAGAAGUUCAAGCUCAUCUCACGCUUGAAGGAUAAGUUUCUGUUGACUUCUUGUCACUAAAUGCUAACAAUAUAGUUGUCGGUAUUUGGUGUUAUAAUUGAAGUGCUAUUACGAUUGUAGCUCAUUGUUUGGUAUUCAUAUCUUAAAUGUAUUUAUUAGUCUCCCCCGUCAUUCCCCCCAAAAUUUACAGCAGAUAAUAGGUUAAUGGACUAUAAAUAUGUGAAGAUUUUUUUUCUUAUUAAAAAGUGCAAUAUUUUCCGGAUGGACAGUAAUAUUGAUAUUAUUGUCCUCAUCUUGCUAAUCAUUUGCGCACAUUUUUUCAAGGAAAGCAUUAAAAUUGAUCCUGACGAAAAUCAUAUAUCAGUUUGAGGAAUGCACAUCAUCAGAAAAAGAUGUGCCUAGAGAUGCCAAAAGACGAACUGGUUUAUUCUGACCUACCAAACAUGUUGACUGACAAAAUUAUAACCAAGUUUGGCCUCUCCCUUUUUCUUCAAGCAGAAUGGUAGUAGUGAAGAAUCAGAUGAAGAGCUAAGGCCAAGGCUUGUUGAGACCCCAUCAUCUGCAUGGUUCUUGGAAAACGCCUCCACAGUUUUCUCAACCUUCCAAAUGCAAACAAGCACUAGAGCAUGGAUGAUGAUUCCUGAUGCCACUCUAAAAAUACGAAAUCCUAUCACAUUGGGCCUUUAAGUAAAGAAAAGUUAAAAUAGACUUCUGUUUUUAGUUUAUAAAGUUAGUGACUUUUUAUUUAAUCAUUAACUUUUCAUCUUGAAAAAAUUAUGAUAGUUGUUAAUAAUUUGUGUUUUAUAGAAGGUUAAUUGACCUACUACUGUUUGUGAUAUAAAACAUCCACUUGUAAUAUCUAAAAGUUAUUUUCUAAAAACAUUUUUUAUAAAUUUCUUACUUAGAUGUUAAUGUGACGGCUGAAUAUUUGGUAGACUAAAAUGAUUUUUAUUUUUUUAUUUUUUUAAAGUUGAGCCUAGUAGAAGUGGAUAUUUACGAAUACGAAAUUCUUUGCCAACUAUAUUCUCCCACAAGUCAAAACCAAGGUUCUUGCAUUCUUUAUUCCCAUCUUUUAAACCUGAAUGAUAAAUUUGCUCUUGAUAAAAUGCAUUUCGGAUUGCCUUAUUUGAUAUAUAUUUCUGAAUGGAAAAUAUAUUCUGAAUUCCACAUUUCAUAAUGUAUUUGUUUAUUUUAAAUAAGUUUAUUAAUAUUGAAAUUGAAUACAAUCUGAAUCAUAUACAAGAAUAAAAUCAACAUUGUGCAUGAAUAAAGUCAAUUAUCUAAACAUAUGUGAGUGGAACUCCUAAUAUUUAGGUAAACACUUUUACACUAAUAUAGAAUAAAAAUCAUAAGUUAACUAUUGUAUAAUAAUAUACAGACCAAAAUAUGUCUAGAGUUGGUAUGAGACAACUAUCCUACAAUUAGAGUUGGUAUGAGACAACUAUCCCACAAUUGUUUGCACAAUUUUUAAACGUAUAGUAUAAUCAGUGAGUAAUUAGGAAUAAUAAUGUAAAACAUGACCACACAUGUAUGAAAAUACUUUAACAAAAUGUGAAUUGUGCACAUGUCUUAUACAUAUGAUUGGAUGGAGACUUACUUCGUAAUAGAAGUAUAGUCAUAUUUUGCUACAAUGAUAAACACUAAAACAACAUUGUAUCCACUAAUAAUCACGUAUCUCAUAGAACAUAGUCGUCCAUUUCUCUACUAGCCUACGAAGACAUCAAUGUCAGUUAGAGAAUUAUCAUUGUAGUAUAGACAUUAAAAAAAAGUGUGUAAUGUGUGUCAUAAUUUACCAUUGACAUCUCAUCCACCAGGGAUGACAUUUUUAGUUAGUCUACCCAUUCAUAACUAUCCAAUGAUGUAGCAUAUUUAUCACACCAGUGACAAAUUUCUUUCAACAAAUCCAUUCUAACAAGCGACCAUGUCCCCCAUUCCCAACAAUGCAACUAUAGAUCGAUAUCCGCAAUUACCAUCAACCUUCAUAUCAAUGACAUCAAUUAUAUAUUGGGAUGAAAUUGGUCCAACACUGAAAUUGCUUUAGUGUUCAAGGGGAACUUCAUUUUUCCCUCUCUUUGCUUGACUUUCAUGUAGAAGAACUAUCCUUUAUAGAAUGAAUGACAACAAUAUGCUUAAAAUAUGAGGGUUCAUGCUUUGUAGAUAUGACCAAUCUAUUUGCUAGACUUUUUGUGAUUCCUUGAUUUUCACUUUAUCCAUGAUGCACACGUUAAUAUAUUGGUAUGCAAUUUCACAAAACUUGCUCUUAAUUAUCAAUUUCCCUGCAAUGUUAACUUCUUUAAAAUAAUUCAGUAUAACAUUAAAUUCUUGUUAGACAACUCAGAGGAUGAAUCACAUGAUGGCAUAUCAUAAAAGCUUAGUCUGACUCACAUAACAUGAACUUUAUUUAAGGGUAUGCAACCAAGGUCAUAUAUAGCUAAUUUGCAUGCACAAGGUAAAUCGUGAGUAUGUCCGAGUAGACAACCACAAUGUUCACUAUCAAUAUCAACAUGUUUAACCCAAUCAAACUCCUGAGCAAUGUGCAUCAAAGCAUAUUUAGAUACAAACCCUUGUAGUCUUUUAUAUAAACUUAUAUAGGAAGUGUGGCUCACAACAUGCAUAAUCUUCUUAAACGAUGUUUUAGUUUCAUUAUGUUGCAACCAUGUGAUGUUGUUGAUUAUGUUCCAGAAUGUACACAAGUCUCUCAUACUAUUUUGAAGUACCCACUUCAAAUUCUAGUGAGCGAAUUCUAUGAUUAAGCAUGAUAAAUGCAAGUACACAAUAACUAAUGAAUGUGGAAUUAACAAGUUUUUUUUGUUUAUUAACAACAACUAAUGAAUACAUACAAAAUAAUAUACUUAGUCAACCUUAUGUUUCCCAAAUGCACACCUUGAAUGUCCAUGCCUUUACAAAAAUUUCUUAUGUGGGAAUGAUCCAUAUGUUGUUCACAUAGUCGAAAAAUACUAAUUAUGGCAAACAAACAACUUCAAAACAUUUCACAUAUCCCACAAAUGCAUCACAAUUUGCACAAUCUAUCACAGAAUCUCAUGCAUCCAUAAAAAAUUCUCAAGCCUACAUAGAGUCCACUAACAUUUUUCAUUUUUCUCCAACAUUUUUAUUAAUGUGGAACCGACACAAAAUGUUGGAAGUUUCAGGAAAGAUAAUGUUAAUUGCAUUUAUUAAAGCAAGAUUUAUGUCACUGAUAACUACUUUAGGAAAACAUCCAUCCUAAAAGAUAACCCUCUAAGUCUUUUGAGGGACCAAAAAAGUUGCUUUCUCGCUCACUUGCUAACAACACAAAAGGAGCAUAGAAAGUCGAUCCUGUGGACGUCACGUCAACUAUCUCAAGCAAAGAACACCUUUGUUGGUUUUGUAUGUGUUGUCCAUCAAGAGCAUAAUGUUAAAUACAUUCAACAAUUUAACCGAAUUGAGAUGUGUCUAAAAAUGACAUGUAAACAACCUAUGUAAACUCAUUACCACAACUCUAUUGAAUAUAAUUGUCACGCUUUAACAACAUCAUUAACUGUUGCAUUUAAAUUCUGGAUCAUCUUUGUGAUCUCUUAUAUGCAUAUCUAGUUGUAUAUUUGCCUUAUUGUCGUGAAUUUUUUCUCAUUGUACUACUAUUUCCAAGUAAGUAUUAUGUUUAUUAACUUUACUAUACUCUUAGUCAUGUCAAUAACCAUGAAAUGUUCAUUUGAUUUUAAUUUGUGAGCAUAAGGGUGAGCAACUAAUGUAUUAACCAAUUCAUGGAUAUAUUACCUUCAACAUCCAACCUUCUCCAAUACCUAGUUUGCCUUGCAAUUUAAAAGAACAAUCGCAUUUUCUUGUACCAAUCACAGUAACUUCCAAAUUAAUUUUGUUUUUCAUAUACUUACCACCCCUUUCACAAUCUAACAACACAUACGUCUUUUUUUCCUGUUGUCCAUUUGCUUUGCCAGACUUCAAAAUAACAACUACAAAACCUAGUCUAAAGGCUACCUUAGUAAGUCAUCUCAUGUACCAAAUUCUUAUACAAAUACAUUACAACUUAAGUAUAUCAUAUGUCACACAUUUCUUACACAAGUAAAUGCAAUUAAACUUAUAUCAUAUGUUGUAAAUGGUCGAACAUUGUCUCCUCCAACCAAUUCAUCUUAAGAUGCCACAAACUUUAUUAUGUUUGACUCAUCCAUAUCAGACAACUUAUCUAUUUCAUUAGACAUUUUGCUCCACAAUUAGGAUUAUAUCUUUGUAUUCAACAACCACCACUAAAUACAUCAAAUUUUAUAUUAAAAAGUAUAAAAAAAAUAGAAAUAUUAAAAAGUUCUUAACUUUUGAAUUCUAGAUUGUUUAAUCCAAAAUAUAAAAUAUAUAUUCAGGAAAGGUAAAGUUGAAUUUAUAAUUAUAUGGGAGUGUAGGUUUAAAAUAUGAGGGUGCAUAAUGGAAGAGCCCAAAACCAAUAGUCUCCAUGUGGACAUGGCCGAGUAAUAACAUUUUGUAGGUUCCUUCUUCCUACACCUCAAUGGAGUCAUGAAAUUACCAUUUGACCCUUAAAAAAAACCUGCAACACCCCAUCUUCUCUUCUUCAUUUGUUCCAUGCACCACAAGUGGCAUUUCCUUCCUCACACCCGUUCCUGCUUUUAGCGUGGUAAAAAGAAGAGAGUACGGAAGAAUAGUAAACAGAGCACACCAUAGGAAGAUUAUAAAUAUGAGAAGUCCCCCUUGGAUUUGACAAGAAGGAAAUGAAGAACAAGAAUUAAACAAAAUGAGGCGUUUCCAACUCUAGUGUCGGAUGAGCUUCUCCCAAUUAUGUAUGGAAAUAGCAUAUGAAAAUUUGCUCUAACCAAUGCCAAGAGAAUCAGCAGGUUAAAGGUAAAAUGAUAGAUUCAAAGUGACAUAAAGUGACAUUUGUAUAACGAAUUAUACUUUGUAUUUCAGAUUCUACAAUUCGAAAUACACAUUUGUAUUCCAAAUUUUAAAAUUCAAAAUAAUUCAGAAUGCAAAAUAAAUUUUGUAUUAUGAAUUCUUAGAAUUCGAAAUACCAAAUUUUAUAUUCUGAAUUCUAAAAUUCAAAAUAUAGGAUAAUUCUAGUAUUUGAAGAAGUAUAGAGAGUAGUAAGAAAAUGUGGAGGUUCAGAAAGAAGGUGCCCAUUUCGUAUCAAUCAAUUUCAGAAAAAAUUGUUUUACCCUUUAUAAAAAUGACUUCCAUAAUACUUUUUCCAAAAUGUUUCUAGAACAUAUUUUUUGGAAUUCAUAAAAUAUAUUCCCAAAAAACGUUCUCCAAAACAGAAUUUCCAAAACCUAAGGCUACAGGGAGAAAUUUGGUGCAUGAUGAAACAGGGAGUUUCUUCCUGCACCUUUAUGUUUUUCUUCCAGCACCCUCACAAUGUUAUGCAAAGACAAAAUUAUCCUUAUUAUUUUCUAAAAACCCUAAAACACACUAUCCAUACUCUUUCUUCUUCUUCCUUACGCACACCACAAACCUACAUUUCUUACGUUUCUUUGCCUUUCUUUGGGCACGACAGCUUCAUCUCAUCGCAUAGGAACCGUGAGGUGCGUUUCACUUGGUGGUGGUUCGGUGAUGUCUCUUCAUCUCAUCCCUAUUGUUUUUGUUUUCCAGAAUCGUGAUUCCGUAACAUAGUCCCGAAUUGAGUGAUCCAAAAAUAUUCUGAAUGAGUGUGUCCGAAAGUUACCCGGAUUGAAAUGCAUUCUAGAUCCACCAAUUUGUAAGCCAAAAAAAUGCAUUUUGGAUCCACCAAUUCGUAUUUGAAAAAUUUCUUCUAGAUAAGUCAAAAAAUUGCUUCCAAAACACCCCCAAGGCUAAUUUAAAAAUGGUGCAAGAAGAAACUCUCGAAGAAAAGUAUUUAUGGACUUUGAGACCCAUCUUUCUUAAUCACCACCGUUAAAGGACAGCUUCUUCCUGCACCUCAAUAUUUAUAAAAAUUAUUUGUUGAGAGUGGGAUUUGAACCCACACCCUUUCGGACCAGAACCUUAAUCUGGCGCCUUAGACCAACUCGGCCAUCUCAACUGUUGAAAGAGAAUCCACUUUAAAAUUAUUCUUAGUAAGCCCCAAGAUGUAGAAAGUCAGAAAAAUAUUAAACUAUUUUGUGAGGGUCAAGUCACGUAAGCAUAUAGAUGAACAUGGCUACCAUUUGGUUAAAUAUUUGUGUUGGUGCAGCUAGAGGACUAAUUGUUAUAGUUAUUUAUAUUUUAUUUAUUUUAGUACGAAUAAUUUGACAUAAUUAAAUAUUAAAAAUUUAUUAAUAUUGAAAUAUUCUAUUAACACAUAUAUAUACAUAUAUAUAAGAUAUGUAAAUAAAAGUUUAUUCACUAAUAUAAAAAAUAUAUGUGAACCUUUUACAAAGACAAAGGAUGUGCUUAUUUUUAUAGAGCAAAGAAUAUAAAUUUUUCUACCCAACUAAGUAUUAUUUUGGCAAUUUCUUUCAUAUUUAUUGCAUUUACUUUUUCAACAUGCACACUUUUAAAAAAGCUAUUAUGUAUUAAUCCUUGAAAAAACGGAACCGUGAAGGUGGAUUGAAUUACUCAUUACCCUCGAAAAAGGGAAACAAAAUGUAAGGCAUUAAUAAACUAUUUAUACAUUGAGAAGUUUAUAUUCAACUUAUUUAAUGAAAAUUAUUAUUUAUAAUAAAAUAUUGGAAAUCAUCUAUAUGCUAGUACUUUCAAAUAACUACAUUGUAUUGCUGUUAAGAAUCUUAUAAUAAUUCAAUAAAAUCAUGUUUUGUGACAAUUUUAUUUACUACAAACCAAUUUUUAGAAACUAAAAUAAUUAGUUAUAAUAAUAAUUAAAUUAGAGACCACUUUAGAAACUAAAAGAAAUUUUGGUUUUUAAAUUAGUUUCUAUUAUUGUUAAAUAGUUUCUAAAUUGUUAUCUAAUUAGUAACCAAAGUUUUAGAGAGCAAAUUUAGAAACUAAAUAAUUGGUAGUUAAAACCUUGGUGGCUAAUUAGAUAUCAAUUUAGAAACUAUUUAACAAUAAUAUAAACUAAUUUAUAAACCAUUUUUUUUAGUUUCUAAAAUGGUUUCUAAUUUAGUUACUAUUGUAAUUAAUUAUUUUGGUCUCUAAAAAUUUGUUUCUAUUUCAUGAUUUUCUUGUAGUGAUUCUAGUUUUAUGAUUUCUCAAAAUGACAUUAACUUUUAAUUAUAUAAAAUAUUAAUUAUUUUCUAACUUUUUUUCAAUUCUAAAAAAUUGUGGAAAAAUAAAUUUUGCAUGUUAUUAGUGAUGGCAAAGCAAGUCAGUAGUUCCGUCUUGGUCCAAUCCAUCAUUGAUCUGCCAAAAACGGAUCGGACCAAGCUAGUAUGUCAAGGUUAUACAAACUAGAAUUAGUAACAUGUCUCAUUAUAGGGUGGGUUGGCGGGUUGACCAACUACUUUUCAAUUUUUUUAAAACUUUUUUUGUAUUUUUUUUGUUUUGGAUCUAUUUAAUUAGUUGUAGUCUUUGAUAUCACUUUUUGGACAAUAAAAAAUGUAAGGAAGAACAAUAAAAUUGAAUCAAACUUUAAUAUUCUAAUCAAAGAAGGUUUGAUGCCUAACAAAAUAAAGUAAAUAUCAAUAAUACUUCAAUAAAUAAAAUGAUGUAUAAAGAAAUUAAUGUAAAUAAAAUAAAUAUCAACAAUACUUCAAUGAAUCAAAUGUUGUAUACAAACAUUAAUCUAAUUUCCAUUUCAUUUAGAGGUAUAGACCCUUAUCGAGAUACUCCUAAAAUGCAUAUGAUUGCUCAAGACAAUGAGGGUUUUGCUAAUACAUGCACAGGUGUAGGACCUAAUUUAAAUGGAAUGCCUAACAUUGAAGUGUAUAUCGUUCCAAUAACGUAGACGCUAUAAAACAGCCAAUCCAGAAUUACUUUAUUCUUUGCAUUGACAAACUUAUUGGUUUUAAGGAUGAUAAUUUACUUGAAUUUUAAUGAGAUUUUGAAUUAUCAUGUUUUAAUGAUAAGUUUACUUGUGAUUCAUGUACUGGUUCCUUCAUUUGUCAAGGAUGUACUGAGAUUAAAAAUAUGAUUUGCACUAAAAAUGUUGGUAUUACUACACCAAUAUCGUAUAUCAAACCAGAAUGCAGAGACACAUCCAUAAGAUCUAUUUUUAAUGUUGACCCAAUUGAUUUGCAGGAUCAAUUUUCCAUGUUCACUUUCCUUCUGCCUGUCCUUCCCUUUCUUUUUUAGAUUAGUUGGGAGACGAAUAGUUUCAUUUGCCAAGACAAACCAAGCCACGUAACAAAGCGAAUGCUACACCUCGACCAACCAAAAGAACAACUCUCCUUACAAAACUUAAACUCUUUGUCAUACUCGAGCCUAAGGGACAAGUGUACUAUUGAGGUGUAGAGUUUCAAACACUGGAUGUCGAGCACCAUUCGACUACUCGACCACUUCAUUUCUCAUGAAUCCACUACCAUGCGAGAGAGAGUAAUUAAUAGUAUUAUUAAGAGUCAUUACGUAAUAAACACUUGUAAACCAUGAGCCAGGGACAAUUGGGUUCUCAAACAUUAGGACAACACCCAAAUCAAUUCUCAAACUAAUAAGAGGGUAUAUAGCAAUUAGGAAGGAUCAAUUACUCUUUACUUAUUUAUAUUCAUCAUGCUGGACUCCAUACCUAUACAAAUGACUAGAGUACACUAAAGUCUCUUAAUUGCUAUUUUUUAAUCAUUUAACGUGUUACAUUUUACUAAUUACGUGAUUAAGUUUUAAUCUUGAUUAGUGACGUUAAUUGUUGGUAUUGUCGAGAUGGAAAUCUCGAAUACUUAGAUAGUGACCCAAACCUGAAGUGAAGACUAACUUUUUGGAAGAAAAAUCAAUUUCCUUUUACAAAACAAAUGUUGUCGCGUCCAAGCAUUUCCAAUGCCCAACUAUACUUUUGUUUUCCAAAAGACAAAAAAAAGUGAAGCCAUUACGUUGACAUUGAAUUAUUACCAGUCACAUCGAUCACAUAAAACAUAAAACAUAAAACUAGUUGAAGAACAUAAAACAUAAUUGAUAAACAACAUAAAACAUAAAACUAGUUGAAGAAGCAGUGGCUUCAAAAUCCUCACGCCAUGUGAUGAUUUUGAGUUUGUUAUUUUAGUAAAAUCUCUAGAAGCUGCUGACACACCCAUCUCUCUGGAGAAACUCAGGUUCAACAGAAUACUCCUGGUAGGGAUCAUCAGAAGACAGAGUACGAGCAUGUUUGGCGAGUUUAUCAGCAACACUAUUGGCCGAUUUCAAGAUAUUAUCAAGCCUCACUUCCCAGUCAGAACGGUGUAGCAUCGCCCUUAUCUGUUGGAUGAUGUCAUAAUCAUGGUGAUUGGGCUUAACCGAGUUCUCCACCAUGCUCACCACGGAUUUAUUGUCUGACUCCACGACCACUUUCUUAAACUUCAUCUUUGAAACAAGCUGCAGCCCCGCGAGAAUGGCUUCUAACUCUGUCUGGUGCACUUCCAAAGAUGAGUCCAGUUUUUUAGCAAAGCCACGCACCCACUUUCCUGCUGAGUCCCUCACAACCCCGCCGCAACCUGCAGAGACUACGUUGUAAUGGUCUCGCGAACCAUCCACGUUCAGCUUCACCCAACCAACCUCAGGCUUCUUCCACUUCUCCUGUCAAAGAUAACAACUCACAUGUUGCUUUCAAAAUUAAUCCACAAACCAAAAGCGUGAGUGAAGAGAACAAAAUUUACAUACCACCGGGGUGCCGCCACCCAUGUUAUUAUUAGCCUGCUUGCACGACCGAGCCUCACCAUGCUCACGCUCUCCGCUCUCACGCCUUGCGCCGAACGCUGCUUCAUGCUCCGAGUUAGCAGAUGCUGAUGAGAGAGCGACAUACAAACCGCCGGCUACGGCGGCAGUAGCGGCGGCUGCGCUCGCUACUUUCAGAAACCUUGAGGUCCAGCUGCUUCCGCUGCCGUCGCUGCCACUCAUUUUGAUGCUGCAAAUGAAUGAGUUUGUUUGGAUGGUUGGUUUGAUAAGGAAGAAUAUAAGGGUGGAAUUUAUACUCAGACAACACUUUCUCUGUUACUUCUCCUUCGAGGCUAAGGUUACAUCUUUUCCACCUCUACCCUUUCAAUGUACAGGAACUUGCAUUAUUUGAUUCUUUACUAAACCCCACUUACUUGACUCACUUUUUUCUUUCUUCGAACCUAUCUAUUAAAAUAUAUUGCUUUCAUAACAAGCUUUAUUUAUUUUUUUGUCAUUGUAAAAAAAAAUUACAAAACUUUUCUGUCAACCAGUAAAAAAUUAUCUUUAAUAAUUACAAUUGACAGUUUAAUUUUAAAAUGGUUUUAUUUUAAUAAAAAGAUUUUUUUAUUUAUUUUAUAUUUACAUAUAAAAGAGAUUUUCUUCAUUAAUCACUCUAAUUUUUUUUCUAUUUUAUCUUUUUAUUAAUCUUUAAUUUUAGUAUUGUUUUUUUUUAUCGGCAAUAAAAAAUAAAUAAAUGGGAACCACUUGAGGGGUGGUUCAACCCUUAUACAUAAAGAGCAAAACACCUUACCAUACUCCUACCACGAAACGCCUACCUGAAUAUCUAAGGAACAACCAAACUAACCACAAGAAAACAUUAAAUUAUCAUCUUCAUACAAUCCAAUGGGUUCAAAACCCAAUUAGAGUACCCGAAGGAAGCACAAUGAGACUUUGCGUAAAUUCACGACCAAACUUUUACCUGUACUAAGGCGAAUACUUCGAGCGCAUCUACCACCCCCCCUAUCGAAGGACACACAAUUCCUAUGAUUCCAAAUACCACUUACAACUCCAACCCAAAUUGCACCCCAAAUGUCAUUAACCGAAUCUGAAGCCUGACUUAACUUGAACUGUAGAAAGUUUGCCAAAGAAUCCUUAUGAAUAACGAAGGAUACGCCUAGCCACUUAAAACAAAGACACCAAACACGCCAAGCGAAAUCGCAGACGAAAAACAGAUGACUGGAUGACUCUUCCACCAUCCCACACAGACAACACAAGGGAUUCUCAAUCACCACCCCGCGUCUUUCCAGAUUUACCCUAAUAGCAACCUUAUUCUCUAUCACCCUCCAAGCUGUGAACAAAGCAGAAGGCAAGGCUUUGCACCUCCACAACUUACUAUAAACUGGAGGGACCUCCCCAAUUGUAUCCUUCCUAACUUGAACAUAGGCUGAGUUAACCGUAAAAGUUUUGAACCCCCAGCCUUCCAAAUCCAACAAUCUUCCUUCCCCAGUUCCAACUUCGCCCCUUGCAACAGCUGAACCAACUACUCCUCCAUAGGCUUCUCCCAUUCGAAAAAGGAUCUACGCCAAACAAAGUGCCACACCCAAACACCAUCAAUCCAAUUCCCAAGCUCAACCACCUUUGCAUCUUUAGCCAAACUAAGGGAAAACAGUCUCGGGAAAACGACCUUCAAAGCUCCACAACUCAGCCAAUUGUCCUCCCAGAAAGAGAUACCCUUCCCAUCACCAACAUCCCACUGAAAACCAUCUUCAAAAUUUCUUCCCCAACCCUCCGAAGCCCACACCUCCAUCAAAUCUUUCCACCAAAGGGAACCCUUUCUUAUUUUACCCACCUCUCUCAAAAUUCUCCAACCACCAUAUUUAGAAACAAGGAUUUCUUUCCACAAACCUCCUUUAUCCGUACCAAACCUCCAAAUCCACUUACCUAACAAAGCCAGAUUAAACUUCCUAAGGUCAAUAACACCAAGAUCCCCAUAAUCACGAGGCUCACAAACUUUUUUCCAAGAGGCCCAAGCGAUCUUCCUACCAUCAGAACCCCACCCCCAAAGGAAAUUCCUUUGUAGCCGAACUAGCUGCUCUGCCACCACAGACGGUAACUUGAAUAGUGACAUAAAAAAUAGCGGAAUUGAGGACAGAACAGACUUUAUCAAACAAAUCCUCCCAGCCAAAGAAAAACACCUACCUCUCCACCUUGAAAGUUUACCCUGAACUCUCUCUAACACCCCGCUCCAAAAAGCACCACGCUUGUGACUUCCUCCUACCGGCAAUCCUAAAUAAACAAACGGGGUCACCAUCACUUUACAAUUAAGAAUAGCCGCAAAAUGUUGAAGCAAGCUCUGACUCAACCCCAACCCGCCAAUUCUACUUUUCAAAAAAUUCAUCUUAAGCCCAGAGGCGAGCUCGAAGCAGAGUAGAAUAGCCUUAAUAUUGAAUACACUUUUUGUAAUAAGUAUCAAUGACAGUCAAUGAAUAUGUACUUUUUGUAAUAAGUACAAAUAUAAGAAUCAAUGACAGCUUACUAUGACGGGUGUAAUUUACCUGUCAUAACAAAUUGUGCAGUAGCAUUUUUGUAAUAAUCGUGAAGUUUAUUAUGACGGUUAAAAUUAAAAUUAACAUAGUAAUUAAUCGCGUUUCCCAUUUUAUCUGAAACUGAAACUUCAGUUUUCCAUUUUUUUCCUUUUUUCUUGAAUCCCUAAAUACUUCUUCUCCUUCGUGCGCUCCUUCUCCUUCUCUUUGUAACUUCGUGCGGUUUCAGGUUCGAUUGCUUGUGCUACGAAUGCGUUUGCAAUUUUUUAAAACUGAGAAUGUGCUUUGCUGUUGUAUUGAAAUUUCGAGUGCUGAACUUAGUCUUUCAAUGUUAUCUGCUUUUAGGUCUUGGACUUGAAUUGAAGUAUUAUUGCAUAGUGUCAUAUUAGCUCUGUUUUUAUCUUUCUGAAUUCGUGGACAGAUAAUGAAAUUUAGAAACAGUGUGACGUAUCAACACCAUAAAAACCAAGUGUGUCGUAUUAAGAGUCUGUGUUGUCAAAGAGAUCCUUCACCUCUGGUACAAACUGGCAAUUCAUCAUAUAAGAGCCUUCUGAAUUAUUUGAGACAUGAAAAUGACGUUAGAGAUAAUGAAAUUUAGAAAAAAAAAUCGUAUUCGACAUUCCUAUAAUAUAUUUUAUCAGAAGUUUUCAUUGUUGUGUACUUUCCAGAGCCAUCUUUGGCCACAACAGCAUUAGCUUGAGAAGCAGCAGAAUUGGUGUGUGGAGAUGCAGAUCAGUUGUUAUAAAUCACCUUUUCUCUGCAACUGGAAGUCACAGGCAAUGCAUGGAAGGUUAUGGUGUGUGCAUCAUCGUAGUUCACUAAUAUGGUAAUGGAAGGGAAGCUGCAGUUCUGGUCCAGUUUAGAAUUUUAGCCCCUGUACUCUGCAUAAUUAUGCAGCUUUGGACCUUUAGAAAACGCAUGUUUUUUGUGUAGGGAGUAUUUGUAUAUCGUUUGGGUGCUGGAUGCAUAUGGUAAGCAUGUGUGGGAGCUAAAAAAAGAGGGUUGAGGGUUGCACCGUGAUUGAAUAUCUUUGAAUGAGUAAGAGAAGCUAAUGGAGGAAAAUAGAAAGGGAACAAGUGUAAGGGUUAUUAUUACUAAGGAAAAUGAAGAUAUGAUGAUGAUGAUGCCAUAAUGACAACUAGCCCUCUGGCAGCACUUCGUUUUUCUUUGAGAGGGUUUAGAAUGAGAGGAUAUUUUGGGAUGAGGAUAUGUGUGGGGUUGAUGUCCUAAACUAAAGGACUUUAUAUAGAGGAAAAGAAGGUGGUUUGAAGCACCAUUAUGGAUGAAAAGCUGUAAACCAGGGACUACUCACCAUGUCUUACUUUUCUAAAUCAUUUUUGUAUAACUCUAUUUUCAUGCACGUAUGUUGGGUCAUUAGUGUGUAUCAACUUUUGCAAUUUAUUAAUUCAUAUAACAUAUUUAAGUUGGGUUCUAUACUUUUCUUUAGCAAUAUUACGGAAAAAUUUGGAGAAAGAAAAUGAAGAAUGGAUAAUAUGUACCUAACUUUGACCUUAAGAGACUUGUCCCAGUAGCGGCAAUAAUCAUCCAAUAAAACGCGUUAUAGUUAUAUAGUAUCUUUAUUUUUGUAUAAUAAUCUAUAUAUAUAUAUAUAUUAUAUAUAUAUAAUGCUAAGUGAAUAAUCUCUUACUGAUUAAGCUUUAUUUCUAGGUUACUAGAAUUGCCAAAUGUUUGCUAAAUUGUUCUGGCCACAAGUAGGAAAACUGUUUUUGUUUGUACUUGUCAACGAGAAAUGGCCUCAUGCACAUCACACACUAAAUUAAAUAUAUAUAUAUAUAUAUAUAUAUAAAUGAACUGGUAUGCACCAAUUAAAAUGAACUAUAAGUCUUGGGCUUAUUAGAAAGAUAACUAUUUGUAAAAUAUGUGAAAAUUGACCCAUUGCUUUCACUGGUUCCACCAUUUGUAUGUGUUUGUCUUGUUUACAGAUCACAUAUAUGUCCAUAUUGAUGGGAAUCUUACUUUCUCAUUUAUGGUCUUUUAUAUGUAUACAAAAUGUAAAAUUUGUUGCUACUUGCAAUAUAAUUUUUGUGUGAUGUAAGCCUGGUUUUAAAAUAAUUUUUUGCUUGACUGAUUAGGAACCAAAGCAACAUAAGCAGCUGGAGUUACAUCAGGCGCCAAAUGAUUUAAGAGAAUCAUUAGAUAUAAAGUCAGUUGAUUAUGGAUUGGAGUUGCCUGUGGAUGCUGCAAUACAGGCAAAGCCAAAAAGGUAUAUCAAAAUAGUUUAAUGGUUAAGUUUAUGGUUGUGAUUCCAGUUUUGGUUAAUUACUUGAAUGCAUUUUUUUUAGAUUAGAUCAAUAUGCAAAACAAACCUCGAAAUUUGUUGAAGAGGGCACUUACCUUAAUCUUGGAAGUCAAACAAGCAAUGAUAAUUUAGGGAAUGUUGUUAAUGUGUCAGAUUUCCAGGUCAGAUUAUAUGGACUAUAUGAGUUAUUUACUUAUUUUCCUCUGUGUUAACUUUGUGCUCUUUAAUUUUGUAGGAAGGUGAAUAUGCUGAUUGGACUAGGGCAGGGAGACCGGAGACAAAGAAGAUGUGGAACUAGUAAGCUGCAAUACCAAAGGUUUCAUUGUAAGUACUUAGAAAACGGUAUGUUGGACUAAAAACAGUUUCUUAGUCUUAGAUUGUUUCUUUAAUUUAUUCUGAACUCAAUUAAACCAUUUUACAGGUUUCUUUUGGUUCCUUGGUGAGAUUUCUGCCAUACCGUAAUCUUAAUUCCAAAUGGAAGUUCUUUGCUUUUGAGACCUGGUUAAAACAGAAGGGCUUGGAUCCAUCAAUGUACAAGUUUUGAUACUGAUAUUAAGAUGUUUUCUCCUCAUUCUUCUCCAUCUCCGGAGAUAGAUGGUAAAGUUGAAGAUAAAAUUUCACCAGAUGUAAAAUUGGAAGAUCUUUUAAGCAUUUCUUGAAUUAGCAUGGAGCAUGUAUUGUUGAUUCAAUGAAAUGAAGUGUUCUUCUGAUUUGUUUUAUGUUUCUUACGACAGGCUAGACUUCAAGUUGGGAUAUAGCUGAAAUGCUGCAUCCAGAAAAUAUCUUACUUUGGAAUUUUUGUUGAGGUAUAUACAACAUUUAAGGUCAUGGUGUCACUAUUAUGGAGUUCAGCUUUACUAGCAUAUUUAGUUUUACAUCACUUAUUCCAGUGGAAUUUCUUUGUUUGGCCUAUUUAUCAAGCUAAGCAGUAAGCACCUGAUAAUACCCUUUGCCCAGAGUUCAGAGUGGUGGUAAAAAAUUCUAAAUAUUGAUGUGAUUAUUAAUUAUUAAUGUAGGUUGAAGGAGUUUCUUCAUCAGUCUGAAUUAUCAUGGGAUACCACUGUGAAUUACUCAAAUACUUUAAUUAUUUAGUUUUGAAUUUCACUUUUUAUUGAUUAAUUUAUUUAUUUUUGUAGUUAUUUAAUGAUCAUCUCCAUUCAAGGAUAAAGAUAUAGAAGACAUUAAAAUGUAUUGAGCUUCAUUUUUUUUAAGUGUUUUUUAUAAGAUGUAAAUUUCGAUAGCUUAUUAAUUAAUGAAUUUGUCUAGAUAACAUUGAUAUACAUGUAAUUGUUAUCAAUGAAUAGAGUAAAAUUGAUUCAUGAUUAAGUUUGUCUAGAAAUUUUAUGCAAUUGUCUGGAAACAUUGAUAUGCAAGUGAUUAUUAUUAAUGAAUGGAAAAAAUUUGAUCAAUGAAUGAAUUUUUAUGUAAAUUAUAUGUCAUUGUCUGGAUGACAUUGAUAUGCAAAUGAUUGUUAUUAAUGAAUGAAGUAAAAUUGAUCAACAAAUGGGUGUCUAGAAAUUGUAUGCAAUUGUCUGGAUAAUAUUGAUAUGUAAGUAAUUAUUAUUAAUGAAUGAGGGAAAAUCGAUUAAUUAAUGAGUUUGUCUAAAAUUGAUAUGCAGAUGAUUGUUAUUAACGAAUGUUAGAAAAUUGAUAAAACAAUCAUUUAAAAAAAAAACUUACUAUGAUGGUUAUUACAAUAAAUGAUAUAAAAAGUCUUAUUUACUAUGACAGGUGUAAGAAUAUUUGUCAUAGAAAACCACUUACUAUGACGGUUCAGAUGAGAACCAUGAUAGUAAGUUGUAUUUUCUAUGACGGUUGUAGAAAUACCAGUUAUAGAAAGUUUUGUCUCAACAUAUUAUGACAGAUAUUUUUUACAUUUUAUGACGGUUCAUAGACAAUAGUCAUAAUAAGUCAACUUACUAUGUCAGUUUUUCAAUUGACAUAGAAAGUGGAGAGUUUUUAUAACUCCUGAUUCUAUGUCACCUUCAUAACCGUCAUAAAAAGUCUUUUUUCCACUAUGUAUUGUAUUAUAUACAUUACAUUUUUUCUAUUUUUUCUAAAUAUAUUAAAACAGUUACUCAAAAUAGUUUUGAACAUAGAAGAGUUUUUUUUUUAAUUUAAUUUUCUAAAAUAUAUCUCAAUUUUUACAAUUUUUAUGAACGUUUCAAUUUAAAUUUUUGAAUUUUUAUUAUUAUUUUUUUUCUUUGUUUUUCUCAUUUUUUUUUCAAAAUAAUAUGACUUUUAUACUGUUUCUCAUACAUAAAUACAUAAACACAUAAAUCUAUAUUUUAUUUUAAUAAAUAUAGAUAUAAUAAUAAUAGUAAAAAUCAACUUAUAAUAUCUUAAAGUUUGCUUAGAUCGGUCAAAACAUUAAAGAUUGGAGCGUAAUCAGUUAAAACAUUUAAUGGUACCAAAACAAACAAUCGGUUGUUUCCUCGAAUCAAUCGGUUGUUUUGGUUUUAACAGCUUAACCAUUUGAAAAAGAGUUUUCAAUCUUUUUUAAAAACACCUAAGUAUAAAACAAUCGGUUGUUUCGACAAAACAAUCGAUUGUUUUUCACUUAGUUUGAAAAACACUUUUCUUUUAAAAAGAUUGAGACAGCCUAUGCUUUGGAUUCAAUCAAGGGUGAAUUACAAAACUCAAACUACCCCAGAUCCUAUCUGAGACAACUCAGCAACAACAAGCACAACCUUUCAACAUCCUUCAAAGGGUUUUGGAUUCUUCAAAGCUUGAACACUAUUUGGUUCAACAUUCCAGGCCUUGCGUAAAUAUCGCAUGCGCUUAAAUCCGGAAAAGUGUGUGUUCGGCGUAGAAGGUGGAAAGUUCUUAGGUUUCAUGCUCACUCAUCGGGGCAUAGAAGAAAAAUGCAAGGCAAUUAUAGAAAUGAGAAGUCCCAGUGGACUCAAAGAGAUUCAACGACUAAUCGGUCGUUUUUAUCAGCAGCAGCAAAAAAACAGUUUUAUAUCUGAGAUUUUAACAGAAUUAAACAGUUUCAGAUAAGGAUACACAAGACCAAUUAACAGACGAAUGUGAACAGAAUUUCCUCCAGCUUAAGACAUUCCUGGCAUCCCCACCGGUCAUCCAGAAACCUAACACAUGUGAGCUUAUCAUAGUGUACCUCGCUGUCUCCAACGAAGCACUAAGUUCUUUUCUGGUGCAGGAAAUUGAAACAGAGGAACAGCCCGUAUAAUUCGUUAGCCAAGUCAUGCACGACACGGAGAUCUGGUACCAGAUGGUGGAGAAGGUCGCGUUGGCUUUAGUCAUUACCUCACGACGGAUGCAGAUGUAUUUUCAUAAUCAUCGGGUCAUAGUUAAAACUAACUAUCCCAUUAUGAAGAUCCUCACCAAACCUGACUUAGCCGGACGAAUGAUAGGUUGGGCAAUCGAAUUAUCAGAGUUCCAUAUCGAGUACCAACCCAGGGGGGCCGUUAAAUCCCAAGCACUUGCUGAUUUCACAACGGAACUCACUCCUUAUCCGAUCGAAAAAGAAGGCAUCCCGAUGGACGUUGUAUGUAGAUAGCUCUUCGAACAGUCGUUCGUGCGGAGUAGGAGUUGUACUCGAAGGACCGGAGAGAUUGUUAUUGAACAGGCCAUGAAGUUUGAAUUUAAGACGUCAAACAACCAAGCCGAGUAUGAAGCAAUAAUUGACGAUCUACACCUGGCAGUCGAAUUAGAAAUAACUACUCUAAUUUGCAAAAGCGAUUCCCGCCUAGUCGGACAACUAACAGAAGAAUAUGAGGUAAGGGAGACUUUGCUUCAGCAGUAUUUCCACUUUGUAAAAAAUCUCUUAAGCAGAUUUGAAGAAAUUUCGUUCCAACACGUCCGGAGGGAGAAUAAUACUCGGGCAGACGCUCUCUCAAGAUUGGCUACUGCCAAACAGAAAGGAGUUCAUCGGUCGGUCAUACACGUGACUCUAAUUAAACCUAGUGUUGAUGCUGAAGAAUGUAUGACGAUCGACACUCAACCUAACUGGAUGACCCCAUCAAACAAUAUUUGAUUGAAGGAGUAUGCGACCCACACUUGGAAAAGACGAUGAAGCAGCAGGCUGCCCGAUACAUACUCAUUGACCAAGAUCUUUAUCGAAGAGGAUACUCCCGUCCUCUACUAAAGUGUCUCAACCCUGAGCAAGUCACUUACGUGAUGACCGAACUGCCAAAGUAUUGCAAGCCAAAUAUUACUGGCCUACCGUGCAAGGAGAUUGCACCGAAUACGUCAAAAAAUGUUGGAAGUGUCAGGAGUUCGGCCCCCUAUCACACCAAAAACCGGAAAACUUGCAUUACAUUUUGUCUCCUUGGCCCUUCGUGAAGUGGGGGAUGAAUAUUAUUGGACCCUUCGUACCUGGCAAAGGACAAUGCAAAUUUUUGUUGGUAGGCGUCGAUUACUUCACCAAGUGGAUCGAAGCCGAACCAUUGACAGCCAUCACCGCCCUAAAUGUCCAAAAUUUUGUUUGGGAAAACAUUGUCUGCAGGUUCGACCUACCUCAGGUUAUCAUCACAGAUAACGGUCGACAAUUCACCGACCGGGGAUUAGCAGAGUUCUAUGUAAAACUCCAUAUCAAACAUGUUACGAGCUCGGUCGAACAUCCACAAACCAACAGUCAGGCCGAAGCCGCCAACAAAGUCAUUCUUAACGACCUGAAGAAGAGACUUGGUCCAGCCAAGGGAAAUUGGACUGAAGAACUUUUAGAAGUUCUCUGGGCCUAUCGGUGUACCCCUCAGUCAACGACUCAGGAGACACCUUACAGUCUGACGUACGACACCGAAGCCAUGAUUCCUGUCGAAAUAGGCGAACCCUCAUUAUGCUGACAAACGUUAGAUUUAGACUUAAACAAAGAAAGCUUGCUGAUCGGCCUCGACCUCAUCAAUUAAUUAAGAGACAAAUGCAGGAUAAGAGAAGAAGCAUGCAAGAUCGGGCGACAAGAAGAUAUAACUCGAAGGUGAAGCCACAAAGUUUUCAAAAAGGAGACUUGGUUUGGCGCAUGCGCAAUGACGCUCAGAAGGACGGCGGGAAGUUUUCAAGCAAUUGGGAAGGACCAUUCCGUAUUGACGACACAACAACCGGAGGAGUGUAUUACUUAGAAUAUUUGUCAGGAAAAUCUAUACCGAGAACGUGGAAUGCCUCGCAUCUCAAAUUCUAUUACAAUUGAUAAAUAAAAUCAGUGCACUCUUUCCUCGCUCGGUCGUUUUGUCCUAAGGAGGGUUUUCGAUCGGAAAGGUUUUAACGAGACACUUUAAAAAAUUUAUCUCCAUAAAGUAUUCACCAUGUUUGGUCAGAAAUUAAUAAUGUUAAUUAUUAAUUAAAUUAACCGAUCGUUCGGUCAGAAUCAUAACUUCAAUGUUAUUUGAAUCAUAACUUAAAUGUUAUUCACCAUUUUUUGUCAGAAAUUAAUAAUGUUAAUUAUUAAUUAAAUUAACCGAUCGUUCGGUCAGAAUCAUAACUUCAAUGUUAUUCGAAUCAUAACUUAAAUGUUAUUCACCAUGUUUGAUCAGAAUUUAAUAAUGUUAAUUAUUAAUUAAAUUAACCGAUCGUUCGGUCAGAAUCAUAACUUCAAUGUUAUUCGAAUCAUAACUUAAAUGUUAUUCACCAUUUUUGUCAAAAAUUAAUAAUGUUAAUUAUUAAUUAAAUUAAUCGAUCGUUUGGUCAGAAUCAUAACUUCAAUGUUAUUCGAAUCAUAACUUAAAUGUUAUUCACCAUUUUUGGUCAGAAAUUAAUAAUGUUAAUUAUUAAUUAAAUUAACCGAACGUUCAGUAAGAAUCAUAACUCCAAAGUUAUUUGAAUCAUAACUUAAAUGUUAUUCACCAUUUUUGGUCAGAAAUUAAUAAUGUUAAUUAUUAAUUAAAUUAACCGAACGUUCGGUCAGAAUCAUAACUCCAAAGUUAUUUGAAUCAUAACUUAAAUGUUAUUCACCAUUUUUGGUCAGAAAUUAAUAAUGUUAAUUAUUAAUUGAAUUAACAGAUCGUUUGGUCAUAAUCAUAACUCCAAUGUUAUUCGGAUCAUAACUUAAAUGUUAUUCACCAUUUUUUGUCAGAAAUUGAUAAUGUAAUUAUUAAUUACUUAACCGAUCGUUCAGUCCGUUUUAUGACUUAAGCGUUAUCUACCAACUUUGGUCAGAAAUUAAUAUUAGUUAUUAACUAACCGAGUGUCCGAUCAGAAUUACAACACGUUAUUGAUAAAAAUCAUUCAUACCAUUCGUUCCGUCAGCAUGAGUACUUAAUAGAAAUGCAUGAUCACAUUAAAGCUGAAAAGAAAAGAUAAUUAUUCAAAAGCAGUAAAAAUGUACGCAAAAGUAAACAAUAAUUUGUUCAAAGCCCACACCCCUAGUCCAGGUAAUAACAAACUUAAACAAUAUCAAUGGUUUCGUCCGGUUGCAUGGUAUCGUCCGGUUGAGGGGUCUCCAUGGUUGGGUUCUCCAUGACUUGAUCAAUGUCUUCGGCAUCCUCACCCCCAAGCGGCAUCAGUUGGCCGUUUAUCACAUCCAUACCAGAGUCAUACCGCGAGUCAUCGGCCGGUACACCAUGAUAAAAAGCCACCUGACGAACACCCUGGUUGAACGAUUCCUCAUUAAUGCGUAGCAUGAAACCCUGAAGUUGUUCAACUUGGGAAUUGAAGGAUUCCUUGUCGGCAGCCAGGUCAUCUUUUUCCUUUACUAAAUCGUCUCGUUCGGCCAUCACCUUAGUAAGCGUGGCCUUAAGAGCCUCUUGUUCUUCCUUGGCCAGCCGCGACUCCUUCUGCACAUCCUCAACGGCCUUCAGAGCCUCCUUCAAAGAAAAGGCCGAGUCACCCAGCUGGCUCUUUAACUUGGGAAUCGAAACUGUUUUAGCCCUCUUCAGCUCAUCGCCGGUAGCCCUGCUGAUCACUGCCGCUCGACACUGCAAUUCCACCAUCUCUUCGAUUAAAUCCAAGGUGGGAACAGCGGCCAAGACACCCUCGUCAUCCGUGCGUAAAUCGAAUUGCAUAGUAGGGGGCCUUAAUCGGGCAUCCUUUCUUCUUACCUUGAACAGGAUCAGUGACGAUAGGCUCGACCCACAAAAUCUCCGUAGCGGUCGGCUGGGGCACGAUCCCGGCAAUGGCAAAGAUCUUUCGACCCUUAGCCUACCUCUUAAGACUGUUCAUGAAUUUGCUCAGGUUCGGAUCCAUCUUCAAAACGAUAUCUGCAAAGCACAUUAAAAAUUAAACAUCAAACCAAUAGCAGAACGACCGAAAAGAAAAGACGCUCACCAUUUAGAUCUGCCCAUUGCUUGGACGACCCAUAAAGAGCUACUAGUUCCCGAGUAGGAAGUCUACACGACAGUUGGUUUACGAUUAACAAAAUCUCUUUAUCAAAAGGGGAUAAAAACUCCCAGAACCGGUUGUCAAGGGAAGUAGGCUUCUCAGUCCAAUGGAACGGAAAUUUGGCAGUCCCAUCGGCAUUGUAAAACAAAUCUCGGUCGUCCGGCUCGACAAAAACUAUAAAAUAAUAUUCCUUGAAAUUUUUAUAAGAAGUGGUGAAUGCGGCAAAACGCACAUUCCCCGGACGGAUGGACAAAUACAACCACCCUACGGAAGUACUUGGAUGAGUGUUAUAAUAAUACAAAAAAGACUCGGGUGUAGGCUGAAGACCAAAAAUCUGACAAACGAUUCGGAAGGCCUAUAAAAUUGCCCAAGAAUUUGGAUGUAACUGGGUCAGUGCGACGUUUAGAAUCUGAAGGACUCUCAUGGUAAAGUCAUCAAAGGGAAAGGUUAUAUGCAAAUGAGAAAAGAAUGUACUAUACACAAAGAAGAAGUCAUGCAUUGCAUUUUCCCGACUGUGGCAUACACGGUCGGUUACACCACAAACAUCAACAGCUAGCGCCUCGGUCGGGCAGUCAGGCGCUAAGAAAUUUUUGUGCGAAGAAAGGAAUUCAUCUAAGUCAUCAGCAGUCCUAAUUUUGGUAGGAAUCUGAAGAACGGACGGGUCAAUCCAAUCAUAGCUUGGGUCAUCCGACGACUGACUCGCACUACCAGAUGCGGUGCGAGUUAAAGACGAAUCUACAUUAUUAGAGGACUCUACGGAAGAAGGCAUUACUAACCUUGACUAAGCAAAUUCAACGACGAACUUGACACUGGCAACGGACUCGGCACUCGGAGCAGAGAGCACAAGGCAAAUAAAAGUUUAUUCACUAAUAUAAAAAAAUAUAUGUGAACCUUUUACAAAGACAAAGGAUGUGAUUGUUUUUAUAGAGCAAAGAAUAUAAAUUUUUCUACCCAACUAAGUAUUAUUUUGGCAAUUUCUUUCAUAUUUAUUGCAUUUACUUUUUUCAACAUGCACACUUUUAAAAAAGUUAUAACAAAAUGUAAGGCAUUAAUAAACUAUUUAUACAUUUGAGAAGUUUAUAUUAAUAACAAAAAUACUAAUGUUUAUAUUAAACUUAUUUAAUGGAAAUUGUUAUUUAUAAUAAAAUAUUGAAAAUCAUCUAUAUGCUAGUACUUUCAAAUAACUACAUUGUAAUGCUGUUAAUCUUAUAAUAAUUCAAUAAAGUCAUGUUUUGUGACAACUUUAACUUUAUUCUAAUUUUAUGAUUUCUCAAAAUGACAUUAACUUUUAAUUAUAUAAAAUAUUAAUUAUUUUUCUAACUUUUUUCAGUUUAAAAAAAUUGUCAAGAAAUGACUUUUGCGUGUUAUUAGUGAUGACAAAGCAAGUCAGUCGUUCCUUUUUGGUCCGAUUCAUCAUUGACCUACCAAAAUGGAUCGAAACAAGCUAUUAUGUCAAGGUUAUACAGACUAUAAUUAGUAACAUGUCCCAUUAUAGGGUGGUUGGCGGGUUGACCCACUACUUUUCAAUUUAUUUUUAAUUUUUUUGUAUUUUUUUUUUGUUUUGGACCUAUUUAAUUAGUUGUAGUCAUUGAUAUCACUUUUUGGGCAAUAAAAAAUGUAAGGAAGAACAAUAAAAUUGAAUCAAACUUUAAUAUUCUAAUCAAAGAAGGUUUGAUGCCUAACAAAAUAGAGUAAAUAUCAAUAAUACUUCAAUAAAUAAAAUGAUGCAUAAAGAAAUUAAUGUAAAUAAAAUAAAUAUCAACAAUACUUCAAUGAAUCAAAUGUUGUAUACAAACAUUAAUCUAAUUUCCAUUUCAUUUAGAGGUAUAGACCCUUAUCGAGACACUCCUAAAAUGCAUAUGAUUGUUCAAGACAAUGAGGAUUUUGCUAAUUGCUAAUACAUACACAGGUGUAGACACUAAUUUAAAUGGAAUGUCUAACAUUGAAGUGUCUAUCAUUCCAAUAACGUCUACGACUGCCAGACGCUAUAAAACAGCCAGUUCAGAAUCACUCUAUUCUUUGCAUUGACAAACUUAUUGGUUUUAAGGAUGAUAAUUUACUUGAUUUUUAAUGAGAUUUUGAAUUAUCAUGUUUUAAUGAUACGUUUACUUGUGAUUCAUGUACUGGUUCAUUAAUUUGUCAAGGAUGUACUGAGAUUAAAAAUAUGAUUUGCACUAAAAAUGUUGAUAUUACUACACCAAUAUCGUAUAUCAAACCAGAAUGCAGAGACACAUCCAUAAGAUCUAUUUUUAAUGUUGAUUGAAUUGAUUUGCAGGAUCAAUUUUCCAUGUUCACUCUCCUUCUACCUGUCCUUCCCUUUCUUUUUUUAGAUUAGUUGGGAGACGAAUAGUUUCAUUUGCCAACACAAUGAAAUAUUGACAAACCAAGCCACGUAACAAAGCGAAUACUACACCUCGACCAACCAAAAGAACAACUCUCCUUACAAAACUUAAACUCUUUGUCAUGCUUGAGCCUAGGGGACAAGUGUACUACUGAGGUGUAGAGUUCCAAACACUGGGUGCCGAACACCACUCGACUACUGAACCACUUGACAUUUCUCAUGAACCCACUACCAUGCGACAUAGAGUAAUUAAUAGUAUCAUUAAGAGUCAUUACAUAAUAAACACUUGUGAAUCAUGAACAAGGGACAAUCAGGUUCUAUUGGACUUAAUUCAACCACUCGUACGAUAGAAAGCCCAAUUCAACUACUAUAACUAACUGAACUCCCUUUUAUAUAAUCAUUUUUCUCUUCUAUAAUAUUUAAUAGUGAUUAAAAUUUAAGAACUUCGUGUUAUUUUCUUAUUCUAAUUGCCAUAUAGUUGUUAAUUAAUUACUUAUAAAUUAUUAACUUGAUAUUUUGUGACUAAACAAACACACGUCAUCUAGACUUAUUUGUAUUCAUUUAAGGUGAAAAAAGAGAAAAAGGUAGCUUAUCAUGCUAUAAGGUAAAUUAUAUUGGGAAAUUUUUCUUUGACACUACCAUUUUCAUAAUAAAACAUUCUAUUAUAAUAAUAAUAAAAAAUAAUAAUUUAUGAAGUUGUAAGUUAAAUGUAAGUGAAAAAUGAGAGUAUCAUUACUCAAAUAUAUUUUAUAACGUAUUUGUCUUCUUGAACCUCAUAAAAAAUAAUGUCAACAAUAAAAACAAUUUUAUCAUAAUAUUUUUAAAUUGGAUAUAAUAUUUAAAAUGCAACAAUGUAAAUGUGGUAUCCUAUUUCGGAAUAUAGCAAUAGCAAAUACAAAUGAGACAUAAUUUAAAUAUGGUAUUUAUUGAGAUGAGGUCAACCUCGAUAAAAACCCUUAAGAAAAACAUAAGAAAAAAGUUAAGGGAAAAGAGUGUCGCACCAUGUUCUUAAUCGUUCAUUAUCAAAUAUUAACUGAAAUUAAUAAAUCAAUUGAAAUAAAAUCGUAAACUUGUCGUGUUCAACGUACAAGGAAUUAGACUGUCAUCCAAAGUUUCUAAUUGGUAUGCCCUAUUUCCGAGCGGUUGUCAUAUCCUGUAGGGUCUGAUCUUGGGGAUGUCAAAAAUACACACCAUGUUUUUUUAUAGGAAACUUUGAACUUUUUGCGUUGAUUGUCAACGACUCUGAUUCAAUCCACUUAGUAAAAUAUUCGACUACAACCAUUUAGUAUUUCAGUUGACAAGCUACUAACUGAAAAAGUCCUAAAAAGUCAACUCCCCAUGUGUGAAGCAGGCACAAACUAAUUACUGAGUGGUGCUCCUCAGCGGGAGCGUGAUGUCAAUCGACAUGUUUCUGACCCUACUUACACUUCUUCUUCGUGUAGAUCUUAUUGUCCUCCUUCAGUGUUGGCCAGUAGUAGCCAACUCAGAUGAUUGAAAGCAAGAGCACGACCUCCGAUGUGACUAUCACACAUUCCAUGCUUUCACUAUAAAGUUCCUGCAUGUUCUCCAUAAUUUGCUACAGAGAGGGUGCGUCGUUCCCAUCUUCAAUUAAAGCACAUGUCCUGGGUUUCUCACAGCGUUGCAAUUUCUUUCAGGAAAGGUGCUUGUUUGAAACUAUAUGGAUGCAAGACCAACUUUUACCUGCUCAUGAUGGGCAUGAAUUGGUUCUGGUUCAACUGCGUUUCUGGAUACUUGUGUAGAAUAGGAUGAAUUUCUCUAUACACUUAUGCGUGGACCAAGCACAAAUGAGUAAAAAAUCUCAGUUUCCUUUUUAUUAAAUCUUUUUUCUCUUUAUAGGUUCAUAUUUCCCAAGUAAAAUGGAAUGAUAAAGAACGAUUUUUAAUUUUUUUUUAAUAGGAUUAAUCAGUUUCCAAAACUUAUGCUAAGAAUAUAGAUCGAUUACAACAAAUCACAUAAAUUUAGGGUCAAAGGAACGAUCUUCCCAAAAUCAACUAGAGGGUACCCGAUCAAACCAUACAUCCUACUUUCGUCAUAUGAAUGUCAUUUUGUUUCAUGUGUCUCCUUUAUACCCGAUCAGAGUUAACACAUCACAUAAUAAACUUAAAGUUAUCUUUUAAUGUACACGGUGAUUUUGGUAUAAAAAGAAGACUAAUCAAAAAUAUUUUUAUCAUAAUUUUAAUAUGAUUUAAAAAAUUAAAUUUUUUAUGAAUUCAAGUUUUUAAUUGUAAACUCCAAAACCUGAUUUAUCUACUAUUAUGAUUUUAAACAAAAAUCUAUUUAUUUGGUGAUUUCUUUGGGAAAUUACACAAAAAUCGUAACAAGCGUGCAUGUUGGAAGUUGGGCAAACUAAGAAAAGGUGCAUGUUGGAAGUUGGGCAAAAUUGAAACCGCAUGUCAGCACUAUUCAUGGUACAGUUCAGAAGUAACGUAGUUUUUCUGUAAUCCAAGCAAACUUAAAGAUAUUAUAACUUCAUCAUCUCAUAAAAAUAACAUAUAAAAGUGUGAUUUAAUACAAUUUUUGGGUAACAAUAUAUUUAAAUAAAAUAUAAAAAUUAUGUGAUUUGGUUUAAUUUAAUUUGAACAUAAAAAAAGGUACAUAAAAUAAAAAUUGUUGUGUAACUCGCUUUCGUGAGAGGUUGCAUGGGUGACCUUUCAUUCACUGUUUUAAAAAUAUUCAUCUGUUUGUUAUGUAUUCCAGUUAUUAUGGUCAACCAGAACUAAAUAGACAUAUGAAAGAGACAAAGAAUAAAGAAAACUCAAGUGACUACACACAAAAAAUAAAGAAAAUUAGUUGGAAUGGUAACGGACGAAUAAAAGAUUAUCGUUAAUAAUUAUAAUUGAGAGUGUAAUUUUAAAAUUGUUUUAUUUUAACCAGGAACACAAUAUCUCAUUUUUUAUUUUUACUUUUAAUGUAUAUUUUUAUUUAUUAUUAUUAUUAUUUAUUUAGUAUUUUAUUGUUAUUAUGUAUUAAUAUUUUAAAAUAUAUAUUUUUUGUCCUCUAUCCAAUAUUAUAAUUAUAUUUAAGUUUUUUUUAAAGUUAUUUAAGAUAAAAUUUGUAUUAAUUGAUAAUGUUAAAAGUAUAAUAUACAUAAAAAUUAACAUCAUAUUUUAAAAUAUAUAAUUUUUGUUAUCUAUUUUGUUGAAUCUAUAAUUUUGGUAUUCUUAUUUUAAAAUAAACACAUUUGAUGUUUGUGUCCUGAAAAUUCGAAAUAUAGUUGAAUUUUUUGUAAAAAAACUAAAAAACAUAAAAAAUUGGCUUACAAAAUUAAAACAGUUGUACAGAUUGAUUUGAAUGUGUUUCUAUUAUUAUUAUAAAUAAAAAAUGUCAUUAUCAUUAUAUACUGUAUUUUUUAUUUUCAUCAUUAUCGUAUGUAUUAUAUUUACUGAAAUGAAAUAGAAACUUAUAUAUUCGUAUUUUUUAACGUCAAUUUAUUUAUAUACAUAUAUUCUGAUAUAAAAUCUAUAUCUGAGAAGCACUUAGAGAAAUCCCCUUUAUAAAAAUAAAUAAAUAUAUAUAUAUAUAUAUAUAUAUAUCAGAAAUAUGAAAUAAGAGAAAUUGCUUAUAGGUAUAGAUAAAAUAAUUCUUUAAUUAUUGUAAUAUAAUGCAAGAUUGUCUACCUAUAAAUAUCUUUAUUUAUUAUAAUAUGAUAUUUUCUUUUUAUCUCUUUCUAAAGUAACAUAAUUCGGAGGACACAAUUUUUUUUCUAAGUCAAAAUUAACUUCCUAUGUUUCUAUCGAUGUUGUCUUUUCUUCGUGCCUUUUGGAGAGACAAAUUGGGAAUGCAUUAUAAUAAAAGAAACUAUAAGAAAUAAGACUUAAAAAAUAUUUAAAAUAACGCUUAAUUUUCUCUAUCCGAGACCUCGUUUCUGUUUUAUUCGUCCGUUGCCAUUCCAACUAUUAUUAUUUGACAGCUGCUUUUUCAGUUGUUUGUGACAGAUUACAACGUUUUUAAAGAGUAUUUUUACCCUUCAACAAAUCUACCUACUACAUCAAUCAAAGUUUCCACUCUAAUAUUCUUUCUCAUCAAACCAACAAUCCAAACAAACUCGUUCAUUUGCAGCAUCAAAAUGAGUGGCAGCGACGGCAGCGGAAGCAGCUGGACCUCAAAGUUUCUGAAAGUGGCCGGCGCAGCCGCCGUAGCCGGCGGUUUGUAUGUCGCUCUCUCAUCAGCAUCUGCUAACUCGGAGCAUGAAGCAGCGUUCGGCGCAAGGCGUGAGAGCGGAGAGCGUGAGCAGGCUAAUAAUAACAUGGGUGGCGGCACCCUGGUAUGUAAAUUUUGUUCUCUUCACUCACGCUUUUGGUUUGUGGAUUAAUUUUGAAAGCAACACGUGAGUUGUUAUCUUUGACAGGAGAAGUGGAAGAAGCCUGAGGUUGGUUGGGUGAAGCUGAACGUGGAUGGUUCGCGAGACCGUUACAACGUAGUCUCUGCAGGUUGCGGUGGGGUUGUGAGGGACUCAUCAGGAAAGUGGGUGCGUGGCUUUGCUAAAAACCUGGACUCAUCUUUGGAAGUGCACCAGACAGAGUUAGAAGCCAUUCUCGCGGGGCUGCAGCUUGUUUCAGACAUGAACUUGAAGAAAGUGGUUGUGGAGUCAGACAAUAAAUCCGUGGUGAGCAUGGUGGAGAACUCCGUUAAGCCAAAUCACCCUGAUUAUGUUAUCAUCCAACAGAUAAGAGCGAUGCUACACCGUUUUGACUGGGAAGUGAAGCUUGUUGCUAUCUCGAACAGUGCCAAUAGUGUUGCUGAUAGGCUCGCCAAAAAUGCUCGUACUCCGUUUCUUUAUGGUCUCUACCAGGAGUAUUUGGCUCCACCUGAUAACUGUGUCCAGUUUCUCAGCAGCUUCUAGAUAUUUUACUAAAGUAACAAACCCAAAAUCAUCACAUGGAGUGAGGAAUUUGAAGCCACUGCUUCUUCAACUAUAGUUUUAUGUUUUAUGUUGUUUAUCAAUUAUGUUUUAUGUUCUUCAACUAGUUUUAUGUUGUUUAUCAAUUAUGUUUUAUGUUGUUUAUCAAUUAUGUUUUAUGUUCUUCAACUAGUUUUAUGUUGUUUAUCAAUUAUGUUUUAUGUUGUUUAUCAAUUAUGUUUUAUGUUCUUCACCUAGUUUUGUUUUAUUUUGAGAUAACUGGUGAUAAAUGUGACUGGUAAUAAUUCAAUGCCAACGUAAUGGCUUCACUUUUGUCUUUGGAAAACAAAAGUAUAGUUGGGCACUGGAACGCGACAACAUUUGGUUUAUAAAAAGGAAAUUGAUUUUUCUUUGAAAGAGUUAUAGUCUUCACUUCAGGUUGGGGUCACUAUCUAAGUAUUCGAGAUUUCGAUCUCGACAAUUCCAACAAUUAACGUCACAAAUCAAGAUUAAAACUUAAUCACGUAAUUAAUAAAAUAUAACACGUUAAAUGAUCUAUAAAUAGCAAUUAAGUGGACAUUAGUGUAUACUCUAGUCAUUUGUAUAGGUAGGAGUUUAACAUGAUUAAGAGUAAUUGAUUCUUGCUAUAUAUAUAAAUCUCUUAUUAGAUUAGACUAGAUUAGACUGAGAAUUGAUUUGAGUGUUGAACUACAAUUACAUGUAUUCUUAUUGAGAUGGCAAUUAAAGACAAAUUAAGAAUUGAAGGUUGAGACCUAGAAACGAGAUUAAGUUACACUACAAUAAAAUCAGAAAUUACAUACAAAUUAUUAUAUAUAAAUUUUUACAUGGAUAAUUCUAAUCUUUACGUAAGAUAUUUAAAGUUUAAUUUAAAAAACAAAAAUUCGUAUGUAAUUUAUUUUAAAUUUAAUUAAAAAAUAAUAUAAAGUGUAACAUAUGGAUUAUUUUAGAAAAAUUGUUACAUACAAAUAUUUUAAAUUUAUCUAAAAAAAAAAAUGUUACAUUAAAUUAAAAAAGAACUGUUAAUUCGUAUGUAACUUAUUUUAAAUUUAUUUAAAAAAUAAUUAAAAAUGUUACUUACAGGUAAAAUUCAUAUAUAAUUUAUUUAAAAAAUAAUUAAAUAUAUUAUAAAUAUUUAUAAUGUUUAUAAUAUUUAUAAUAUUUAUAAUAUUUAUAAUAUUUAUAAUGUUUAUAAUAUUUAUAAUAUUAAUAAUAUUAAUAAAAAUCAUAAGAUGACAAAAGAACUUGUUGGGUGUAAUGGUUAAAGAUUGUUUUGUCACUCAAGGAAUUUGGCUUUUCAGGUGCAUUACAAAUUUAAUUUAAAGAAAUAAAAAUGGUUAAAAAAGGAUAUUACAUACGGAUAAAUCUGUUUGUAAUUACAUACGGAUUGAUCCGUAUGUAACACUUACCUAUGUCAGUUUUACAUACGGAUUUUUGUCCGUAUGUAAUUUGUAUGUAACUAUGUUUUAUAUACGGAUUUUUUGUCUUACAUACGGAUUUUGGCUGUAUGUAAUUCUAGAUUUUCUUGUAGUGUUACAUGUGCAUCACAAGAGUUUUCGAGGUUGAUUCCGUAUGAGAAGAACAUUUUGACACUUAUUGUGGGGUUUAGAGAAAGUCCAAUGAAGAAGUCACAUGGUAACCAUGCGAAACAUGGUAAUGACAUACCCAUUAUAGAAGAAAUCAAGAACCAUCAUGAUGAUCCAGUGACAAUGAUGGUAGUAUUGAACAAGAUGUUUUGAUACUUCCAAAUCUAUGUGGAAGACUUGAAGAACCUAUUGCUAUGUGUGUGUUGUCUAAUAAUUUUUGACUUGUCAAUUCACACCUUAUAUUGAUCCAAGCUCACUUAACUUUUAAUGUCUUUUAAAAGAAAUGUUUUCUAAAAAGCUGAGAAAUUUUAGUUAGUUGUUUUUUAAAUCAACCAGUUGAAAAAGUUGCUACUCAAAGAGAUUGAGACUAAAACAAGUUUUUCAACUUGUUGAAUUGUUGAAACAACUGGUGGUUUGACACUUAGUGGUUUUCAAAAUAUUUUGGAAAUUUUUUUCUUUAUUUUUUCUUUGUUGUCAAAUUGAAACAACCGAUUAUUUUGAUAACAACUGGUUGUUUUUAUAAAAACCUUAAUAGCAAAUUUAUUUCAAUCUGUUGUUUUGGAAAACAAUUUGUUAUUUUGGAAAACAAUUUAUUGUUUUUAUAACAAAAUUCUAUUAAGAGUUUGAAACUAAUUUUAAAUGAUUACAACUGCUUUCUGCUGAAGUUUAUAUAAAGAUUAUUAUAUGAUUUUUUUCAAGAACCUGAGAUUGAGAGCUUAUAAAAAACGUUUUCAAGAGAAUCAAGAGCUUUGGAUCAUCACUUGUGUGUGGAAUUGGACUAGGUUUUUGUAUACUUUUGUUCUUUUAUUUUGUAAAACCUAGGUGUACUAUAUUUCCUUCAUUUGAACAUUGUAAUUCUGUGUAAUUUCGUGUAAGGUAGUUUCAAAAAGGAUUUCUGAAAACUGUGGUGUUGCCAAGGAGUGAUGUGUGUUCUUAAGGGGUUCAAGAUCAUCACUCUUGGUGUGUGUUUGUAAUCUUGUUUUAAUUACUUAGUGAAUUCCCAAUGGUUAGCCAAGGACUGGAUGUAACUCUUGGUUAAGAGUGAACAAUAUAAACUUUUGUGUGUGAAUCUCUCUAUCCCUUCUCUUAUACACUAUUUUCAUCACUGUUCUUUCUCUGCUGAUAUAAACAAACGGUUGUUUCGAGAAAACAAUUGGUUGAAUUUCUAUAAAGAAUCUUAAAAAGGAAUUUUUAUCCGGUUGAACAGAAAAUCAAUUGAUUGAUUUUUCAUAAAUUUUCACUCUACUUUCAAACUAUGCAAAAAUCUCGUGAAAACAAUUAACCCACUCUUGUUUAGGCCAUACAUUCUAACAAGUAGUACUGAAAAGAAAGAACACAUAAAAGAUAGAUGCUAUGAGAAUGGAAAAUGCGCGAAUGAGACAAAACCUCGAGAGUAAUAAGACGAUUUUGGUAUAUGUAAAGGAGCCUGGAGACUCAACAGGUUUGAAUAUGCAUACUCAAUAAAGGACAUAGGAAGUUAAUAUCUCUAAAUGUGCUUUGAAUAUAUAAAUCAUUUGUUUAGUUUUCAAUUUCAGAAAUUGUCUCUUCGUUUUCUUUCUUCUCUCAAUUCCGAAAUUGCCUUUUCGUCUUUUUCUCUCAUUUGUGUUUUUUUUUCUUCAUCGAGAACAAUUCUUGAGGAUUUAGAAAAUAAAUAUCAAAUAUAAAUCAAGUUUUACAUCGAUUUUUUAACGCUGCAAGUUUAUUCUAUUUUCUUAUGGACAUUUUAUGAUUGUAAUUGGCAUUUGUGAUUUUAAAAAUUAAAUUAGAAAUUAAUUGAAUUUUAAUUUGAUAGCUAAAUGUGGAUUAUGUUAAAUGAUAUUUGAUUCUAAAUUCCAAACCUGAUUUAUCUAUUAUUAUAAUGUACUUCUUUAAAAAUCUAUUUAUUUGGUAAAUUCUUUGGGAAAUUACACAAAAAUCGUAACAAACGUGCAUGUUGGAAGUUGGGCAAACUUGAAACCGCAUGUCAGCACUAUUCAUGGUACAGUUAAGAAGUAACUUAGUUUUUCUGUAAUCCAAGCAAACUUAAAGAUAUUAUAACUUCAUCAUCAACUUUAGUACAACACUCAAAUCAAUUCUCAAACUAAUAGCACAGGGUAUAUAGCAAUUAGGAAGAAUCAAUUACUCUUUACUUAUUAUUUAUAUUGAUCAUGUUGGACUCCUACUUAUACAAAUGACUAGAGUACACUAAAGUCUCUUAAUUGCUAUUUUUAAUCAUUUAACGUGUUACAUUUUACUAAUUACGUGAUUAAAUUUUAAUCUUGAUUAGUGACGUUAAUUGUUGGUAUUGUCGAGAAGGGAAUCUCGAAUACUUAGAUAGUGACCCAAACCUGAAGUGAAGACUAUAACUCUUUCAAAGAAAAAUCAAUUUCCAAUGCCCAACUAUACUUUUGUUUCCCAAAGAUAAAAGUGAAAGCCAUUACGUUGACAUUGAUCACCAGUUAUCUCAAAAUAAAACAUAAAACUAGUUGAACAACAUAAAACAUAAAACUAGUUGAACAACAUAAACAUAAAACUAGUUGAACAACAUAAAACAUAAUUGAUAAACAACAUAAAACAUAAAACUAGUUGAAGAAGCAGUGGCUUCAAAAUCCUCACGCCAUGUGAUGAUUUUGGGUUUGUUAUUUUAGUAAAAUAUCUAGAAGCUGCUGAGACACCCAUCUCUCUGGAGAAACUGGACACAGUUAUGAGGUUGAACACGAUACUCCUGGUAGGGAUCAUCAGAAGACAGAGUACGAGCAUCAUUGGCGAGUUUAUCAGCAACACUAUUGGCCGUGUUCGAGAUAGCAACAAGCUUCACUUCCCAGUCAAAACGGUGUAGCAUCGCCCUUAUCUGUUGGAUGACGUCAUAAUCAGGGUGACUUCGCCUAACCGAGUUCUCCACCAUGCUCACCACGGAUUUAUUGUCUGACUCCACGACCACUUUCUUAAAGUUCAUGUCUGAAACAAGCUGCAGCCCCGCGAGAAUGGCUUCUAACUCUGUCUGGUGCACAUCCAAAGAUGAGUCCAGUUUUUUAGCAAAGCCACGCACCCACUUUCCUGAUGAGUCCCUCACAACCCCGCCGCAACCUGCAGAGACUACUUUGUAAUGGUCUCGCGAACCAUCCACGUUCAGCUUCACCCAACCAACCUCAGGCUUCUCCCACUUCUCCUGUCAAAGAUAACAACUCACAUGUUGCUUUCAAAAUUAAUCCACAAACCAAAAGCGUGAGUGAAGAGAACAAAAUUUACAUACCAGGGUGCCGCCACCCAUGUUAUUAUUAGCCUGCUUGCGCGACCAAGGCUCACCAUGCUCACGUUCUCCGCUCUCACCCCUUGCGCUAAACGCUGCUUCCUGCUGGAAGUUAGCAGAUGCUGCUGCGAGAGCGGCAAUUAAACCGCCGGCUACGGCGGCGGUAGCGGCGGCUGCGCCGGCCACUUUCAGAAACUUUGAGGUCCAGCUGCUUCCGCUGCCGUCGCUGCCACUCAUUUUGAUGCUGCAAAUGAAUGAGUUUGUUUGGAUGGUUGGUUUGAUAAGGAAGAAUAUAAGGGUGGAAUUUAUACUCAGACAACACUUUCUCUGUUACUUCUCCUUCGAGGCUAAGGUUCUACCUUUACCUUUUCAAUGUACUAGAACUUAGUAUUUUAUUAUUGGAUUAUGAUAUUUUUACACUAUUACUCCAUCCUAUAUUCAUAAUAAAUGUUAAUAUUUAUAAUAAAAAUUAAAAAAAAAAUAUCAUUAAUGAAAAUUCAAGCAAAAGUAUUUAAAAAUAUUUAAAAAUUAUAAAAAUUUAUAAAUAAUUAAAAUAUUAAUAUUUCUUGAAACUACUGCGAAACAUGUUAAAUAAUAUUUUUUAUUUUUUAAUGAAUCCCACUUAUAAUUUUUUAAUUUAGUGACGUUUCAAUUUAAAUUUUUUUCAAAAAUAUUAUUUUGACAUUCAUGUGUUCCAAAUUAUACCUUUCAAAUAAUAAAAAUUAUCAAAUAUAAAGAGAUAUUUUAUCAUUUGAAGAGAUAUAAUUUGAAGCAAAAGGUGUCAAUUUAUCAUUUCUCUUAAAUUUUAUACUCAGAGCACACUUUCUCUGUUACUUCUCCUUGGAGGCUAAGGUUACAUCUUUUCCACCUCUACCCUUUCAGUGUAUAAGAACUUGCAUUAUUUGAUUCUUUCUUUACUAAACCCCACUUACUUGACUCACUUUUUUCUUUCUUCGAACCUAUCUAUUAAAAUAUAUUGCUUUCAUAACAAGCUUUAUUUUUUUUUGUUAUUAUAAAAAAAAUUACAAAACUUUUUUGUCAACUAGUAAAAAAUUAUCGUUAAUAAUUACAAUUCACAGUGUAAUUUUAAUUUUUUUUUAUUUUAAUAAAAAAUCUUUAAUUAUUCUAUACCUAUGUAAAAGGGGAUUUCCCACUUUUAAGUGUCUUAAUUUUAUUUCUAUUUUAUUCUUAUAUCAAUAUUUAAUUUUAUUACUGUAUUAUGGAUAUCGCGUUCAUUUUUUUUUUUUUUUUUAAUUUAAUUUUCUGAAAUAUAUAUCUAUUUCUAUAAUUUUCUAGAUGUUCCAAUUUGAAUUUUAUCAUCGUGUUUUUUCUCUUUUCGCUCUUUUUCACUUUAUUUUUCUUCUUCAUCAAAUCUCUUGAAACUCAAUAACACAACUAUCAUGCUCUCUUUGUGCCUCUCAUGUUCUUUGCUCACACAUAAAGAUACACAUAAAUCUAUAUUUUAUUUAAAUAAAUAUAUAAAUAUACAUAUAAUAAUAAUAAAAAUAAAAAUUAAAAAUGCGGAUGCAUAGGUGUGAGAGUGCCUCUAGAGUCAAAUCAAACUUGGGAGACUGCUCUUCUGCCAAAACACAAAGCAAGCCAAAACGUGAGGGGAGAUGCAUACCGCACCAAAAUCUUCCCUUCCACAAAGGUGGUUAGAGAUCCCACAUCAACUAGAAAUAAGAAUAUUUCAUUGUAUAUAAGUGAGUGCAAACCUCACCCCAUGAGUCAGUUUUAUGAGGUUGAGUUAAGCUUAAAGUCCACUUUGUAAUAUGGUAUCAGAGCUACUCAGGUGUAGUUGACUACUAGUGGACGUGCCACGUAAGCUGGAUCCCACGAGCAGAAGUGGUCAGGCCUCGGUAGGGGUGAAACUGCAUGCAUGGCACAUGAACAACUAGGGCACUCCCAGGAUGGAUGGCUCCAGAGAUUAGGUGCACAAAUUGGUACCCAGGUAGUCAUCCCGUCAGAGGUUGCACUUUAGUAAGGGAGCCCUACGCACUAGACUGCCCUAAGCGUGGGUGAUAGUGACGCCAAGACAUACCCUUAGUAACCCUAAUUAUGGUUAGCGGAAACCCUAAGGGUAGUAUCAAACCUAAGGUACGCAAGUUUUUAUGCAGCUUUGACGCUGAUACACAUACAGAUUACACAAAAAGCUUUUUACAACUUAGUUUUGGUGUUUCCUAGCCCUAUACUUACUUGAGCGUUGGAGUGCAAACGGCCUCUAGGGCGCCCAUUGUCUCUGAAUUUUCAGGUGUUUGAUCAAAGAAAGACACAAAAACAAAGAUAAUUGGGCGUGUGAUCGUCGUAGACGUACGAAGACAAUCGAGUCAACUGGACGGAAGAGAAUGCAUUAUAAUAAAAGAAAUUAUAAGAAAUAAAACUUAAAAAUAUAUUUAAAACCACACUUCUCUUUUCUCUUUCAUUCUUUUAUUCGCCUUCCCAUUCCAACAACUUAACUUUAUUUUUUGUGUAUUCAUUUAAGUUUUCUUUAUUCUUUGUCUCUUUCAUAUGCCUAUUCAGUUUUGUGUACUCCAUUUUUCUUCAUCAUCCAACUUCUUCACUUGUUGACCAUAAUAACUGGAAUCCAUAUCAAACAAAUGAAUAUUUUUUAAAACAGUGAAUGAAAGGUCAGCCAUAUAACCUCUCACAAAAGCGAGUUACACAACAAUUUUUUAUUUCAUUUAGUUUUUUUAUGUUCAAAUUAAAUUAAACCAAAUCACAUAAUUUUUAUAUUUUUUUAAAUAUAUUGUUACCCAAAAAUUGAAUUAAAUCUCACUUUUAUAUGUUAUUUUUGUGAGAUGAUCAAGUUAUAAUAUCUUUAAGUUUGCUUCGAUUACAGAAAAACUGAGUUACUUCUAAACUGUACCAUGAAUAGUGCUGACAUGCGGUUUCAAGUUUGCCCAACUUCCAACAUGCACCUUUGUUACGAUUUUUGUGUAAUUUCCAAAAGAAAUUAUCAAAUAAAUAGAUUUUAAAAAAAUUAUAAUAGUAGAUAAAUCAGGUUUGGAAUUUACAAUUAAAAGCUUGAAAUGAUUUAUGAAAGAAAUUGUAACACUUGUAAAUAUACCUAAUGCAAGCUCAUUAAUAAAUUUCUACCUUCGUCACUUUUGACCCAAAUGUUUAAUAUAUUUUGUGUAAUUAAGUAACUAAAAAUAAUAUUUUACAAAAGUAAAAAUAAAAUAAAAUUUAAAGACCAAAAUGAAAUAUGUUUUUUCAGAAAUAUUUAUAUAUAUAAAUAGAAGUUUUAAAUUAAUUUAUUCUGACCGGUUAUAUUAAUUUUCUUUACACUCACUUUUUGAUUGGGCAGAUCAAUUUCUCUACCUUUCUCCUAAAUUUUUUCCCGCUUUUUCCCCAUUCUGCCUCGUUCCCACAUGUAUUCUGUUUGUGUUGUUAGCGUGUUGGAUUCCGUCUUUUUCUGUAUCGUUCCCACAUUCGUUCCGUUUGUAGAAUCCAUUCACAAUACUCAGGUUAGGCUUUAAUCCUUCGUUUGUUGUAUUUUGAUUUUCCAUUGAACUUCGUCUUAGUUCAGAAGUUGCUGAAAUUGUUUCACCCAUUGCUGGUUUAGAACAUUGAAGUGAAGCAUUUAAUGUCGCUGCUUCUGUCAGGAUCUCCUCCUCCAAAUCUCAGUUCGAGCUCAUCGCCUCAGUAACGUCACCUCUCUCCCUCAUUUAUUCUGUUUUCGAAUUAGGGAUUUCUCAAAUGUGUUUCAUUAACCAUGCUUCACGCCUUUCUAGCAUUGCUAUAUCACUCAUAUAUUACACAAAUUAAUAAAUGUAGGUUUGCAUUUACUAAAAUAAUUCAAUUUCCUCAAUAAAUGCAUUCAUAUAUUGAUGUGAUUUAUUAGGGAGAAAAUCAGACAAAAAGAUAAAAAUUUAUUGAAAACUAAGAACAUAAUUCAAUUUGUUUUUUUUAAGUAUUUGUUAAUAAGAUAAUAAACUAGUUCCAGUAUAUAGUCAUGUAUCUACCGGAGAAUGGAAAUAAUAUAUUUCCAAGGCUUCUAGUAAUUUGGUGGCGAUUUUAGACGGCUAAUUGCUAAAGCAGUGUUGGGGUUAUUUGGUCGAGGGAGACAAAUAAUUUGAAAUAUGUGUAGGAAUUUUGUAAACAUCCACAAUUUUUCAGGAAUUCAGUUUCUGUAAUUGUUAAAUUAAUACACUUCGCAUAUUAAAUUUUGGAACUUCUGGGUAUCAUAGUUAUGGGAAAUGUUUAGGUCGCCCAUUGGCUGUUAAUGAAAACAAUUUAUGAUUUUUUUUUUCACAAGACAAUCACAUAUAUUUAUCACUUAACUUGAAUUCUUCACUUUGGGAAGCCAUUUAUUUCUUUGGCUGAAUAAUUGUUAACCCAUGUUUAUUACACAUUCACUAAGACAAUUCAAAUGCUUCAAGUAUCUAUGCCGAGUAGCAAUCUCUCAGGCCCAAUUUGGUUUAUUCAACCUUCAUUAAACAUGAUCAUGGAAAAGCACAUGCCCCCAUCCGAUUAAGAGAUCCCUUCAUACCCUUUAGAGGGAGUGAGGUUUACAUUCUUAUUGCCCAAAGAGCUAAAAGCUUCAAUAGAUUCUUAUGAACAUUAUCUCAUUAACUCUUGAGCUAUUCUGACUUCGAUGAAGAUCUUGCUCCUGCAUCUAGAACAACAAUUCAAGGUCCAUUAUGACUUAAGAAUCGAUUUCCAGCUGAGAGUACAAGAGUUCAAUGGGACAUAAUCAACAUUUGGACAACUUGGACUCAUAAGUUUUUUCUUAUGGGGUUUUCUUGGUCCUAACCCAUGUGAUUGAGAAAUGGAAGAAUAAUAAUAGAGAAAUUGGACCCAUAUCAAUCUAAUAGUUUGCCGUAUGCAAGUGUAGUUUAUAAGAAUAAGUAGACCUUUUUUCCCCGAAAACACGUUAAUGUUUGACUUCAGUUUAUAAGUUUCAGUGAAUCAAUUUAUACGUUCAUGUUCACAUGUGGUUAAUUUUUUCUAUUUAACUUAUUUUUCUUAAAAAAAUAUUAUUCAGAGUUUAAGAUAAGAUGUUUAAUUUUUACUAGAGGCAACGUAAAAUUGAUUCUAGAUAAAAUACAUUUUUUUAAUGCUUUUAAGAUGUUGACUCACCAACCUAGCUAGUAGUAAACGUAGUUGUUAGUUGAAACUUUGACUCACUUGACGUAAGUAAACCUGUCUCAUUGUUUUUGGUGGGUGAAGGAUGAGUUGAUCCAUUUUGCAUUCAUAUGAUAUAAAGAUAAACAGAGAAAGUAGUAUUUAGAAAUAUUGAUCAUAUAAUUUAAUCACAUUGAGUAAUAAAAUAUUUGGAAGACACUAGUGAUAAGCUAUUUUAGAAACUGAGUUGUAUUUCUAAACUAUCGUGCAAGGAAAAGGAUCCUCUCUAAACUAUUGAGGACCUCUCCCAUAGUUGGCCUAUCCGUACUUCUACCAGCCAAGCACUGGAUGCCUAUCUCCACAAACGCCCUCAGGCAUUCUGGCCUAACAUUCCCUGCUAAAUGAGGAUCAACUAAUUCAUCAAUGCUUCCACACUUGUAACAGUGCAUGGCCCAUGUGGCCAACCCAACUUUCUCACUUUCCUCUUCCACUGCCACAGUAUUCACAGCUGCUCUUCCACACAACACCUCAAACAAAACCACUCCAAAUGAAUACACAUCAGAUUUUUGAGUCAGUUUUCUUCUCUUAUAGUACUCAGGGUCUAAAUAUCCAAAAGUACCUUUAACCUCAGUGCUAACAUGUGAAUGGUAAAGUGAGGGAACUGUUCUACACAAUCCAAAAUCUGCAAUCUUGGCUACCCAAUUCUGAUCCAAUAAUAUGUUGGCUGACUUCACAUCACGGUGAAUCACUGGGUGCCUUGUGCUAGUGUGGAGGUAAUGUAGUCCUCUAGCUGCACCAAUACAAAUCUUUAUUCUUUGAAUCCAAGGCAACGGCUGAUUUUUUUUCUUGUAUAAGUGGUCAGACAGAGGACCCUCAGCCAUGUAUUCAUACACCAGUAUCAUUUCAUUUCCCUCUUGGCAGUACCCUAGCAGUGAGACUAGAUUCAUGUGACAGAAUGAGAAAAAAUUGAUCUCAUUUUGAAACUCUUUAUAUCCUUGGCCAGAACUACGAAUAGAGCGCUUUACCGCGACAGCAAUGACUCCAUCAUGAUGCAUGAUGCCUCUGUACACCUUUCCGAAGCCUCCCUCCCCGAUGACAAGAGCUUCACUGAAGUUGCUUGUAGCUAUGCUGAUUUCUGCAAGUGUGAAUUGAUGGCAAAGACCUGAGGUUACUGUGGGUUGAAUGAUUUUGUGAGUACUACUAGAAUUUGAUGGGAGUAACUUCAAUUUUUUCCCUGCUCUGAGGAUAAGAAUGAAAAAUGUGAAGAGCAGUCCCAAGAUGGUACCUAAAGUAGCAACGGCCACAAUAAUGACAUGUUGAACCUUCUUUCUUUGUUCCCUUCUCAAUUGGAACAUUGCUGCCAGACUAUGAUUACUAUCACUUAUCUUCAUAAUCUCAAUUCCAUUCAGUAUGGCGUCAGCAUAUUUUGGUUUUGACUCCAAGUUAGGGUGAAGUGAGAUCCACAAAUCUUUCCUGCUCCCACUUUCCAUAGGAACCAUAACAAUAUAGUCCUUUUGCAAAGGAGUAAAUGGUGCUCCGGCUGAAGCAACUACGUCCAUUCUCUCCUCUGCUGUUUGGUUGUUUAUGUACACUUUGAACACCCUUUGAUUGGGCUGCGUUACCACCGUAGAGAUCUCACAGAAAUGAAGCCUAACAAGGUAUUUGAAUCCAGAAUCAACAGGGAAAGACCAUGUUAAAUUGUACUUCGUGUUAUCAUCUCCACCACUACCCAUUGUCCUGGCAGUCCAAUAUAGCUCUGAUGGUGCUGAAUAAUUGUAAUCCUUUGAAGAAGAAGUGGUGUAAUUCAAAUUUACAGUACGAGACUUUAUAUUGAGGACACUUCCAUAGUGUGAACCAGAUAUGUAUCUAAAAUCAUUUAACCAUAUUCCAAAAGCAUUUUGAGAAUCAACAUCUUCACCAACAUUGCUAACUCUGUAAAACGUCUCUAGAGCAUAUUCAUCAUUAGUCAAUAAAAUUUGCUGGUGCCCAAGGUAAGGAACAGGAACCUUGGAACCCGGAAAGUAUAUACUUUUGGGCACCGGGAAUGUCUCAAUGCCAUUUACAAAAGCAAAUGCUUUGGAAAUUAAAGGAGAUGGAGUAAAUGUAAUGGUCAGUUUGUCUUCCCUAACUUUGACUAAGAAAUCCUUGGUGAAAAACUUCGAGUUGAGCUCUUCUGCAAAAACAGAUGGAUUAAAAUCACUUACAAGAGUGUAGGGCCCCGCUUUUACAGAGAAAUAAGCCUUGUUGGAGGGGUUCAUCUUCAGAUAUAAAGAUGAAAGAAAGUAAAGGCGAAUGAAUUUAAGGCCAGGGGAGGAAGGGAAGGAGUAGGUCAAUGAAGAAUGAGUUAUUCUUGCUGUUGAGAAUGGAACUUUUGGGGCUAGAGAGUCUUCCAUGUUUGAGAGCAAGACUGCAGAUGAGCUCUUGUCAUACUCUGGAGGCAAGAAAUUAGAUCCGCUAUCUCCUAUCCAAUUUUCUCCAUUGAAUGAUGAUGCUUCAUAAGAACCACAGUUUAGGAGGAUUUUGUCCGGGACAUUAAUUGGAUCACAAGUGAUUAAAUGGAUGAAUGGUAAAAACAAAAAGAGGUGCAGUAGUACACAACUAGUGAUACCAUUCCUACUGGACUCUAUCAUGAGGGAUUCCAUCAUGGUGACGCAGGAAUAUGGCGUGAAGGCACAGAUUAUGAGUUCAUCUGUAAAAUUAUGUUAUCUAUAUAGCUAAGGUGUCCUCAAUUUGUUGUGUGGUCUACCUUUUUUGUAUUGAAAGGUCAACAAUGUCUUCUAGCUGGAGACAACCGGUCACCCUUGAAGAGUGAAGAUAUAUUUGGCCUUUGAUUAUCAAUAUAAUAUUUCAAUUUAAGUAUAAAAGCAAUAUUUUAAAAACACCCUAAUUAUACUUAAGUGCUAUCCACAAAUUUUAUCCACUAUGAAUAAUUCUUAGAAAUUGUGAUUAAAUGUAAAGUGGGAAUGACUCCAAGCCCCUUAACUAAUUUUGCUUUGCCUGGUCCACGCGGAGAGUUUCAGUGUUGACAUGUUGCAAUAGACAAUGCAGAAAUGAACUUAUUUUGCAAGGACAUCAAAUCCCUUACAUAAGCUGUGAAGUUAUUGUUCUUAGUUGGAGUAUGCUACACCGACAUGUGUUUUCUAACAUAAAAUUUGACUAAAUAAUCAAAUAUGAAAAUGGAUAAUAUGUUAUGACCUUAAUUAGGUUAGUGCACUUAGCAAUCAGAACAAGUAUGAUAAAAACAAUAAUAUUUUUCACAUUUUGAGUUGUGGUUAAAAAUAGUGAAGUAAUAAUUUUUCUGCCUUUAGAUCAUUACAACUCAAUCUGUAUUUUCAAAUAUUUAAUUAGAUGUUAACCCGUGGGAGGCACGGAUUUUUUGUUGAAAAAUAUUAUAGUCAACUUAAUUAAAAAGAUUUGAAAGGCCUUUUAUCUCAUUGAAAAAUAAAUAAUAUAAAGGUCGUGAAUAUUAUGAAUAAAAAUUUGAGAGUUUACAAUGGUAUAUUUAUAUUUAUCGUCAAAUAAAAUUGAUUUUCAUCACGCAGUUUGUGAGAUCAAACAAUAAAUUUAUUUUUAUUAACAGUCUAGAUAUUUUAAUAUUCAAAGUUUAAAAUAAGUAAACAAGAGAGUAUGACUACUGAGUUUUCUUUAAAUUUGCAAUCAUAUAGUAUCAUUUUUCGACAUAUAUAUUGUUCUUAAAUGGUUGGUAGUUUCUUAAUCUAUUGCAAUGUUAAAGAUGAUUUAAUACUAAAUAUUCAAUGAUCUUUAAUAUAUGGUAAACUAUACUUGACUGAACUAUUUAUUGAUUUGAUGUUGGCCUUACAAUGCAUGCAGAGUUCCCCUUACAUACUAGCACUUGCCAUAAGGCAUUUGUAUGAACCAAUUGGCUGUUAUUUACGGGAAAGUUCAGAACAGAGCUCAGAAUUGCAGCAAAUGCUCCCUCACAUUCAUUUAAGUUUGCUGCAUAUUAAGUAGAAGAUGUAGCAGUGGUAGCACAGUACAAAUUAUUUCUGGUAGUGUCUAACCUCCAUAACAUUUUCACAAAAAUAGGAAUUAGUCCAAGCUUUUGAUUCCUACAACACAUUAUUUGAAAUAGAAAUCUCUUAAUGUCUAUAAGAAUCAAGGCAUUCUUGUUUGGGGAAAGAUCACAGUCACCGACCAAUAGGCAUCAUGAUUUCAGAGAACUCAACCCCAGGUGUCAAAUCUGAAUUACCCUGCAGAACAACAUUAUCACUUCUGCGUUCAUUUCCAUUUGGGACAUUCCCUUCAUUUUUCUGAAGAUGCAUUGCCAGAACAAGAUUCUCUAGCACUUCACCAAUGGAUGGCCUCUCCGCCCCUCUUUCAGCCAAACAUUUCAUUGCAACUCCUAAAUAUAACUCAAAGCACUCCUUAAUUAUGUUUUCUUUCAAGUUGGGGUCAACUAUUUGCUCCACAUUGCCAUUCUCAAGGCACGACAUAGUCCAUUCGGCCAAGUUAACAUGCUCAUCAUCUUCACCUACACUUACAGCAGGCCUUGCAGUCAGAACCUCCAAUAACACCACCCCAAGUGAGUAUAUAUCAGAUUUCUCAGACAACUUGAGGCUUUCAUAGCACUCGGGAUCUAAGUAACCAAUGCUACCCUUCACGUUGGUGGUGACUAAGGAAGGGUAACCUGCCUUUGACAACCCAAAAUCUGAAAUUUUGGGCACCCAGUUGUGAUCUAAGAGUAUGUUGGUUGUCUUGAUGUCGCGGUGGAUGAUCCUGUGCUUUGUGCCAGUGUGAAGGUAGUGCAAGCCCCUUGCAACUCCAAUGCAAAUCUCAAGACGUUGAAUCCAAGACAAAGGGGGUUGAUCUCUCCGCCUCAAAUGAAGAUGAUCAUGAAGACUUCCAUUGGCCAUGAAGUCAUAGACCAAUAUCAUCUCCCCAUCCUCAUUGCAAUAACCCAAAAGUGACACCACGUUAUGAUGCCUAAGUUGUGAGAGCAAAAGGAUCUCUGUCUCGAAUUCUGAAACACCUUGCUUUGACAUUGGAUUGGCACGUUUAAUGGCCACGUAAGUUGUGCCACCAACGAAACUACCCUUGUAAACACUGCCAAAUCCACCAGUGCCUAUAUGUAAAGCCUCAUGGAAGUCAUUUGUCGCCAGUUUUAUCUCUCGCAUCGAAAAUUGAGUGCAAAGUGACGACUUUUUUGCCCUUUCAAUUCGACUAGGUGCGUGGACAGUGAGACCGCACCAUGACACGACCCUUCUAAGCCUAAUCACCUUUAACCUGAAUAAGAGUAAGCAAAGGAAAAUUGGUAGUACCACUGCAAGAAGUCCACAUCCAAUGAGGAUGAAUUUGAGUUUCUUCGGACUUCUAUUAAAAUGAGCAACAUGGGGACCCUUUGCAUCUGAAAAGAAGCUUUUGGGAGGGUUGAGCCCUGCAAGACUCUUAUCAUCAAAAUUGCUGAGUUUAAAGAUCUCCACACCAUUCAAGAAAGCAUUAUAGUACAUAGGUUUAGCAUCCUUGUAUGGGUGCAGAUCAAGCCACAAAUCCUGCUUUCCCUCAUUAACAUGGGGAACCAUCACUACAUAAUCUCUGUGUACAGCAACUCCGGGCUCCCCAGCCCCCAAACCAAUUACAUCGACUUCUUCUUCAGCUGUUUGAUUAUUUAAAAACACGGUAAAAACUACCUGAUUGAUCUUUGUUAUAUCUUGAUCAAUUUCACAGAAGUGAAGCCUAACUAGAUAAAGGAAACCUGAAUCAACGGGAAAAAACCAUGUCAUAUUGUAAUUUAAAUUUACAAGUCCAUAGUCAGAAGGUCCCAUUGAGCGGGAUGUGCGGUAGACAUCUGCUGGGGCUGAAUAUGGUGGAGCAUCAUCUGAAUACAAAACCAGCAUGCUCAUAUUACAGGGUUGAAUACCAAAACUAGCCCCAAAAAUGUAAACUUCAUCGGUGUCCCAAGUCCGAAACAUGCCCGUGUCAUAUUUGGAUGGGAUUUGCUCACCUCCUACUUUCACUCUGUACAAGGUCUCCAUGGCAGAGUCAUUAUAAAUGUUCACAACUUUGUUAUCGUGUCCAACUAAGGGAAGAGGAUCACCAUCAUCACCCCUCAUGUAUAAAUUAAGUGGCAUUGAAACAACUUCAAUCCCAUUCACAAAUGCAAAGGCACGAGAGGCAUUAUAUGAUGGGGAGAAAGUGAGUUGCAAAACACUUCCACUUACAUGCACAAUGAAUUCUUUCUUGAAAUAGGCCAAGUUGUAGUACUCAGCGUUGAGGGAAGCACUGAAGUUAUGGAGAAGAGUGAAGUUAGCAGCACUUACUGAUAAGAAAGCAUUUGAAAUGUUGAGAUCCAUGUAGGAAGCUGGGUAGAAGUGAAGACGAAUGAAUUUGGGACCUGGGGUUACAUUGAAAGUGUAGGUGAAUUGAGAGUGAAAGAUCCUUGCAGUCAUAUAGGGAGCUUCAGGAAUAGAUUGAAGAGUGUUAGGGGCUCUCACUACCAGGGACUUGGUGUCAGCAUUAGAGGGAACAUACGGUGAAACAAUGUCACCACUCCAAUUCCUGCCAUCAUAUUGUACAAAUUCUGAUGUGCUGGAGCCGCAGUUGAGAACUAUGUUCUCUGUAGGAACAUAACUGCCAUUAUCAGCAACUGCAACUAGUUGUAAGUUUAAGAGAUACAAGAUAAAAAUGUACCCAGAGCAUAUGACAGCGUUCAUAAUUCUCUGGAUCAAUCUUGUGUCUCAACGAAGAUAUUUGAGAAUGGAAAAAUAACCAGCUUUAGCACUUUGUCCUAAAUUUCUAAUGCUUUAGUUUGAUUUUUCAACAAAACAUUGCUUUCUUUGUCGUCAGUUUCAACAUUGACCAACUUAGUAAAACUUAUUUUUUUUCCUUAGGCAACUGCAUCCUCCACCAGAUGGUGUUUGACCUUCACCAAUCAACUUUAAAUUUUUUUGUUUUUCAUUCCAAAAUUGAAAAUAAAAAAUUAAAAAAUAUAUACCAGAAAAAAAAUUCUGAAAUAGAUCUUUGUUAAAAAUUCUAGAAUAUAAUUGAAAAAAUAAAAUCUCAUUCCAGAAAAAAAUUUAUAGAAUACAAAAAUAAACUUUAAAAAAUAAAUUCCAGUUAACAAAAUCCAGAAAUUCUAAAAAUUCCAAAAAAUAUUCUGAAAUUCAGAAAUCUGUUCUGGAAAUCAAAAUUUUGAAAUAUAUUCCAAAAUAUCAAAUUUGGAAUGUAUUUUGAUCCACACCCUCUCUAAUUUAAAAACUAAAAAUGAAAUUUUUGGCAUUUAAAAGCUAAAAAUAUAUUCAAACAUCCAGCCAAUAUUACUAGUUUGCUACUACAAUAUUAAUCUGGCAAACGAAUGUAAUAUUAACAUUCUUUGAUGAAUACCAUGCACAUGCUAAAGGAGGAAUUUCAUGAUUUAUGUUUUUCAAAUCUAUGGGUGUAUUGAAUUAAGAUUUUAAAUCACACGUAUGUCAUAUAUUCAAAAAAAACUUCACGAUACAUAAAUUUUUACUUAGACGUGAAUUUGAGUAAAUAAAAUGUUUAUUUUUAUAUACUUUUAAAUUUGUGAAGUAAAUGUUUAAGAGGAUUUUAUCAUGAAACUUUAUUAUAUAUUGAUGUUUGUCUAAAUAUUAUGUCAUUACAUAUUAAUCAGUGUCAUUAUUAUGGUCCAUGUUUUUCAUCCUCCAAUGAUGACUAUAAUGGUCUAUGUCUUGAAAACUAGUUAAGAAGUAAUUCUUGUGUGGUAGUUAUCCUAUCAAUAACUAUGACAAUACUUAGUUUUUUAAACUUAAAAGUCACUCAUAAUUUCUACUCUAUUGUAAAACUUUAUAUUCACGACAAUUGACAUAUAGGAAAAAAAAAAGAAAAUACCAUCGAGUACCAAGGAAUUAAUGAAUUCUCUAUAAAACACAUAUGCUUAGCAAAGUCAACAUAAUUGCCAACAAGUCGUUUCAAAUUUUGAUGAUAACAAUAAUGACAAAUUUUGUAUAUCUAAUGAGUUUGUCAAAUGUGAGUCAACCUAAGAUGUUUCAAUGUCUUAAUACUUACAAUUUUUGUUGCUAAAUGGUCAUUCAUCAUCACACCCUUGUUUAAAUUUGAAGGUCACAUUAAUUUUACUUGUGUUUAUAAUAAUUUCAAUCUGUUUGAUGGUUGAAAAAAAAACCACAUAAUAGUAGCUACUCCAAAGUCAAUGCAGUAGGUCUUCUUGAUGUGUAGUGAUAGUAAUCAAAAUUGAAAUCAAGAAACAAUGAGUUGUCUAAACUUAUUUACAGUGAAUGCUGAAGUAUACAUGUCUAGUAGCUGGAGAAAAUGAGAAGGAAUUGAGACAGUGGUUGAAUCAGUCAAAGCAAAGUGUCAUGUCCUAAUAUUAUCCAUUCUCAAACUAUUCAAAUUUUAGCAUAUUUUGAAUUAUUCAUCAUACAUCUUCAAAUUUUAUACAUUCUGGAAACUGAAUCUCCAACCAUAUAAAUUAUAAGUUUGCGAAACAAAUUUUUCGGGAAAAAAUGUGUUGUUUAAAAAGUAAUCGGAAGGAAAUAAAGAAAUGUAAAAAUAGAAUCCCGGUUUCUCUGAGAAUGAAACUAUGUUUGAAUAAGUUUCUCCAAAAUGAUUUUUGGAUGGGAAAUAAAAAAAACUAAAUUUUUCAUAAAUUAAUAUUAGUUUAUGUAUAAAUUUCCAGUCCUCAUAUAUAUUUCUCUAAAAGUCUCUUAUUUUGAUUUUUAUCUUAUGUACAAAGUCUCCUUUUGAAAAACUGGUUUAAAUUAGCCGUUGAAUUUUGUGUAAGGAACUGUUCAAUGUUGGUCCAACAAAUUCUUCAUGCACCUCUCUAUAUUAUUAAUUAUGAAAAGUUGGUUUUAACUUUUUUAAAACUUUUUAAAUAAUUUUAAUUGAAGUAUAACUUCAUUUUUUAAAUAACUUCAGUUGUACCUCCAUACCUUCUUUUCAGUUUAAGUGAGUAGUUCUAUCAUUUUAGUGUGUGAGAAAGUUGGUGAGAAGAUUCAUUGUACUCGACAUUCUCUUGUGCGAAAAUAUUUUUUGCUUUAGUUUUGUACUUUAUUUUUGCACUUUGUUGUUCUUUUUUUUUGGUUUUGUAGCUUCCAGAAACAUGAAAAAAAAUAAACGAACAAAAAUACAACCACCACCAGUAAAAACAUCACAAAACUUAUAUCAACCAUCAAUGUUCACCACCAAUCAUCACAAACAACCUCCAUCACUUAAAAAUGAAGAAGAAAACGUCAUAUUCUUCACUAUAUUCAGAAAGGUAUUGUUGAAAUUAAAAACCCUAAACCCUAAAUCCUAAACCCGAAGAAGAAAACGUCAUAUUCUUCACUAUAUUCAGAAAGGUAUUGUUGAAAUUAAAAAAAGUAUGGAGGUGGAAAGAGAAUUUGCCAACUGGAAUAUGGUAUUUGCUUGGGUUGAAAAUAAGACAAAUUGUUAAAUGAGCAAAAAAUUAUAAUAAAAUAAAUAAUUUUUUUUUAAAACUCAUGAUAGAGAACGUGCAUCACAUGAAAAAUAACAUAGAAUAAAAAAAAAGUAAAAACAUAUAGAAAUUAGACUAAAUUUAUAUGAAAAAAAUAAAAAAUAAAUAACUUUCCAAGAGUAGUUAAACAAUUAUAUUAGAAGUAUAAACUAUAAAAAUAAAAGAUAAUAAUAAAAAAAAAUCUUCUUUAAUACGAAACUUCAAGACAACAAAGAGAAAAAAUUCUCUCCUUUAUUUUGAAAGUGUAUUUUUAAUUUACUUGUGUAUGAAAUACAUAAUAAAAAGUGAUUAUUAAAUUAUUCUUAAAAUUAUAAUAGUGGUGAUUAUUUUAGCCUAAAAUAUGAAAAAUAAGUCGGUGUUUGAAGUUAAUAAUUGGGAGUGAUUUCAAUCCUUGAUGUAGAUGGUUUGUGAAUUUAAUCCUUGAUUUUGACCACUAUAAAUCAUGUUGAUCUGUUUUGAUAUACAUCACCCAAGUCAACCAAGUCAAAUUGGGACAUUAUUAGUGGUGGUUGUUAAAUUCAUAAAUUAUAUUGUCUUACUUUGAAACUAUCUAAUUCACUGUUUGUUUCGAUUUUAAGAAUUUCAAUGAUUAAAUUAUGCACAAAUUUUAGAAAUUUUUAUGAAUGUAUUUUUAACAUAUAGUUUUGAAUAAUUUUUGUUCAAUUUUUUUAUUGGAAAUUAGAGUGUUAAGAAUAAUAGUAUAUUCUACAACUAAUUUAAUAAUGUGAAAUUUUAGUUUUAAUUGUAAUUGGUGAUAAACAUAGUCAGAAAUCGUACAUUAAAUUUUAUCCUUUAUUUAACUAUUAUUAAAGUUAGGGUUAUCUUUGCUCUUUUGCAAUUUGUGAACUAAUGUAUGCUUGUAAUUAAAAAAUAAUAAUUUAAUGUACUACUCCAAUCAUAAAUGUUUGUGUCUUUGUGGCGAAACCUUUUUUUUUUUCGUAUCUUAUCUUUUGUUCUACACUAUAAAGUUCUAAAUUUUAAAUUUUAAAAUUUAAAUUUAAAGUUUCAAAUAUCACUAUGUAGUAUAAUAGUUAAAUAAUAUUUUGAGAUAUAAAUGAAUAUUUGUAUGAGAUAACAUCAUAGGACAAAUGAUCAUCAAUAUGAUGGAGUGAAUUAACUUUAUGCUCAAGAAGAUAACGACUUUCUAUUUCUUUCUGGUCAUGACAACAUAUAUUUGCUAUAUACUAAGUUCAUCACAAAUAAAGGAAGAGAGGUGAAA